GGGGCCAGCGGCACUGGUACUGGACUGGUGUGGUGCCCUUCCUCCUCUGAUGCUGGGCGCCUCUGAGAGCCAUUCAUGGCCUCUGGCUCUGCCUCUGGUUUGGAUGUGUCAUUGUUGCUAGCUUGGCUAGCUAGAUGAUAACUAGCUAGCUAUUCAGAUUGCCGUAGGAUCGGAUCUAAGAUUGCCGUCUGUCUUUUUAUUAGGAGUGCUAGCCCAUUGUACCUGUGCCGUACCAUUGGAAAUUUGUUCGCGGGAGGUGCAUCGCGUUGUUCUCUCUCUCUCUCUCUCACGCCGCGUUGUGCUGUUUUAGCCCGUUCGACGAAGCCUACGAAAAUGUCACCAACGUUGUUCUCUGCGCAAGCUGUGGACGCCGGCGGCAAGAAGAGCAGGGCAUCUCUGGCGGUUCAUGGCCUCGACGCACGUACGGUCCAGCCUCCACUCUGUCCCUGCGUCGUGCAGAAGUUGGUGGAAAUUGAUGUCGACGACCGAUCCACAAUACACUGAUGCACAUCCGGUCUUUGCGUCGUUGUACGACUUCUGGUAGGAAUUGAUGGUCUACAUACCGUCCGCCGGCCCCCGGACAUCCCCUGCCAUCGCCAAUCUCUAGUUAAUGGUUCCUACAGUGCCCUGCUCGGGCAGGCCCUUCCUGCGACAUCCAUCCAACGGGAAGCCGCCAAGCUUCCUCCACAGUGCGUGCCGUCACCGGCCCGCUUCGUGUCAGCGCGCGAUUCACUCGAUUCAUUCACUCGCUCAUUCAUUCAGUCGAUUCCCGGUUCAUUUCAUCAAGGAAAAAAAAGGAGAGGAGUCACUCAUCAGUUUUACCGCCACGGCCACGAGCCAGCACAGCACCGCACCAUGGAUCGCUUCAUUCAAUCAGCCGGAGCCCCACCUGUCCGACCAUAGAAAGGAAAAAGCUAACACUGUGCUGACCUCCAUAAUGAGCAGCUAGCUCCUGAUGCCGUGCCGUCCGCCCGUCCGACGAUGAAGCUCCGACAGCGACAUGACACGCCGCCAUGUCUGUCCAGCAGGAUCUUGGUCGAGAGGGUCGCAUUGCAUGCACCAACAGUGGGGUGCCCGAUCUGGCGCCCAACAAAAGCUGCCCGCGGUCGUCUAAACCGAAUAAUUGGCUUUCAGGCUGUAUAAUGCGCUUGCGGAUUAUGGCCCCUGUGGUGUGUGUGGCCAAUGGAAGUUGUCCAUCUUGUCUCUGGUGGUGGUGGUGGGAGCCGUAUGUUUAUUAGUAGAGGGCUCUGGCUAAGCAUGCCCGUCAUGUGGGUUUCGCCCUGUCAAACAGACCCGUCUUAGUCACUGUCGGGCUAAGUAACAGGACGGCCCUGCCGCCAGCAUACAUUACGCCAUGGAUCUUUGCUAAGAAACGCUUGAUACGACGAACACACAGCUACACAGCACCACAAUGGCACGAUUAGCCUCUACUCCCUCCCUCCAUCCGAAAAUAAAUGUCGCUGUUACUCUAGAUGAAACUUGAGUGGGCCCGUGGUCCGUGGAGUUUAAAGAUUAUUUUUCGAAACAAAGGCAAAUGAUUUACUUCAUCUCAUUAAUAAAGAAGAAGGACAAUGAGAGCAUCUACAACAGGGCGCCCCAAACCGGCCUCAAACGCCUGGGCGGCCCGCCCGGUCACUGACCGGUCACGAUUUUUCGACCCAGACGGCCCCCUCAAACGCCUGGCUGACUAGCACCCCUUAUAUCCAGCCUAAAUAUGGGGCGGAUAUGGGGGCGCCCGGGCGCGCCGGCCACGUCGGACUGAUGACGGGGUCCCACGCGGAAACACCCGAAAACCCGGCGGUCCGAAGCUCGUCUCCUCCGUCGGACCGGUGUCAGCGCGCUCCGACGGGCCGCGUAGUGCCUUGCCCGACUAUUUAAGUCGACCAGUGGCACCGAAACCCUACCAUCCACAUUUUCCUCCACCUGUCCGCCGCCGCCACUUUCCACUCCCCCUGUCUGCCUAGUAGCCAUGCCCCCACGGCGCCAGGUGAGGAGCGAGCCAUUUCAAGUUAUUUACCCAAAACCACCACACUUGGGGCUAGGGUAACAACUUAGUACCACUUUUCGGCCAGGGCACACAAAACCACCAACUCUGUGCCUAAUGACUAAUGAAGGGCACUGAUUGUCUGAUAAGCACGCGAAAACAGCAAAACUGACAAGCUGGGUCCACCUGUCAGGCUGACGUGGCUUGCUUGUGUGGACAAUAUGCUGAGUUGGGCAAGGGUCCCACCUGUAAAUGACUCAAGUGUUUAUCUCUUUUCCAUUUUUUUUCUUUUUCGCAUAGGGAUUUUCUUCCUAGGCGUUUCAACAAACAGGUAAUGGGCAUUUCUUCCUGCAUGCCGCCGGCACAUCUCGCCGCCCUUGCUGGUCAUCCGAGACCUAGCCGCCGUGGCCAGCCGCUGGAGUUCCCCUCGCCGCUCCUUUCUUUUCCUUCCUCCUCCUUCUUCCAUGACCUCUCUAUCAAACGAGAGCCAGCUGCCAUGCCGACCGCCAUGGAUGAACUCCACCUCACCGCGCCACCCCAGCCCUCUACCACGCCUGGAUCCGGCAAGUUUCUGUCGGUAGCUCGCACGCACCGUGGUGGAGCACCAUGGCUGCGCCCGUGCUUCCGUGCUCGCGACGACCACCAGAGGCCCUGGCCGCGCCUGUGCUCGCGGCGCCUGCGAGGAGGCCUUGGCCGAGCGUGCCGUCGUGGAGCACCAUGGCCACGCCCGUGCUCGCACGGGCCGAGGUGUGGCGUGCCUAGGUGUGGCGGCGCCGGCGCCGCCAUGCACAGCAGCACAGCAGCUCCAGCACUCGGUCACCGGCGCUCCCGUGUAGGCCGCGGACGCCACUUCCUGCGCCGUACCUGGACGCCAGAGCAGAAGAAGAAAGGCGCGGCAACUGACUAGUUGGGAAGAUCCGUGGGGUCCAGCAAAGGGAGGCGAGGAUCUGAAGGGGAAGAAGGCAGACGAUGGGAUUUGGCGACCGGAGCUAUGGGGACGCGCCUCGAUGGCUCCCUCGCUGGAUCGGGCGGCGCCAGAGCCGAGUGCAGGAAGUCAUGCUCGCCGUUGAUCCUACAAUUUGUACAGAGAAAAGGGCAGAGAUGGGAGGAGGAAGAAGUGUGUGGGGGCUGACAGUUGGACCCGCAUCCACCUCAACAAUUUGUACAUGUAGACAUGCCACAUCGGCCUGACAGGUGGGCCCUAAAGGAAAUAUGCCCUAGAGGCAAUAAUAAUGUUGUUAUUUAUAUUUCCUGAUAUCAUGAUAAAUGCUUAUUAUUCAUGCUAGAAUUGUAUUAACCGGAAACUUAGUACAUGUGUGAAUACAUAGACAAACAUAGUGUCACUAGUAUGCCUCUACUUGACUAGCUCGUUGAAUCAAAGAUGGUUAAGUUUCCUAGCCAUAGACAUGAGUUCUCAUUUGAUUAACGGGAUCACAUCAUUAGAGAAUGAUGUGAUUGACUUGACCCAUUCCGUUAGCUUAGCACUUGAUCGUUUAGUAUGUUGCUAUUGCUUUCUUCAUGACUUAUACAUGUUCCUAUGACUAUGAGAUUAUGCAACUCCCGAAUAUCGGAGGAACACUUUGUGUGCUACCAAACGUCACAACGUAACUGGGUGAUUAUAAAGGUGCUCUACAGGUGUCUCCGAUGGUACAUGUUGAGUUGGCAUAGAUCGAGAUUAGGAUUUGUCACUCCGAUUGUCGGAGAGGUAUCUCUGGGCCCUUUCGGUAAAGCACAUCACUAUAAGCCUUGCAAGCAAUGCAACUAAUGAGUUAGUUGCGGGAUGAUGUAUUACGGAACGAGUAAAGAGACUUGCCGGUAACGAGAUUGAACUAGGUAUUGAGAUACCGACGAUCGAAUCUCGGGCAAGUAACAUACCGAUGACAAAGGGAACAACGUAUGUUGUUAUGCGGUUUGACCGAUAAAGAUCUUCGUAGAAUAUGUAGGAGCUGAAGGAAAUAUGCCCUAGAGGCAAUAAUAAACUUAUUAUUUAUUUCCUUAUUUCAUGAUAAAUGUUUAUUAUUCAUGCUAGAAUUGUAUUAACUGGAAACUUGAUACAUGUGUGAAUAUAUAGACAAACUAAGUGUCACUAGUAUGCCUCUACUUGACUAGCUCGUUGAAUCAAAGAUGGUUAAGUUUCCUAGUCAUAGACAUCAGUUGUCAUUUGAUUAACGGGAUCACAUCAUUAGAGAAUGAUGUGAUUGACCUGACCCAUUCCGUUAGCUUAGCACUUGAUCGUUUAGUAUGUUGCUAUUGCUUUCUUCAUGACUUAUACAUGUUCCUAUGACUAUGAGAUUAUGCAACUCCCGUUUACCGGAGGAACACUUUGUGUGCUACCAAACGUCACAACGUAACUGGGUGAUUAUAAAGGUACUCUACAGGUGUCUCCGAAGGUACUUGUUGAGUUGGCGUAUUUCGAGAUUAGGAUUUGUCACUCCGAUUGUCGGAGAGGUAUCUCUGGGCCCACUCGGUAAUACACAUCACUAUAAGCCUUGCAAGCAUUGUAACCAAUGAGUUAGUUGCGGGAUGAUGUAUUACGGAACGAGUAAAGAGACUUGUCGGUAACGAGAUUGAACUAGGUAUUGAGAUACCGACGAUCGAAUCUCGGGCAAGUAACAUACCGAUGACAAAGGGAACAACAUAUGUUGUUAUGUGGUUUGACCAUUAAAGAUCUUCGUAGAAUAUGUAGGACCCACUAUGAGCAUCAAGGUUCCGCUAUUGGUUAUUGACCGGAGACGUGUCUCGGUCAUGUCUACAUUGUUCUCGAACCCGUAGGGUCCGCACGCUUAAAGUUCGGUGACGAUCGGUAUUAUGAGUUUAUGUGUUUUGAUGUACCGAAGGUAGUUCGGAGUCCCGGAUGAGAUUGGGGACAUGACGAGGAGUCUGGAAAUGGUCGAGACGUAAAGAUCGAUAUAUUGGACGACUAUAUUCGGACAUCGGAAAGGUUCCGAGUGAUUCGGGUAUUUUUCGGAGUACCGGAGAGUUACGGGAAUUCGCCGGGGAGUAUAUGGGCCUUAUUGGGCUUUAGGGGAAAGAGAGAGAGGAGGCUGCGCGCCCCCCAAUGACUUAGUCCGAAUUGGACUAGGGGGAGGGGCGACGCCCCCUCCUUCUUUCUCUUCUCUUUUCCCUUUCCUUCUCUCCUACUCCUACUACUUGGAAGGGCUCCUAGUUCUACUAGGAAAAGGGGAAUCCUACUCCCGGUGGGAGUAGGACUCCCCUAGGGCGCGCCAUAGAGAGGGCCGGCCCUCCCCCUCCUCCACUCCUUUAUAUGCGGGGGAGGGGGGCACCCCAUAGACACAACAAUUGAUCAUUGAUCUCUUAGCCGUGUGCGGUGCCCCCCUCCACCAUAAUCCACCUCGAUAAUAUCGUAGCGGUGCUUAGGCGAAGCCCUGCGUCGGGAGCAUCAUCACCACCGUCAUCACGCCGUCGUGCUGACGAAACUCUCCGGCGAAGCUCUGCUGGAUCGGAGCUCGCAGGACGUCAUCGAGGUGAACGUGUGCUGAACUCGGAGGUGCCGUACGUUCGGUACUUGGAUCGGUCGGAUCGUGAAGACGUACGACUACAUCAACCACGUUGUGCUAACGCUUCUGCUUUCGGCCUAUGAGGGUACGUGGACACACUCUCCCCUCUCGUUGCUAUGCAUCACCAUGAUCCUGUGUGUGCGUAGGAAAUUUUUGAAAUUACUACGUUCCCCAACAGUGGCAUCCGAGCCAGGUUUAUGCAUAGAUGUUAUAUGCACGAGUAGAACACAAGUGAGUUGUGGGCGGUACAAGUCAUAUUGCUUACCAGCAUGUCAUACUUUGGUUCGGCAGUAUUGUUGGAUGAAGCGGCCCGGACCGACAUUACGCGUACGCUUACGCGAGACUGGUUCUACCGACAUGCUUUGCACAUAGGUGGCUGGCGGGAGUCAGUUUUCCAACUUUAGUUGAACCGAGUGUGGCUACGCCCGGUCCUUGUGAAGGUUAAAAUAGCACUAACUUGACGAAAUAUCAUUGUGGUUUUGAUGCGUAGGUAAGAACGGUUCUUGCUCAGCCCGUAGCAGCCACAUAAAAUUUGCAACAACAAAUUAGAGGACGUCUAACUUGUUUUUGCAGGGCAUGUUGUGAUGUGAUAUGGUCAAGACGUGAUGAGAUAUAAAUUGGUGUAUGAGAUGAUCAUGUUUUGUUAAAGUUAUCCGCAACUGGCAGGAGCCUUAUGGUUGUCUCUUUAUUGCAUAAGAUGCAAGUGCCAUGUAAUUGCUUUACUUUAUCGCUAUGCGAUAGCAAUAGUUGCAAAAAGCAAUAGCUGGUGAGACGACCAUGUGACGACACGUUGAUAAAAGAUCAAGAUGAUGGAGAUCAUGGUGUCAUGCCGGUAACAAUGGAGAUCAUGAUAGUACUUUGGAGAUGGAGAUCAAAAGCACAAGAUGAUGAUGGCCAUAUCAUGUCACAUAUUUUGAUUGCAUUUGAUGUUUAUCUUUUAUACAUCUUAUUUUGCUUAGUUCGGCGGUAGCUUUAUAAGAUGAUCCCUUACUAAGUUUUCAAGGUAUAAGUGUUCUCCCUGAGUAUGCACCGUUGCGACAGUUCUUCGUGCCGAGACACCACGUGAUGAUCGGGUGUGAUAAGCUCUACGUUCACAUACAACGGGUGCAAGCCAGUUUUGCACACGCAGAAUACUCGGGUUAAACUUGCCGAGCCUAGCAUAUGCAGAUAUGGCCUUGGAACACUGAGACCGAAAGGUUGAGCGUGAAUCAUAUAGUAGAUAUGAUCAACAUAGUGAUGUUCUGCAUUCAAAACUACACCAUCUCACGUGAUGAUCGGACAUGGUUUAGUUGAUUUGGAUCACGCGAUCAUUUAGAUGACUAGAGGGGUGUCUAUCUAAGUGGGAGUUCUUAAGUAAUAUGAUUAAAUUGAACUUUAAUUUAUCAUGAACUUAGUCCUGAUAGUAUUUGCAUAACUAUGUUGUAGAUCAAUAGCUCGCGAUGUUGCUCCCUGUUUAUUUUGAUAUGUUCCUAGAGAAAAAACUAUGUUGAAAGAUGUUAGUAGCAAUGAUGCGGACUUGGUCCGUGAUCUGAGGAUUAUCCUCAUUGCUUCACAGAAGAAUUAAGUCCUUAAUGCAUCGCUAGGUGACGGACCUAUUGCAGGAGCAUAUGCAGAUGUUAUGAACGUUUGGCAAAGCUCGGUAUGAUGACUACUUGAUAGUUUAGUGCACCAUACUUUACGGCUUAGACCCGGGACUUCAAAAAUGUUUUGAACGCCACGGAACAUAUGAGAUGUUCCAAGAGUUGAAAUUAGUAUUUCAGACUCAUGCCCAUGUCGUAAGGUAUGAGACCUUUGACAAACACUUUGCCUACAAGAUGGAGGAGAAUUGCUCAGCUAGUGAGCAUGUGCUCAGAAUGUCUGAGUACUACAAUCACUUGAAUCAAGUGGGAGUUAAUCUUCCAGAUAAGAUAGUGAUUGACAGAAGUUCUCUAGUCACUAUCACCAAGUUACUCGAACUUCAUGAUGAACUAUAAUAUGCAUGGGAUAACAGAAAUGAUUCCCAAGCUCUUCGUGAUGCUGAAAUCGACGAAGGUAAAUCAAGAAAAAGCAUCAAGUGUUGAUGGUUGACAAGACCACUAGUUUCAAGAAAAGGGCAAAGGAAAGAAGGGGAACUUCAAGAUGAAUGGCAAGCAAGUUGCUACUCAAGUGAAGAAGCCCAAGUCUGGACCUAAGCCUGAGACUAAGUGCUUCUACUGCAAAGGGACUGGUCACUGGAAGCGGAACUGCCCCAAGUAUUUAGCGGAUAAGAAGGAUGGCAAAGUGAACAAAGGUAUAUUUGAUAUACAGAUUAUUGAUGUGUAUUUUACUAGUGUUCGUAGCAACCCCUCGGUAUUUGAUACUGGUUCAGUUGCUAAGAGUAGUAACUCGAAACGGGAGUUGCAGAAUGAACAGAAACUAGUUAAGGGCAAGGUGACGAUGUGUGUUGGAAGUAGUUCCAAGAUUGAUAUGAUCAUCAUCGCACACUCCCUAUACUUUCGGGAUUAGUGUUGAACCUAAAUAAGUGUUAUUUGGUGUUUGCGUUGAGCAUGAAUAUGAUUUGAUCAUGUUUAUUGCAAUACGGUUAUUCAUUUAAGUUGGAGAAUAAUUGUUGUUCUGUUUACAUGAAUAAAACCUUCUAUGGUCAUACACCCAAUGAAAAUGGUUUGUUGGAUCUUGAUAGUAGUGAUACACAUAUUCAUAAUGUUGAAGCCAAAAGAUGCAAAGUUGAUAAUGAUAGUGCAACUUAUUUGUGGCACUGUCGUUUGGGUCAUAUUGGUGUAAAGCGCAUGAAGAAACUCCAUGCUGAUUGGCUUUUGGAAUCACUUGAUUAUGAAUCAGUUGAUGCUUGCGAACCAUGCCUCAUGGGUAAGAUGACUAAGACUCCGUUCUCCGGAACAAUGGAGCGAGCAACAGACUUGUUGGAAAUAAUACAUACUGAUGUAUGCAGUCCGAUGAGUGUUGAGGCUCGCGGCAGGUAUCAUUAUUUUCUGACCUUCACAGAUGAUUUGAGCAGAUAUGGGUAUAUCUACUUGAUGAAACAUAAGUCUGAAACAUUUAAAAAGUUCAUAUAAUUUCAGAGUGAAGUGGAAAAUCAUCGUAACAAGAAAAUAAAGUUUCUACGAUCUGAUCGUGGAGGAGAAUAUUUGAGUUACGAGUUUGGUCUUCAUUUGAAACAAUGCAGAAUAGUUUCGCAACUCAUGCCACCUGGAACACCACAGCGUAAUGGUGUGUCCGAACAUCAUAACCGUGCUUUAUUAGAUAUGGUGCAAUCUAUGAUGUCUCUUACCAAUUUACCACUAUCGUUUUGGGGUUAUGCAUUAGAGACAGCUGCAUUCAUGUUAAAUAGGGCACCAUCUAAAUCCGUUGAGACGACACCAUAUGAACUGUGGUUUGGCAAGAAACCAAAGUUGUCGUUUCUUAAAGUUUGGGGUUGCGAUGCUUAUGUGAAAAAGUUUCAUCCUGAUAAGCUCAAACCCAAAUCGGAGAAAUGUUUCUUCAUAGGAUACCCAAAGGAGACAGUUGGGUACACCUUCUAUCACAGAUCCGAAGGCAAGACAUUCGUUGCUAAGAAUGGAUCCUUUCUAGAGAAGGAGUUUCUCUCGAAAGAAGUGAGUGGGAGGAAAGUAGAACUUGAUGAGGUAACUGUACCUACUCCCUUAUUGGAAAGUAGUUCAUCACAGAAAUCUGUUCCUGUGACUCCUACACCAAUUAGUGAGGAAGCUAAUGAUGAUGAUCAUGUAACUUCAGAUCAAGUUACUACCGAACCUCGUAGGUAAACCAGAGUGACAUCCGCACCAGAGUGGUACGGUAAUCCUGUUCUAGAGGUCAUGUUAUAUGACCAUGGCGAACCUACGAACUAUGAGGAAGCGAUGAUGAGCCCAGAUUCCGCAAAAUGGCUUGAGGCCAUGAAAUCUGAGAUGGGAUCCAUGUAUGAGAACAAAGUGUGGACUUUGGUUGACUUGCCCGAUGAUCGGCUAGCCAUAGAAAAUAAAUGGAUCUUCAAGAGUAAGACGGACGCUGAUAGUAGUGUUACUAUCUACAAAGCUAGACUUGUCGAAAAAAGGUUUUGACAAAGUUCAAGGUGUUGACUACGAUGAGAUUUUCUCACUCGUAGCGAUGCUUAAAGUCUGUCUGAAUCAUGUUAGCAAAUUGCCACAUUUUAUGAAAUCUGGCAAAUGGAUGUCAAAACUACAAUCCUUAAUGGAUUUCUUAAAGAAGAGUUGUAUAUGAUGCAACCAGAAGGUUUUGUCAAUCCUAAAGGUGCUAACAAAAUAUGCAAGCUCCAGCGAUCCAUCUAUGGGCUGGUGCAAGCAUCUCGGAGUUGGAAUAUACGCUUUGAUAAGUUGAUCAAAGCAUAUGGUUUUAUACAGACUUGCGGUGAAGCCUGUAUUUACAAGAAAGUGAGUGGGAGCACUACAACCUUUCUGAUAAGUGUAUGUGAAUGACAUAUGGUUGAUCGGAAAUGAUGUAGAAUUUUCCGGAAAGCAUAAAGGAGUGUUUGAAAGGAGUUUUUCAAAUGAAAGACCUCGGUGAAGCUGUUUACAUAUUGAGCAUCAAGAUCUAUAGAGAUAGAUCUAGACGCUUGAUAAGUUUUUUCCAUGAGUACAUACCUUGACAAGAUUUUGAAGUAGUUCAAAAUGGAACAGUUAAAGAAAGAGUUCUUGCCUGUGUUACAAGGUGUGAAAUUGAGUAAGACUCAAAACCCGACCACAGCAGAAGAUAGAAAGAGAAUGAAAGUCAUUCCCUAUGCCUCAGCCAUAGGUUCUAUAAAGUAUGCUAUGCUGUGUACCAGACCUAUUGUAUACCCUGCCCUGAGUUUGGCAAGGGAGUACAAUAGUGAUCUAGGAGUAGAUCACUGGACAUUGGUCAAAAUUAUCCUUAGUGGAAUAAGGAUAUAUUUCUCGGUAAUGGAGGUGACAAAAAGGUUCAUCGUAAAGGGUUACGUCGAUGCAAUUUUUGGCACUGAUCCGGAUGACUCUAAAUCUCAAUCUGGAUACAUAUUGAAAGUGGGAGCAAUUAGCUAGAGUAGCUCCGUGCAGAGCAUUGUUGACAUAGAAAUUUGCAAAAUACAUACGGAUCUGAAUUUGGCAGACCCGUUGACUAAAAGCUUCUCUCACAAGCAAAACAUGAUCACACCUGAGUAUUCUUUGGGUGUUAAUCACAUAGUGAUGUUAACUAGAUUUUUGACUCUAGUAAACCCUUUUGGGUGUUGGUCACAUGGCGAUGUGAACUAUGGGUGUUAAUCACAUGGUGACGUGAAAUAUUGGUGUUAAAUCACAUGGCGAUGUGAACUAGAUUAUUGACUCUAGUGCAAGUGGGAGUCUGAAGGAAAUAUGCCCUAGAGGCAAUAAUAAAGUUAUUAUUUAUUUCCUUAUUUCAUGAUAAAUGUUUAUUAUUCAUGCUAGAAUUGUAUUAACCAGAAACUUGAUACAUGUGUGAACAUAUAGACAAACUAAGUGUCACUAGUAUGCAUCUACUUGACUAGCUCGUUGAAUCAAAGAUGGUUAAGUUUCCUAGCCAUAGACAUGAGUUGUCAUUUGAUUAACGGGAUCACAUCAUUAGACAAUGAUGUGAUGGACUUGACCCAUUCCGUUAGCUUAGCACUUGAUCGUUUAGUACGUUGCUAUUGCUUUCUUCAUGACUUAUACAUGUUCCUAUGACUAUGAGAUUAUGCAACUCCUGUUUACCGGAGGAACACUUUGUGUGCUACCAAACGUCACAACGUAACUGGGUGAUUAUAAAGGUACUCUACAGGUGUCUCCGAAGGUACUUGUUGAGUUGGCGUAUUUCGAGAUUAGGAUUUGUCACUCCGAUUGUCGGAGAGGUAUCUCUGGGCCCACUCGGUAAUACACAUCACUAUAAGCCUUGCAAGCAUCGUAACUAAUGAGUUAGUUGCGGGAUGAUGUAUUACAGAACGAGUAAAGAGACUUGUCAGUAACGAGAUUGAACUAGGUAUUGAGAUACCGACGAUCGAAUCUCGGGCAAGUAACAUACCGAUGACAAAGGGAACAACGUAUGUUGUUAUGUGGUUUGACCGAUAAAGAUCUUCGUAGAAUAUGUAGGACCCAAUAUGAGCAUCCAGGUUCCGCUAUUGGUUAUUGACCGGAGACGUGUCUCGGUCAUGUCUACAUUGUUCUCGAACCCGUAGGGUCCGCACGCUUAAAGUUCGGUGACGAUCGGUAUUAUGAGUUUAUGUGUUUUGAUGUACCGAAGGUAGUUCGGAGUCCCGGAUGAGAUCGGGGACAUGAUGAGGAGUCUCUGAAUGGUUGAGACGUAAAGAUCGAUAUAUUGGACGACUAUAUUCGGACAUCGGAAAGGUUCCGAGUGAUUUGGGUAUUUUUCGGAGUACACGAGAGUUACGGGAAUUCGCCGGGGAGUAUAUGGGCCUUAUUGGGCUUUAGGGGAAAGAGAGAGGGGAGGCUGCGCGCCCCCCAAGGCUUAGUCCGAAUUGGACUAGGGGGAGGGGCGACGCCCCCUCCUUCCUUCUCUUCUCUUUUCCCUUUCCUUCUCUCCUACUCCUACUACUUGGAAGGGCUCCUAGUUCUACUAGGAAAAGGGGAAUCCUACUCCCGGUGGGAGUAGGACUCCCCUAGGGCGCGCCAUAGAGAGGGCCGGCCCUCCCCCUCCUCCACUCCUUUAUAUACGGGGGAGGGGGCACCCCAUAGACACAACAAUUGAUCAUUGAUCUCUUAGCCGUGUGCGGUGCCCCCCUCCACCAUAAUCCACCUCGAUAAUAUCGUAGCGGUGCUUAGGCGAAGCCCUGCGUCGGUAGCAUCAUCAUCACCGUCAUCACGCCGUCGUGCUAACAAAACUCUCCGGCGAAGCUCUGCUGGAUUGGAGCUCGCGGGACGUCAUUGAGUUGAACGUGUGCUGAACUCGGAGGUGCCGUACGUUCGGUACUUGGAUCGGUCGGAUCGUGAAGACGUACGACUACAUCAACCGCGUUGUGCUAACGCUUCCGCUUUCGGUCUACGAGGGUACGUGGACACACUCUCCCCUCUCGUUGCUAUGCAUCACCAUGAUCCUGUGUGUGCGUAGGAAAUUUUUGAAAUUACUACGUUCCCCAACAAGAGCCAAUAUGAGCAUCCAGGUUCCGCUAUUGGUUAUUGACCGGAGACGAGUCUCGGUCAUGUCUACAUAGUUCUCGAACCCGUAGGGUCCGCGCGCUUAACGUUCAGUGACGAUCAGUAAUAAGAGUUUAUGUGUUUUGAUGUACCGAAGGUAGUUCAGAGUCCCAGAUAUGAUCACGGACAUGACGAGAGGCUCGAAAUGGUCGAUACAUAAAUAUUGAUAUAUUGGGUGGCUAUAUUCGGACACUGGAAGUGUUUCGAGUGAUUUCGGAGAAAACCGAAGUGCCGGAGGGACCGGAACCCCCCGGGGAAGUGUUGGGCCUUAGUGGGCUUUAGGGGAGAGAGAGGGCAGCAGCCCAGGAGGUGGCGCGCCCCCUCCCAUGGGGAGUCCGAAUUGGACUAGGGGAGGGGGGCGCGGCCCCUCUUUCCCUCUCCCUCUCCCUCUCUUUCCUUCCCCCUUCCCCCUUCCUAGUAGGACUAGGAAAGGAUGAAUCCUACUCCUACUAGGAGGAGGAUUCCUCCUGUCCUUGGGGCGCACCAAGGCCGGCCGGCCUCCCCCCUUGCUCCUUUAUAUACGGGGGCGGGAGGGCACCCAUAGACACACAAGUUGAUUGUUCCAAGCCGUGUGCUAUGCCCCCCUCCACCAUAAUCCACCUCGGUCAUAUCGUAGCGAUGCUUAGGUGAAGCCCUGCGUUGGUAGCAUCAUCAUCAGCGUCAUCAUGCCGUCGUGCUGACGGAACUCUCCCUCGAAGCUCUGCUGGAUCGUGAGUUUGAGGGACAUCAUCGAGCUGAACGUGUGCUGAACUCGGAGGUGCCGUGCGUUCGGUACUUGGAUCGGUUGGAUCGUGAAGACGUACGACUACAUCAACCGCGUUGUUAUAACGCUUCCGCUUCCGGUCUACGAGGGUACGUGGACAACACUCUCCCCUCUUGUCGGUGAGAAACGACACCUAUGGAAUCACAAGAAUCCCUACUACGGUUACCGGGGUGCAGGGUUGUGAGAAGGGCAGGAUUAGCAGUCAACACAAGGAUCGUUUACCCAGGUUCGGGCCGCGAGGAUGCGUAAUACCCUAGUCCUGCUUUGGUGACUGUAUUUCAGAGAUUUCUUGAGCUCUUGAACUAGCUAUGGUGGCCACGUGGUCCAAAAGAGCCGAAUCCCUCUCCAGUACGCCAUGGGCCUCCUUUUAUAGUCGAAAGGGGCGGCCACAGUGGCACACAGGAGGUGGAAAGGCCUACAGUACUACGAGCUUAUCGCCCGUAUUACAGGACAAGACACAUUUAAUGCGCCGCUGAGGUGUCCCCUAGAUUUAUCGGGGACGGGAGCGAGGCCCGUCCCGUCCGUCGCCGCUCCUCCUCGCUUCGACACGCGCCCUGGCCAGCGAUGUGUGCGGCGCCAUGUAGGCAGGCAGGCAGCUGAGGCGGCACGGUGGUAGGGUCUUCACGAAGAUCUGCAUGUCGCCACGCAGGCGCUUGCCGAUCUGGCCUGGAAGCAGCAUGUCGCCACGCAGGUGCCAGCCCAGCUGGUUGGGCUGGCAGCUGCAUGCGAACGGCGGUGGAAAACUUUGGCUGGCGCGGGCCUGGCAGUGGCCCUGCUGAUGUCCUCGGCAAGGGCCUUGCCGGGGGCCCGGCAAGGGUCUUGCCGUGGCGCGCAGUCAUCCCCGGCAAGGAUCUUGCCGGUGGUCUUGUGGCUUUCCUCGGCAAGGAUUCCGCCGAGGAUCGCCGUCUUCUGGUCCUCAUCUGAUCUCAUACGUCCGUGGUCUUAACAAAGAUCUGCAUGUCACCACAGAGGUGCCUCCCGAGCCCUGGUCCAACCAUAGUUAGUCGGGUUGGAACCCGCGGGCUCAAGGGUGGCUCGCUCUGGUGGUGUUUGGGCGAGUUGCCCCGGCAAGGAUCUUGCCGGGGCCACGGAGGCCUGCCCCGGCAAGGGCCUUGCCGGGGGACUCCACCUUGCCCCUUUACUGUCUUGCGUUUCUGGUCUUGGCGUUGUCAUGGUUGUAUUGGGCUUCGGCUUCUCUCCGGCUCCCCUCCUCUGCCCUGCUUAGUGUGGUUGUGGCGCGUGGCUCCGACUGCCCGCGCACAAGUAAAGGGGUACAAAGGUGUGCCCUACUUUUGUACACCGACAGGAGCCCCCGGGCCUGGGCCACACAUAAGCGCGACACGUUGUUGGGCCAGGCCUAGAACGGUGCGCGGGCAGGCGGGGCGGAUUUUACCGCAGUAAAUCCUCGUCCUCUGCGCUUCCCACGACCCGCGUGCAACGUGGAGGGUCGUGCAUGACGUGGGGGUCAUGCGCGAUGCGGUUUCCGCAUGCAUGCGUCAUGCUGCAGUUAAUGGGAAAGGAGGAGGCCCGUGCCUUCCCCGUAAAAAGGAAUAACCGCGGGCGCACUGCUCACUUUACCCCUUCCGCGCCUUCUUUCAAUCUCAGAGCCGCCGCCCCCUCCUCCUUCCUCCCUAAGCUUCGUUCUUGCUCGCCGCCGCUACGUCUCCGCCGCCUUCUGUCUCUUGCUCCCCCUAGCCGCCAUGGCGCCCAAAUCCACCAAGGUAAAGGGAGUGGCCAAGGACGCCGGAGCGGCGGAGCCGCCGGAGAGCGCGCUAGCGGUGCAGAGGAUGCAGCUCGCCUACUUCCCUUCGACGGUUGAUGUGUUCGAGCUCCGGGAGGCCUUCAAACCCCUGUGGGGGGUGAAGACGGGGGGAGAGAAGAUGGGGCAUCCAGCCACACGCGUCAUCCCCGCCAAUUGCGCCGAGACCGCUCCAAAUCGCUACCCUUUCUUCGUCGACUACUUCUCCUGCGGGCUCUGUCCCCCCUUCUCCGAUUUCUUCAGUGACGUCAUGCACACCUACGGCUUCCACCUUUUGGAUUUUACUCCAAACGCCGUGGCGUGCAUGGCUCUUUUCGCGCACCUUUGCGAGGGCUUCGCUGGGGUGCACCCCAACACGACGCUCUUCCGCCACUACUUCCCCCCUCGGAUCCAACCGGGGGGCGCCAUCUCUGGCUGCAUCACCUGGAUCCCACGGUCCAAGGGGGCAUACCCGGAGGGCGCCAUGAAGGAGAGGUGGGAAGAAUGGUGGGGCCGGUGGUGCUGGAUCGAGGAGAAGGACCCGCCGGCGUUCUGUGAGGUUCGCCAGGCGCCGCCGGUCCGCAGGAGCGACUGGAGCAACGUCGACGCCAAUGACGAGAAGCUCACGAUCGCCACCACCAGGAUCCUUCGGCUUACUGACGCCGGGCUCACCCUCGAGAUGAUCGGGGCGGAUUUCAUCCACCGCCAGAUCGCUCCACCGCACAACAAGGGAAGGCCGGCCUGGCUCUUCAUGAACGCCGCCGACAUCAUGAGGCUUCGCCCCGGCCUCGACCACAACUUCACGGUGAUGGGGCAUGCUCACUUCUGCCAACGGCUCUUCCAGCUCGACGUGAACCGCGACGGCGAGGUCGAGUGGACCGGCAGGCCGCGAGGGCCGCCGCGAAGGCCGGCAAGGUCGCCAAGGGGCCCUUGUUCAAGUUGCCGGCAGGAGUGGUCCUGCUGAGCAACAACUCGCACCGGACCGAGAUCAUUGCCAUGAUGCCGGAUUUCAACGCGCAUGGCCUUGAUCCGAGCUGGGUCGAGCCGGAGGAGAUUAAGGUGCAGGAGUUCUUCGAUACCUUGCAUGAGGGGUACGUCACCGCCGAGCCGCGGCUUGUCCAGGACACCACCCAGGCGGAGCUAGACUACAUCGCCGCCAGGGCGAUGGAGGCGAAGCUUGCCGAGGAGGCCGGCAGUGCCGGUGGCGUGGAGGACAGGGCCGCGAGGCCGCAGAGGAGGAGGAGCUCGCCCGGUGGGCGGAGGCCGCUGGGGAAGCCAGCAGCGCCGGCACCGAGGCUCCUCUUGUUGAGGAUGCGGCCAACGAGUCGUCGGAGGAGGAGGCUGGGGCUGUUGACCCUCCGGCCACGGGGAGAGGGUGAGUUAUGCGGUGGGCCACUUUUGGUGAGCCGGUACGGCCCGUCAAGGCCGCACGGUGGCCAAAGUCUCCGGAGGAGUCCGCACGUCAGACGAGGGCCGCGGCGGCGAAGAAGGUGGUGAAGGCCGCUGUGGCGAAGAAGAAAGCAUCUGCCUCCUCUUCGUCCAAGCGCGCCCAGACUCCGCCCUCCUCCCCUCCUCCAGCAGACGCCGACACGGGGGUCACCUUCGACUUCGGAUCAGUCAGCCCCAGAAGAAAGAGGAAGGCAACAGAGGAGGAGGUGGACGACGAGUGAGUAUCCUAUUCCUCUCUGUCAUCUCCGUCUCCUCAAUCUAUGCCGCUUGUGUUGAUUUGUUUCUGCCUUCGUAGGGACGCGGAGACGCUGGCCCAAAGGGUGAAGAGGGCCAAGGCCUCGACGGGCGGCCAGCCCCCGGCGGGUACUUCGAGGGCGCCAUUGGUGGUGCUAAGCAGCCUGGACAGCAGCCCCCGGCACAGCCCCCAGCGUAAGUUCAUCACUCCCCCCUCAUCGACAUGUGUCGGGGGUAUGACGCUUUGGUACUGACCUCGUCGCGUGCGCAGGAGGAGAGCAGCGGCAGGAGGAGCCACUGGAGGAGGAGGAGGAGAACUCGGGCGCCGGUGGCUUCGCCUCGGCGCCAAACGUUGGCGGGGAAGGGACUUCUGCUUCCCAGCCCGGCACUGGUAAGUUGUUCGCCUUUCGUCACUGUUCCUUUUUCUUUCUGACCCUUGGUCUUGGCCUUGCCUCACUCCCUCCUUUGGGGCCCAGAUCCCUCCUCGGCGGACCCAGGGGACGUGGACGCCAUCAUCGAGGACGUCGCCAAGGCCGCCACAGCGGAGGCCGAGGAGGCCGCCAACGGCGCUGCUGAGGACGCUGCCAAGGACGCCGCGACAGAAGCCGAGAAGGCCGCUGCCGAGGAGUCCGCCAAGGGCGCUGCCGAAGACGCCGCCGAGGGGCCUGCCGGAGAUGCCGGCAAGGCCGCCACCAAGGAGGAGGUGGUCGAUGACCAGCCUUCCUCCUCUGCUGCCUCCGGCUCCGACAGGUAUCUGAGGGUGACCGACGACCUCUUCGUCCACCUCCCAGGGGCGUCCAGCUCCAGGGCGUCCGUCGAGGGAGAGGUGUUUGACGAAGAGGUGCUUGCCGCCGCCGGGCUCGAGGUUGUCGACGAGCCGAGCGCUGGUGGCGAUGACUCUCAGGAGGAGCGGCUUCUCCAGGCCAUGGGCGCCCACUUCCGGAAGCUCCAAGCGCUCCACCGCGCCCGCCUGGAUAAGUCCAAGUCCAGGAUGGCAACGAUGGACCAAGCGGAGGCGGACCUCAAGGUGCGCAUCGCCGAGGCGCAGGCUUGGUUCCGCCAAGCUAGCGAAGAGCUGAAGACCGCCCAGGGCGAGCUGGCCAAGCGCGACGUGGAGCUCACCAUGAAGCUGGCCGACACCGAGAAGGCCCAGGAGACGGCGGAGGGCUUGGCCGCGGCAGCCGAGGCUGCCCGGACCCAGCACCAGGCCGCGCUGAACUCCCAGGAGGAGGACCUCCCCAGGCGCGAGGCGGACCUCGACGCCAAACUCCACGCCAAAGACAAGGAGGUGGAGAAGAUUGCCGCGCAGCAGACUCAAGAGCUGGAGCAGAGGCACAAAGAGACACUCGAUGCCCAGGCUCUGGUUCACGCCGGCAAGGUGAAGGAGCUGGAGGUGGAGCGGGACGGGCUGAAGGAGCAGGCCCUGAAGCUGUCCCAGUAGAAGGAUACGCUCAACAGUGCCUUGACGGAGGCAUAGAGCGCGUCCGUCAGCAGGGCCGAGGAGCUCUCCGAGGCCAACAACUCCAUCAAAGACCUCAAGCUGAAGCUGGAGGGUCUCGAGAAGAUGCUGUCGGAGGCCAGGGCCCGGGAAGGGACCCUGACCAAAAACCUGGAGACCGAGAAGCAGCUGCGGAAGAAUGAGGCCCUCAACUUCAAGGAGCACGUGGAGGGCGAGAACCGCUGGCUCGAUCGCCUUGCCACUGUCGCCAACCAGGCCGCCGCGUAGCUGACCACCAUGGGGAUGCCGGACGUGAGGUACGCCCCGGAGCGGAGUGUGAGCGCCAACUGCAGCCUGACCCUGUUCUUUGAGAAGGUCGUCGGCACUUUGGAGCGGCUUCAUGCCAACCGGGCGGCCUCGCUGGCCGACGAGGCCCGGAGGUUUUGCCAGGGCGCCUUGACCAAGGUUCUCACCAAGGUGGCGUACUGGUACCCCAACCUCGACUUCGACGCCGCGCUGGAGAGCUUGCCAGAGGAUACUGACCUCGCGCCGCUCAGGGAGUGCAUCAAGCCUGUCAUCAGCGGUGUCGGCGGAAUUCUGAGGGUGGAGGGCCAGCGCCGGGAUUAGGCACCCCGUUUCUUUUCGUUGCUGCAAGUUCACAACCAAGACAAUUUUUAUCUUUAGUUAGAACUGCGGCAACAAGUGAUGUAAUAUAACUUCUGCAGUACUUUUGAUAUUAUGCAUGUUAUUUUCCUGUUUGAUUUUCCUUUGUAUGUCCACCCUACGUUGAACUGGGUAGGCUUGCCGGCGCGUAAACCCAGGGCAGCGUCUUGAGGACGGAUCCCCAUUGGCCUGCUGGGUGCGCUUGCUGCCGGGCAAACCACCUCACCGCCCCCGACGCGGCCGCUCGCACCGUCGAGCUUGACUCGAGUCAGAAUUGAGAGCGUUGCCAAGUUGCGGAAGGCUACCCCACCACUCUCGACGCGGCCACUUGAGCUGUUGAGCGGACUCGAAACAGAACAAGGGCGUUGCCAAUCGCGGGAGGGCCCCUUUGCGUGCAGGUUUUCCAUACAUAGGCAGAAUCUCCGAGGACGAUAACCUUAUAUAUAAAAGGAAAUAGCUCAAGGCUCUGAAUUACUUAGCAUUUCUUUCGCCGCCGCGCUAGCGUCCUUCGCGCUCGUAGGCGGCGUCGUUUUCUCCUUUAGGAGCCAUGGCGAUGAAGAACCGCUAGGCUAACUACUAGACCAGAUUCUCACAAUUGCGCCCCCUACCUGGCGCGCCAAAGAUGUCGGUGAGAAACGACACCUAUGGGAUCACAAGAAUCCCUACUACGGUUACCGGGGCGCAGGGUUGUGAGAAGAGCAGGAUUAGCAGUCAACACAAGGAUCGUUUUCCCAGGUUCGGGCCGCGAGGAUGCGUAAUACCCUAGUCCUGCUUUGGUGGCUGUAUUUCAGAGAGUUCUUGAGCUCUCGAACUAGCUAUGGUGGCCGCGUGGUCCAAAAGAGCCGAAUCCCUCUCCAGUACGCCAUGGGCUGCCACAGUGGCACACAGGAGGGGGAAAGACCUACAGUACUAUGAGCUUAUCGCCCGUAUUACAGGACAAGACGCAUUUAAUGCGCCGCUGAGGUGUCCCCUAGCUUUAUCGGGGACGGGAGCGAGGCCCGUCCCGUCCGUCGCCGCUCCUCCUCGCUUCAACACGCGCCCUGGCCAGCGAUGCGUGCGGCGCCAUGUAGGCAGGCAGGCAGCUGAGGUGGCGCGGUGGUAGGGUCUUCACGAAGAUCUGCAUGCCGCCACGCAGGCGCUUGCCGAUCUGGCCUGGAAGCAGCAUGUCGCCAUGCAGGUGCUAGCCCAGCUGGUUGGGCUGGCAGCUGCAUUCGAACGGCGGUGGAAAACUUUGGCUGGCGCGGGCCUGGCAGUGGCCCCGCUGAUGUCCUCGGCAAGGGCCUUGCCGGGGGCCCGGCAAGGGUCUUGCCGUGGCGUGCAGUCGUCCCCGGCAAGGAUCGUGCCGGGGGUCUUGUGGCUUUCCUCGGCAAGGAUUCCGCCGAGGGUCGCCGUCUUCUAUUCCUCAUUUGAUCUCAUACAUCCGUUGUCUUGACAAAGAUCUACAUGUCACCACAGAGGUGCCUCCCGAGCCCUGGUCCAACCAUAGUUAGUCGGGUUGGAACCCGCGGGCUCAAGGGUGGCUCGCUCUACUGGUGUUUGGGCGAGUUGCCCCGGCAAGGAUCUUGCCGGGGCCGCGGAGGCCUGCCCGGGCAAGGGCCUUGCCGGGGGACUCCACCUUGCCCCAAUGCUGUCUUGCGUUUCUGGUCUUGGCGUUGUCGUGGUUGUCUUGGGCUUCGGCUCCCCUCCUCUGCCCUGCUUAAUGUGGUUGUGGCACGUGGCUCUGACUGCCCGCACACAAGUAAAGGGGUACAAAGGUGUGCCCCUACUUUUGUACACCAACACCUCUCGUUGCUAUGCAUCACCAUGAUCUUGCGUGUGCGUAGGAAAUUUUUGAAAUUACUAUGUUCCCCAACAGUGGCAUCCGAGCCAGGUUUAUGCGUAGAUGUUAUAUGCACGAGUAGAACACAAGUGAGUUGUGGGCGAUACAAGUCAUACUACUGCUUACCAACAUGUCACACUUUGAUUCGGCGGUAUUGUUGGAUGAAGCGGCCCGGACCGACAUUACGCGUACGCUUACGCGAGACUGGUUCUACCGACGUGCUUAGCACACAGGUGGCUAGCGGGUGUCAGUUUCUCCAACUUUAGUUGAAUCGAGUGUGGCUACGCCCGGUCCUUGUGAAGGUUAAAACAACACAUACUUGAUGAAAUAUCGUGGUGGUUUUGAUGCGUAGGUAAGAACGGUUCUUGUUCAUCCCGUAGCAGCCACGUAAAACUUGCAACAACAAAGUAAAGGACGUCUAACUUGUUUUUGUAGGGCAUGUUGUGAUGUGAUAUGGUCAAGACAUGAUGCUAAAUUUUAUUGUAUGAGAUGAUCAUGUUUUGUAACAGAGUUAUCGACAACUGGUAGGAGCCAUAUGGUUGUCGCUUUAUUGUAUGAAAUACAAUUGCCAUGUAAUUGCUUUACUUUAUCACUAAGCGGUUGCGAUAGUCGUAGAAGCAAUAGUUGGCAAGACGACAACGAUGCCACGAUGAAGAUCAAGGUGUCGCGCUGGUGAUGAUGGUGAUCAUGAUGAUGGCCAUAUCAUAUCACUUAUAUUGAUUGCAUGUGAUGUUUAUCUUUUAUGCAUCUUAUUUUGCUUAGAUCGACGGUAGAAUUAUAAGAUGAUCUCUCACUAAAUUUCAAGGUAUAAGUGUUCUCCCUGAGUAUGCACCAUUGCAAAAGUUCGUCGUGCCGAGACACCACGUGAUGAUCGGGUGUGAUAAGCUCUACGUUCACAUACAACGGGUGCAAGCCAGUUUUGCACACGCAGAAUACUCGGGUUAAACUUGACGAGCCUAGCAUAUGCAGAUAUGGCCUCGGAACACUGAGACCGAAAGGUCGAGCGUGAAUCAUAUAGUAGAUAUGAUCAACAUAGUGAUGUUCACCAUUGAAAACUACCCCAUCUCACGUGAUGAUCGGACAUGGUUUAGUUGAUAUGGAUCACGUGAUCACUUAGAUGAUUAGAGGGAUGCCUGUCUAAGUGGGAGUUCUUAAGUAAUAUGAUUAAAUUGAACUUUAAUUUAUCAUGAACUUAGUACCUGAUAGUAUUUUGCAUGUCUAUGUUGUUGUAGAUAGAUGGCCCGUGAUGUUGUUCCGUUGAAUUUUAAUGCGUUCCUUGAGAAAGCAAAGUUGAAAGAUGAUGGUAGCAAUCACACAGACUGGGUCCGUAACUAGAGGAUUAUCCUCAUUGCUGCACAAAAGAAUUACGUCCUGGAAGCACCGCUAGGUGCCAAACCCGCUGCAGGAGCAACGCCAGAUGUUAUGAACGUCUGGUAGUGUGCCAUGCUUUACGCUUAGAACCGGGACUUCAACAACGUUUUGAACGUCAUGGAGCAUAUGAGAUGUUCCAGGAGUUGAAGUUAAUAUUUCAAGCAAAUGGCCGGAUUGGGAGAUAUGAAGUCUCCAAUAAGUUCUACAGCUGCAAGAUGGAGGAGAAUAGUUCUGUCAGUGAGCAUAUACUCAAAAUGUGUGGGUAUAACAAUCACUUGAUUCAACUGGGAGUUAAUCUUCCGGAUGAUAGUGUCAUUGACAGAAUUCUUCAAUCACUGCCACCAAGCUACAAGAGCUUCGUAAUGAACUAUAAUAUGCAAGGGAUGGAUAAGACAAUUCCCGAGCUCUUCACAAUGCUAAAGGCUGCAAAGGUAGAAAUCAAGAAGGAGCAUCAAGUGUUGAUGGUCAACAAGACCACCAGUUUCAAGAAAAAGGGUAAAGGGAAGAAGGGGAACUUCAAGAAGAAUGGCAAGCAAGUUGCUGCUCAAGUAAAGAAGCCCAAGUCUGGACCUAAGCCUGAGACUGAGUGCUUCUACUGCAAAGGGACUGGUCACUGGAAGCGGAACUUCCCCAAGUAUUUGGCGGAUAAGAAGGAUGGCAAGGUGAACAAAGGUAUAUGUGAUAUACAUGAUAUUGAUGUGUACCUUACUAAUGCUCGCAGUAGCACCUGGUUAUUUGAUACUGGUUCUGUUGCUAAUAUUUGCAACUCGAAACAGGGACUAUGGAUUAAGCGAAGAUUGGCUAAGGAUGAGGUGACGAUGCGCGUGGGAAAUGGUUCCAAAGUCGAUGUGAUCGCGGUCGGCACGCUACCUCUAUAUCUACCUUCGGGAUUAGUUUUAGACCUGAAUAAUUGUUAUUUGGUGCCAGCGUUGAGCAUGAACAUUAAAUCUGGAUCUUGUUUGGUGCGAGACAGUUAUUCAUUUAAAUCUGAGAAUAAUGGUUCUACUAUUUAUAUGAGUAAUAUCUUUUAUGGUCAUGCACCCUUGAAGAGUGGUCUAUUCCUUUUGAAUCUCGAUAGUAGUGAUACACAUAUUCAUAAUAUUGAAGCCAAAAGAUGCAGAGUUGAUAAUAAUAGUGCAACUUAUUUGUGGCACUGCCGUUUGGGUCAUAUUGGUGUAAAGCGCAUGAAGAAACUCCAUUCUGAUGGAUUUUUGGAAUCACAUGAUUAUGUAUCACUUGGUACUUGUGAACCAUGCCUCAUGGGCAAGAUGACUAAAAUGCCGUUCUCCGGAACAAUGGAGCGAGCAACAGAUUUGUUGGAAAUCAUACAUACUGAUGUAUGUGGUCCAAUGAAUGUUGAGGCUCGCGGCGGGUAUCGUUAUUUUCUCACCUUCACAGAUGAUUUAAGCAGAUAUUGGUAUAUCUAUUAAUGAAACAUAAGUCUGAAACAUUUGAAAAGUUCAAAGAAUUUCAGAGUGAAGUGGAAAAUCAUCGUAACAAGAACAUAAAGUUUCUACGAUCUGAUCGUGGAGGAGAAUAUUUGAGUUAUGAGUUUGGUCUUCAUUUGAAACAAUGCGGAAUAGUUUCGCAACUCACGCCACCCGGAACACCACAGCGUAAUGGUGUGUCCGAACGUCGUAAUCGUACUUUACUAGAUAUGGUGUGAUCUAUGAUGUCUCUUACUGAUUUACCGCUAUCGUUUUGGGGUUAUGCUUUAGAGACGGCUGCAUUCACAUUAAAUAGGGCACCAUCUAAAUCCGUUGAGAUGACGCCUUAUGAACUGUGGUUUGGCAAGAAACCAAAGUUGUCGUUUCUUAAAGUUUGGGACUGCGAUGCUUAUGUGAAAAAGCUUCAACCUGAUAAGCUCGAACCCAAAUCGGAGAAAUGUGUCUUCAUAGGAUUCCCAAAGGAGACUGUUGGGUACACCUUCUAUCACAGAUCUGAAGUCAAGACAUUAAAUGCUAAGAAUGGAUCCUUUCUAGAGAAGGAGUUUCUCUCGAAAGAAGUGAGUGGGAGGAAAGUAGAACUUGAUGAGGUAACUGUACCUGCUCCCUUAUUGGAAAGUAGUUCAUCACAGAAAACUGUUCCUGUGACUUCUACACCAAUUAGUGAGGAAGCUAAUGAUGAUGAUAAUGUAACUUCAGGUCAAGUUACUACCAAACCUCGUAGGUCAACCAGAGUAAGAUCCGCACCAAAGUGGUACGAUAAUCCUGUUCUGGAGGUCAUGUUACUUGACCAUGACGAACCUACGAACUAUGAGGAAGCGAUGAUGAGCCCAGAUUCCGCAAAAUGGCUUGAUGCCAUGAAAUCUGAGAUGGGAUCCAUGUAUGAGAACAAAGUGUGGACUUUGAUUGACUUGCCCAAUGAUCGGCAAGCCAUCGAGAAUAAAUGGAUCUUUAAGAAAAAGACUAACGCUGACGGUAAUAUUACAGUCUAUAAAGCUCGACUUGUUGCGAAAGGUUUUCGACAAGUUCAAGGAGUUGACUACGAUGAGACUUUCUCACCCGUAGCGAUGUUUAAGUCCAUUCGAAUCAUAUUAGCAAUUGCUGCAUUUUAUGAUUAUGAAAUUUGGUAAAUGGAUGUAAAGACUGCAAUCCUGAAUGGAUUUCUGGAAGAAGAGUUGUAUAUGAUGCAACCUGAAGGUUUUAUCGAUCCAAAGGAUGCUAACAAAGUGUGCAAGCUCCAGCGAUCCAUCUAUGGACUCGUGCAAGCAUCUCGGAGUUGGAAUAAAUGUUAUGAUAGUGUGAUCAAAGCAUAUGGUUUUAUACAAACUUUUGGAGAAGCCUGUAUUUACAAGAAAGUGAGUGGGAGCUCUGUAGCAUUUCUAUUAUUAUAUGUGGAUGACAUAUUGUUGAUUGCAAAUGAUAUAGAAUUUCUGGAUAGCAUAAAAGGAUACUUGAAUAAGAGUUUUUCAAUGAAAGACCUCGGUGAAGCUGCUUAUAUAUUGGGCAUCAAGAUCUAUAGAGAUAGAUCAAGACGCUUAAUUGGACUUCCACAAAGCACAUACCUUGAUAAAGUUUUCAAGAAGUUCAAAAUGGAUCAAGCAUAGAAAGGGUUCUUGCCUGUGUUACAAGGUGUGAAGUUGAGUCAGACUUAAUGCCCGACCACUGCAGAAGAUAGAGAGAAAAUGAAAGAUGUUCCCUAUGCUUCAGCCACAGGCUCUAUCAUGUAUGCAAUGCUGCGUACCGGACCUGAUGUGUGCCUUGCUAUUAGCUUAGCAGGGAGGUACCAAUGUAAUCCAGGAGUGGAUCACUGGACAGCGAUCAAGAACAUCCUGAAAUACCUGAAAAGGACUAAGGAUAUGUUUCUCGUUUAUGGAGGUGACAAAGAGCUCGUCAUAAAUGGUCACGUCGAUGCAAGCUUUGGCACUGAUCCGGAUGACUCUAAGUCACAAACCGGAUACGUAUUUAUAUUGAACGGUGGAGCUGUCAGUUGGUGCAGUUCUAAGCAAAGCGUUGUGGCGGGAUCUACGUGUGAAGCGGAGUACAUAGCUUCUUCGGAAGCAGCAAAUGAAGGAGUUCAUAUCCGAUCUAGGUGUCAUACUUAGUGCAUCGGGUCCAAUGAAAAUCUUUUGUGACAAUACUGGUGCAAUUGCCUUGGCAAAGGAAUCCAGAUUUCACAAGAGAACCAAGCACAUCAAGAGACGCUUCAAUUCCAUCCGCGACCAAGUCAAGGAGGGAGACAUAGAGAUUUGCAAGAUACAUACGGAUCUGAAUGUUGUAGACCCGUUGGCUAAGCCUCUCUCACGAGCAAGACAUGAUCAGCACCAAGACUCCAUGGGUGUUAGAAUCAUUACUUUGUAAUCUAGAUUAUUGACUCUAGUGCAAGUGGGAGACUGAAGGAAAUAUGCCCUAGAGGCAAUAAUAAAGUUGUUAUUUAUAUUUCCUUAUAUCAUGAUAAAUGUUAAUUAUUCAUGCUAGAAUUGUAUUAACCGGAAACUUAUUGCAUGUGUGAAUACAUAGACAAACAGAGUCUCACUAGUAUGCCUCUACUUGACUAGCUCGUUGAAUCAAAGAUGGUUAAGUUUCCUAGCCAUAGACAUGAGUUGUCAUUUGAUUAACGGGAUCACAUCAUUAGAGAAUGAUGUGAUAGCCUUGACCCAUUCCGUUAGCUUAGCAUACGAUCAUUUAGUAUAUUGCUAUUGCUUUCUUCAUGACUUAUACAUGUUCCUAUCACUAUGAGAUUAUGCAACUCCCGAAUACCGGAGGAACACUUUGUGUGCUACCAAACGUCACAACGUAACUGGGUGAUUAUAAAGGUUCUCUACAGGUGUCUCCGAUGGUACUUGUUGAGUUGGCAUAGAUCGAGAUUAGGAUUUGUCACUCCGAUUGUCGGAGAGGUAUCUCUGGGCCCUCUCGGUAAUGCACAUCACUAUAAGGCUUGCAAGCAAUGCAACUAAUGAGUUAGUUGUGGGAUGAUGUAUUACGGAACGAGUAAAGAGACUUGCCGGUAACGAGAUUGAACUAGGUAUUGAGAUACCGACGAUCGAAUCUCGGGCAAGUAACAUACCGAUGACAAAGGGAACAACGUAUGUUGUUAUGCGGUUUGACCGAUAAAGAUCUUCGUAGGAUAUAUAGGAGCCAAUAUGAGCAUCCAGGUUCCGCUAUUGGUUAUUGACCGGAGACGAGUCUCGGUCAUGUCUACAUAGUUCUCGAAACCGUAGGGUCCGCACGCUUAACGUUCGGUGACGAUCGAUAAUAAGAGUUUAUGUUUUUUUAUGUACUGAAGGUAGUUUGGAGUCCCGUAUAUGAUCACGGACAUGAUGAGGAGUCUCGAAAUGGCCGAGACAUAAAGAUUGAUAUAUUGGACGGCUAUAUUCGGACAACGAAAGUGUUCCGAGUGAUUUCGGAGAAAACCGGAGUGUCGGAGGGGUUACCGGAACCCCCCGGGGAAGUGUUGGGCCUUAGUGGGCUUUAGGGGAGAGAGAGGGCACCAAGGCCAGCCGGCCUCCCCCUUGCUCCUUUAUAUACGGGGGCGGGAGGGCACCCAUAGACACACAAGUUGAUUGUUCCAAGCCGUGUGCGAUGCCCCCUCCACCAUAAUCCACCUCGGUCAUAUCGUAGCGGUGCUUAGGCGAAGCCCUGUGUCGGUAGCAUCAUCAUCACCGUCAUCACACCGUCGUGCUGACAGAACUCUCCCUCGAAGCUCUGCUGGAUCGUGAGUUCGAGGGACGUCAUCGAGCUGAACGUGUGCUGAACUCGGAGGUGCCGUGCGUUCGGUACUUGGAUCGGUCGGAUCGUGAAGACGUACGACUACAUCAACCGCGUUGUUAUAAUGCUUCCGCUUUUGGUCUAUGAGGGUACAUGGACAACACUCUCCCCUCUCGUUGCUAUGCAUCACCAUGAUCUUGCGUGUGCGUAGAAUUUUUUUGAAAUUACUACGUUCCCCAACAGGCCCAACCGGUCAGAUCCACUGUCUUCGCGGCCGAAUUCGAGCAUCAGUGCUCUGCAUUAUGUAUUAGGCGCAAUUCUGGUUGUUUUUUGUGCCCUACCUCAUAUGUGGUACCAAAUUGUUACCCUAUCCUCAAGUGUGGUGGUUUUGGGUAAAUAACUCAGCCAUUUCUAACACCGGAGCGCCAGCUCGAGCUCCUUGAGCAGAUUCGGGCAAGGCGUGAAGCCUGGGUCGCCGCGGGGCUACCUCCGGAUGCAGUGGAUCCAGAGGAGUUGGAGGAGGAGGAGGAGGAGAAUGAGCCAGAGGAGGAGGAUGUGGGGGACGCUGGCGACGCGGAUAUGCAGGCAGAGCAGCAGGCCAUCCUCGAUUUCCUUUGCUCGGAGUCGGCUGCGGAGGCCAGACGCCAUCGCCGACAAGAGAUGGAGGUGCAACAGGCAGUGGAGGAGGCGAAUAUGCUCACCUAUAUGGAUGAGGUCGAGCGGGAGGAGGAUGAGCCGGAGCCCUCCUACCGGCUCGUCCAGCCAGCGCCCGACACCGUCGUCAAGGACAUCGACGACGAAGAUUAACUAGGGUAGUACGUAGGAUUUUUUUGGUAUGAUUUGUAUGGAUUUAGGGGUUGAAAUAUGAGAGACUCGAAUGUAGAGUGACUAAUUUGAGGCGUGACCGGUCACUGUCCGCGGACGCAUCCGGCCGCAUCCGUGGGAAUUUGAGGGGCCGGAUUUGCAAAGUCUGGCUGUAGAUGCUUUGAAGGUUUAAAGAUUGUCAAAGCUACAUGCAAUAGUAGCUUGUCCACAAUAUAAAAUCAAAGGAACCUGAAUGGAAGUCAGAUUUUUAGGCACGGCAGAUCAAGCAUUUUAUCAUGGCAAGUUGUGUUUGCCGAGGAUGGCAAGUUUAGUUGAUGAACGUGGCAAAUCCGUUUCCGUCCAUCUUUUGCUAGAAAAUUGCUGUGCUUACUGAUAACCCACAAGUUGAAUCGCAACAGUUUUGAGGGUAGAGUAUUCAAUCCAAAUUUAUUGAUUCAACAUAAGGGGAGCCAAAUAAUAUUUGCAAUUAUUACCAGAUGAGUUGUCAAUUCAACCACACCCGGAGAACUAAAUAUCCGUAGUGGAGUGAUCAGUAGCACAGUAGUAGGAUAGGUUGAUAGCAACGGUAACGGUACAGUAGCAGUAGCAGUUUUAUAGUGAUUGUAACAGCAGCAGCAACAACAAUAGUAACUUAGCAAGAUCAAUGCGAAAGUCGCAGGCAUUGGAUCAUUGAUGGAUAAUUAUGUUGGAUGACAUUCAUCAUAUAACAGUUAUAACUUAAGGCGACACAGAACUAGCUCCAAUUCAUCAAUGUAAUGUAGAUAUGUAUUCCGUAGAUAGUCAUACGUGCUUAUAAUAAGAAUUUGCAUCACAUCUUUUGUCCUACCCUCCCAUGGCAGCGGGGUCCAUAAGAAAACUAAGGGAUAUUAAUGCCUCCUUUUAAUAGAGAACCGGAACAAAGCAUUAACACAUAGUGAAUACAUGACUUCUCAAACGAGGGUAAUCACGGAAAGAAUCCCAAUUUCUGUCACUUUGGGGUAUGCGGAUCAUAACACGUAAUAGGUACAUAUAACUUCCAAGAUAGGAUCAAGAACACAAAUAUGUUCAUGAAAACAUAAAGGGUUCAGAUCUGAAAUCAUGGCACUCGGGCCCUAGUAACAAGCAUUAAGCAUAGCAAAGUCAUAGCAACAUCAAUCUCAGAACAUAGUGGAUACUAGGGAUCAAGCCCUAACAAAACUAACUCUAUUACAUGAUAAAUCUCAUCGAACCCAUCACCGUCCAACAAGCCUAUGAAGGAAUUACUCACUCCCGGUGGUGAGCAUCAUGAAAUUGGUGAUGAAGAAGGCUUGGUGAUGAUGAUGAUGACAACAAAUCCCACUCUCCGGAGCUCUGAACGGACUCCAGAUCUGGCCUUCCGGUCAAGAACAGGAGGUGGCAGCGGCUCCGUAUAGUAAAACAUGAUGAAACUUCUUCUCUUAUUUUUUUCUCGGGAAAUCUAAAUUUGUAGGCUUGAGGUUAGGGUCAACGGAGCCACGUGGGCCUCACAAGGCACCAGGGCGCGCCCUGGUGGCUCCCCUCCUGUGGGUCUUGGCUCUAGUAUUUUUUAUUAUUUUCAUAAAAGAUCUCCAAAUAGUUUCGUCCAAUUGCAAGAACUUUUAUUUCUGCACAAAAACAACACAAUGGUAGUUCAACUGAAAACAACGUCAGUCUGGAUUUGUUUCAUUCAAAUCAUGCAAAUUAGAGUCCAAAACAAGAGAAAAAUGUUUGAAAAAGUAGACACGAUUCAGAUGUAUCAACUCCCCCAAGCUUAAUUCAUUGCUUGUCCUCAACCAAUUCAAUUGACAAACUGAAAAUGAUAAACAAAAACUUUUACGAACUCUUUUGUUCUUGUAUCCGUAUAUAAGCUUAAAUAGUACCCAGGUUUUCAGCAAAGAUCAUAACUAACCAUGCAAAUGAUAACCCUUAGAAAUUAUAUCCACUCAUAUCAAUAGCAUAAUCAACUAGCGAGCAACAAUAAUAUAUCUCAAAUGCCAACACUUUGUCAAAACAAUCAUGAUAUAAUAUGACAAUAUGGUAUCUCGUUAGCCCUUUCUAAGACCGCAAAACAUAAAUUUAGAGCACCUCCAAAGUUCAAGCAGUGACUAAACAUUGUAAUUCAUGGUAGAAGAGAUCCAGUCAUGAUGCACACAAAUAUUGACUAUACACAAUGCAUAAGAAUGACAAUAGUGCUCUUUGGACUGGUGCUCGAUUGAGAAGGUGAUGACUCAACAAUAAAAGUAAAAUAACAUAAAAAUAAUAGAUAAGCCCUUCGCAGAGGGAAGCAAAGAUUUGCAGAGGUGCCAAAGCUUGAAGCUUAAAUCAGAGAUAAAUAUAAUUGUGAGAGCCAUGCCUUUCCUGUCAACGUCACGACUGAGAGUUUUCAAUAUCUUCCAUGCUAAACACAUUAGUGGCGGUUCCCAAGCGGUAAAGUAGAGUUUACUCCCCCUCCACCCACAAACACAAGCCAUGGCUAGCCGAAUCAUCGGGUGCCCUCCAUACCAACAACUUUUCGAGGCAGUUUGUUUCAUUAUUUUGCAAUUUAAUCAUGGGACCAGGCAUCCCGAAUACCAUCCCCUCUUGUGCAAGGACAAGUGAAUAAACACUUAUCAUAAGAAUAAUCCGCUUAGCGUGGAAGAUAAUGACCGCCCCUCUCAUAAUAAAGAGAGGAAACUUGAUGUUGUUGAAAUAUAUAUGAGCAUAUCUUCCCCUCUCAUAAUAAUUUUCAAUAGCAUCAUGAAUGAAUUCAACAAUAUAACUAUCACAUAAAGCACUCUUUUCAUGAUGCAUAAGCAUAGAAAUUUUAUUACUCUCCACAUAAGCAAAUUUAUUCUCAUAAAUAGUGGUGGGAGCAAACUCAACAAAAUAACUAUCAUGUGACUGAAAAUUAAAAUUAUGAUGACAAGUUUCAUGGUUAUAAUUAUUCUCUAUAACAUAUAUGUCAUCACCAUAAUCAUCAUAGAUAUCAACUUUGUUUUCGUAAUCAAUUGAAACCUCUUCCAAAAUAGUGGAAUCAUUACUAAAUAAAGUCAUGACCUCUCCAAAUCCACAUUCAUCAAUAUAAUCAUCAUAAAUAGGAGGCAUGCUUUCAUCAUAGUAAAUAUUCUCAUGAAAACUUGGGGGACUAAAAAUAUCAUCUUCAUCAAAUAUAGCAUCCCAAGCUUAUGGCUUUGCAUGUCGUUAGCAUCAUGGGUAUUCAAAGAGUUCAUACCAACAACGUUGCAAUCAUUCUCAUCAUUCAAAGAUUUUUUGUCAAACAUUUUAUAGGAUUCUUCCCCUAUCAAUUGAGCACAAUUUUCCUUUCCAUCAUUUUCUCGAAAGACAUUAUAAAUAUGAACAAUAUGAUGCAACCUCAAUUCCAUUUUUUGUAGUUUUCUUUUACAAACCAAACUAGUGAUAAAACAAGAAAAUAAAAGAAUCAACUGCAAUAUCUAAAGAUAUAACUUCAAACACUCACCUCCCCGGCAACGGCGCCAGAAAAGAGCUUGAUGUCUACUACACAACUUGUUCUUGUAGACUCGUGUUGGGCCUCCAAGCGCAGAGUUUUGUAGGACAAUAGCAGAUUUCCCUCAAGUAGAUGACCUAAGGUUUAUCAAUCCAUGGGAGGUGUAGGAUGAAGAUGGUCUCUCUCAAACAACCCUGCAACCAAAUAAUAAAAAGUCUCUUGUGUCCCCCAACACACCAAAUACAAUGGUAAAUUGUAUAUGUGCACUAGUUCGGCGAAGACAUGAUGAUACAAGUGUAGUAAUGAUAGUAGAUAUUGAUUUUUGUAAUAGGAACAAUAAAAAACAGCAAGGUAGCAAUUGAUAAAAUGGAGCACAAAUGGUAUUGCAAUGCUUGAAAAUGAGGCCUAGGGUCCGUAUUUUCGCUAGUGCAAUCUCUCAAACAAUGCUAAUGUAAUUGGAUCAUAUAACCAUCCCUCAACGUGUGAUGAAGAAUCACUCCAAAGUUCUUAUCUAGCGGAGAACAUAAGAAGAAAUUGUUUGUAGGGUACGAAACCACCUUAAAGUUAUUCUUUCCGUUCGAUCUAUUCAAGAGUUCGUACUAAAAUAGCACAAAGUUAUUUUUUUUCCGUUCGAUCUAUCCAAGAGUUCGUACUAAAAUAGCACCAUAUGAUACGCAUCAACCAACUCUAAUGUCACCUAGAUACUCCAAUGUCACCACAAGUAUCUGUGAGUUAAUUAUACGAUACACAUCAAACAAUUUCAGAUUCAUAAUACUCGAUCCAACACAAAGAACCUCAAAGAGUGCCCCAAGAUUUCUACCGGAGAAAUAAGGACGAAAACAUGCAUCAACCCCUAUGCAUAGAUUACCCCAAUGUCACCUCGGGAAUCUGUGAGUUGAGUGACAAAACAUAUAUCAAGUGAAUCAAUAUAACACCCCAUUUUUACCACGGGUAUUCAUAGCAAGACAUACAUCAAGUGUUCUCAUAUCCAUAAAAGUAUUCAAUCCGAUAAGAAUGAAAUCUCAAAGGGAAAACUCAAUUCACAACAAGAUAGAGAGGGAAAAACACCAUACGAUCCAACUAUAUUAACAAAGCCCGCGAUACAUCAAGAUCGUGACAUCUCAAGAACACGAGAGAGAGAGAGAUUAAACACAUAGCUACUGGUACAAACCCUCAGCCCCGAGGGUGGACUACUCCCUCCUCAUCAUGGUGGCCGCCGGGAUGAUGAAGAUGGCCACCGGUGAUGAUUUCCCCCUCCGGCAGGGUGCCGGAACGGGGUCUAGAUUGGUUUUUCAUGGCUACAGAGGCUUGCGGUGGCGGAACUUCUGAUCUAGGGUUAUUUCUGAUGGUUUCUCUAUUUAUAGGAUUUUUCAGCGUUGGAAUCACGCGAAGAUGGCCUCGAGGUGGGCACAACCCACCUGGGCGCGCCCAGGUGUCUUGUGCUCACCUCCUUCACCUUCUGGUCCUCUCACAAAGCUUCUAGUGCCUCUUUUGUUUCCAAAAAAUGUCAAAAAGUUACGUUGCAUUUGGAGAACUUUUAUUUCUGCACAAAAAAUAACACCACGGUAGUUUUGCUAAAAAUGACAUCAGUCCGGGUUAGUUCCAUACAAAUCAUACCAAAACCAUAUAUAAUUAUUGUAAACAUGGCAUGGAUACUUCAUAAAUUAUAGAUAUGUCGGAGACGUAUCACGCAGCCCCCCGCCACCGAUAGCUAGAGCGCCUCCUCCAUGCCAUUGUCAGGCGAGCGCGCGUCCUCCUCGUGGCGGGACACUUCGAGGGCACGCUGGAGCGCCUCCUUGAGUGGGGCCUGGUACGCCGCCUCUGCCUCCUCGUCUUCCUACGCUACCACUGGGGGCGGCGGUGCAAAGUCGGCUGGACGGUGUCGCGACGGCGCACGUCGUGCUUGGUGGCGAACCAGACAUCCCAUUUGGGGGAGUCUGGCGCGUAUGCCAGGUCGUGGCGUUGCUUUGGCGUCAGGAGGACAUGUCUGGCGUGGAUUGCGGUACUGUAGGCACCAGGAUGCGGUGGGGGUCCAGGUGCCAGCCAUGCGGGAGGUUCACGUCGUGCCACGGCAGCGGGGCGCGAUACUUCCAGUGGUACCACAUGUGAUACUAUGAUGUAUAGACGGUCCCGCGCCCUUCUAGCCGUUGGCACCAACGUCCGCCUCGCUGGUCCGUGUGAUGAGUUGGCCUUGUCCUACUUGGCCUUGCCCUUUCCUUUGCCGAAGAAACCCGCCACGACUAGGGCUACGGUUUGUGUCGCCGGUGAGGGAACAAGUGUGGCUAGAUGUGGACGGGAGUGGAGGAGAAGUGGAUGAGCCCCCAGCAUGCUUGCCAUUUAUAGAGAGUGGACUUUGGAUGCUUCCAGCCGCUGCCAUGCGGGUCUGAGUUAGGUGGCGGCAUUGACUACAACCGCGUGGGGUAGUUGGGUGGGCGACACGCGGGUCGAGGCGGACACCGAGCGGACGCGUGGCGCGUCCAUCUCGUGUCCGUGUGAACACAAAUUUGGGUCGGAAAUGCGUCCACAUAGACAGUGAGCAGGCGAGAUUUGGGUUUACGUCGGCGUGUUGGGCCGGCGUUUUCAUCAGUUUUGAUUCAAACGGACACGUGAGGACCAAAUGCAUCGGCGCAUUGGAGUUGCCCUAAUUCUUAUGAUAGUCUUAAUUAGGGUUUAGUGGAUUCGCCGGGCCCACCCUAAAAUUCAGGCGGAUGUUAGUUAAGGUGGAAGGAGGUUUCAUAAGGGCAGGUAGACGUAGGUCUAGCAUUUUUUUGGGGGGCUCUCCUUGCCGUUGGGCGCGCUUGUUGCGUAGCGGCCACCGCGAAUCUCCCACAGCGAUCGAUCGAAUCCUCAGCGGCCCGCGCUCGGACGCAACGCAUGCAACAACGCCCCCGGAAUCCACAGCCGCGCGCGCGUGCAUGCAUGCAUUGUCCCCCGCCGCGCCUCGCCUCGGUGCGCGCCCGUAGACCGGCCGGCGCGCGCGACCACCGGGACACGCACGGGCGCGGCGAGAGCGGGCGAGAGAGCAAAACGCCCACGGCCGUAGCGUACGUACUACAUGGAUGGACGCGUACGUAUUACCACGACGCAUGGGACGAGAUGCCAUGUGGCGCCGGCCUCUGUGGUGGUCUGGUGGUCACGGCACGUGAUGCGCAUAUGCAUUGCCGUUGCUGUCGGCUUCCGCUCGUCUUGCGCGCGCGCGUGCGCCGGACAGCUACGUUCUCUCGUUCGUUCGUGCCCUCUCCGUGGACUCUUGCGGUCGAGACGUUGCUCUCCGUCGCGUGAAUCUGUACCACUAAACCACUGUGCUACGUGGUACGAACGGUACGGUUCAAGUUUCAAGACUCAUGUUGCAGUUGGACAAAAUAUUUGACCCAACUGUUAAUUUACGUACGCCAUCACUUGUUCCGAACACAUAGUAAUAUUUACAAGUAUCAGUGCUUCACGACCGUGAGACAACGGAAGAACAGCGGUGCUCAUGUACCCUCCAGCACCCCGUCAGUCUGCCUCGUCUCCGAUGGCUUUAAAGUCAUGGGGUGCGGUGGAUCCCGGUUCUUGUUGGCAAGAAGACUUCGUUUUUAGAUGUGUUUUUGAAUUUUGUCAGGGUUUGUGUCGUACUUAAAAAGGCGAGACGGCGGCAGCUCUCUGAAGAUGAAAUAAGAUUUUUCCCUCCUAACCCCCGUUCCAGUGGUGCAUCUAGUAUCGUCGGUGGGUGUGCAGAGGUGUGUCUCCAGCGGAUCUACCUUUGGUGGAUUUGCUCGGAUCUGUUUAUCAUUCGUCUACGUUCGUGUGUCUUCGUUUUUUAUUCUUCCGACCUACGUUACUCUUCAUCGGCGGCAGUUGCUGUUCUGGUGUGCUGGUCCUAUAUGGCCUUAGCACGACGACUUUUCGACUGUUUACUAUAACAAAUUGUUCGGCUCUGGUGAGGGAGAGGCGACGACGGCGGCGCGCCUUCGGCUCGUUCAGUGUUUGUAGUCGUCGAUAGGUGGUCUAUGAAUCUGGAUGUAAUUUAUAUUAUUUAUGGCGUUCGUGUACUUCCAUGAGUAUAUAUAAGAUAUUUUUCCGAAAAAAAAUUAUAUUUACUAGUAUCAGUGCGAGUUGAAAAGUCAUCCGGACAAUGGUUGUCCUUGCUAGCUAGUUAAGUGAACUAAGCUUAACUUAUUCUUACCACCAGAGGCCAAAUAUUUGACCAGGAAGACAUGCCACUAUAUAUGCCAGAGCGAUGCGAGUCAAGUACAGUUAUAGCCGAAUAUUUGACCAGCAAACUAUACAUGCGAAUAUAUGACAGGUAUGCGAUGCCAGUGAAGUACACAUAUAUACGUGCUAGUGGUGCAUGUUAACGUUGGAAUCCAAAACGAGCCAGCCGAGGAUCGAUGAAGAAUAUUUACAUAUCCCUUGCGCCCAUCACGUACCCGUCGAUGGAUUCGAUGGAUCGUAUCAACUUUGGGUCGCAAGGCGACGCACGUAAAGGUGAAAAGAGAGGGGCGUCGUGGUGCUCGUGCAUGCAUGCAUGGUCACGGGGAGGGGCUGGGUGCAGGUGCAGGUGCAGGCACACACGGUUGUUGAAAAGGCAGAGCACGGUUGCCUGGGAGAGCCGCUUUGGUCCUGGUCCACCACGCGAGGGCGCAGGGGAAUCCGGCUCCCCGCCAAGCGCUGCGCGCCAAACCCCCCGUCUGUCUCAGAGAGAAAGCCACCCCGUCGCAAAGCCUCUCUCUCAGGCAGCCAAGGGAGCAUAUAUUUGAUAUUUCUUGUGCUGUUCUACUAUAUGCAUUUCCUUGCUGUGACGUCCUGGCGUGCAUGUCGCCACCCCGGCACAGCCAGAGAGAUAUUACUACUGUUAACAGGAGGACAGAGGUGAGAGAGAGGUUGGAGGGAGGGAGGGGUACCUGACGCUGUGCCAGCCAGCUAGGGCAGUGUCUAGCUAGGUUUUUUUUUCUCUCGGCCCGCUUGGUGCGUAGCGCCAUGCACCUUUAUUCCGCGCCUUGUAAUCAUGCUGCUUGUGCGUGUAUAUAUGGAUGGACUGGAAGCUGAGGCCUGGAGGAGCGUGCAAUGUGCGUGCAUGUGUGCGCUCUUUGCCCGCGUUGUGUCAUGUCAUCAUCUCCCUCUCAUGUGAGUGAGUGAGAGAUAAUACUAGCUAGGGUUUGUGUGAGUGCGUGAGAGGGAUUAGCUAGCUAGGGCACUCUGGGUAUGAGGAGGAGGAGCUGCCGCGGCUCCCAGCUAUUUAUAGGGGGCUGCGUACAGCGUACAAUCAAGCUAGCAACACCUACCACUACCAUGCUCCCUCCAGUCUUCUUCCUCCUCCCUCCAUCCACACGCUCACCAACACCUACCAUUACCAAGCUAGCUCUCUCUCCUCUCCAUGAGUAGCGCCAUCCAUCCACACGCACAAUGUAGAGUGUCCUGAGGUCGGCAUUGAGAGGGGGGCCUCGUUUGUGAGCGCGGACAUCGACGGAUGACUGACGCCGUGCAAUGCAGCUUCUGGAUGGGGAGGUAGGUGAAGGCUCGGCAGGAAGGAAGAGGUGAAAACAAUGGGAUAUGCCUGGCUCCCUGUAUGCCACUCGCGUAGCUGCCAACUCUCCAAACCCAGCGUUGGCUCUACCGCGGAUGGCGUGCGAGGAGCCAAGCAUGACCGUCUCUCUCUCUCUCUCUCUCUCUCUCUCUCUCUCUCUCUGGUUGCUUUAGAUUCCUGGAAAUGAACCGCAUCAUGCAUGUGAUGCUAUGUACAAGCAGCUAGCGAUAAUGGUAGGGAGUACUCCAAGAUCUAUACAGUACUUUUGUACGUACGUUUGGCAUAAUCUGUGUCCUUGUGAAUGCAUGGUAAGCAUAUUAAAGUAGUUUUGGUUCCCAGCGUGUAAACAACAAUCUGUAUACUAAUCAAUCUAAGCCUCCUUAAGACCUUAACUAUAUAAGUUCAUAUGCAACCCUCAUCGAGUGCAGCAACUGUUCUGAUGACUAUGUAUUGACCUUUUUUCUUUGUUUUUUGAAUCGAUCGUCACUUCAUUCUGUUUUCUUGUAGUUUGUACGCUGCUGCAGGCCGGCAGAUAUGUAUGCACAAGUAUCAUUCAAACACUUGCAUGGCUCCAUCUCAUUAAUCAUCCAGAUUCCAGAGGGGGAGCUACACAUACUUUUCAUGGUGCUGGUCGAUACCUGACCCGGCUGGCGUACACCGUACAGGCUCCAAUGUCAAUGCAUCUGCGCAUCUAUAUAUCAGCAGAAAAGCUAGGUGUAUAUAUAGCUCGCUCGUCAGACCAUAUGCAUGCAUUGGUCUUACUUAGUCGUUUGAUCCUGAUUCAGAUGGUCAAAAUCAUGUACACUUUGAGAUUUCACCUUUCCUGUAAGAACAUGUAAUAUCCUUGGUGUGUUCCAUUCUCGAAUAUUCAAUGAAUUAAGCCGAAAUACUGUACUAGCUUUUCUCAUCUGGAAUGAAAAAAAAACUACUUGUAUGCUCGUUGUUCUGCCGUAUAUAAUUCCUUCUUUUUCCUUGAGAGAAGGGCACAUAUCGUCCCAAGGUCUAGCUGACCACGAAGCACGUGUGUAGUACACGGUUUGCAGCACUAUCUUGUAAUUUGUUCCCUCGGCAGAAAUGUUCGAUUUGACAUAUAAACAAACGCGUGAAUUUCAUAUGGCGCUACGAUCGUUGUCAGUAACAUGAUUAUAGACUUGCCAAUCAAAUCAGUUAGUGUAGUAGUACAGUUGACAAAACUUGGGCUAUAUUAACCCCCCNNNNNNNNNNNNNNNNNNNNNNNNNNNNNNNNNNNNNNNNNNNNNNNNNNNNNNNNNNNNNNNNNNNNNNNNNNNNNNNNNNNNNNNNNNNNNNNNNNNNNNNNNNNNNNNNNNNNNNNNNNNNNNNNNNNNNNNNNNNNNNNNNNNNNNNNNNNNNNNNNNNNNNNNNNNNNNNNNNNNNNNNNNNNNNNNNNNNNNNNNNNNNNNNNNNNNNNNNNNNNNNNNNNNNNNNNNNNNNNNNNNNNNNNNNNNNNNNNNNNNNNNNNNNNNNNNNNNNNNNNNNNNNNNNNNNNNNNNNNNNNNNNNNNNNNNNNNNNNNNNNNNNNNNNNNNNNNNNNNNNNNNNNNNNNNNNNNNNNNNNNNNNNNNNNNNNNNNNNNNNNNNNNNNNNNNNNNNNNNNNNNNNNNNNNNNNNNNNNNNNNNNNNNNNNNNNNNNNNNNNNNNNNNNNNNNNNNAGUGUCAUCAUCUUUUUUAAGGUAAGCGUGGGCUUUAUUAAUUAUACAUCAACAUCAAGAAUACAAUGUCCGGUAUUCGCAAAAAAAAAAAAGAAUACAAUGUCCGGGAGUUCCAGUAACCCUACAUAUAUAUGUCUCUGCACCUACAGGUAGCACAGAUGCUGUCUUGCCACACUAUGAGCUUCGUUGUUGAGCACCCGACGCUCAUGGUGAACUUGCACCACAUGAAACUGAGAUCGUUUCUCUUGAAACUCCUUAAGGAAGAAGUUGUACAGCCCGCGCCACCAGCUGACAAUCAGCCGAGAUGUGUUCCUUCCGAAGAUGCAGGUGAGAGGCUAGUGACAGCCUCUCAUUGCACGCCGCCGCCGCCGCUUCAAGCACUGCCGGUUCCCUCAUCCCACGAUAAACAACAGCAUAGCCUCCUAGAUAUUUUUCCCAUAUAAUCACGACGCACUGCUCCAAUAGCUCAUCGAGAUAAAUGCAUGUGUGGUACUGAUUGUUUUUAUGUCAACUGAGUUUCAAUUCUUUGAAAAAUACACAUCCCAAUUUCAAAUCUUUUGUAAGUGGUUCAUCAGAGAGCCUAUUGACCCCGGACACAUGCUGACUGGCCUAUGUGAGGCUUUGAUUACCGCCACGUAGUCCAUAAUUUGCACAAAACCCCCCACAAAAUAAUCUCUUCCAAUUCUAUGACCCCUACUCUCCCCUGACGCGGUCAAGCUCUCGGCGCGUCUUCAUCCAACUCUUGCUGUUCCCCAACAACAGACUACUGAUAAAUAGAUUACCACUCUCACAAAAUCUAUCCCGGUGCCUCUUGUUCCCCAACAAUCCAAAUAUCUCACCAAGAUGAGUUUCAUCCAUUACAUCAGCCACAUCAAGCAUUUUGUGGUUAAACUAGCUACAAGUGUAUAUAUAGUUGCAGGUGGCUAGGAACAAUACACAUAUAUAGAGGAACUUUGCCUGAUAUCAUUAAUUAAAUUGUUGAUGAUGAGAACGAGUCACUACAGUAGGUAAGAAGUAAAUGCGCUUCAUAUCACAAUAGCAUAAGCCGAUCAUAUCCUCAGGCUUAUGCACCGGAUUGUACGCUUUGAGUUUAUAAUUAUUAAGAUAGACAUGCAUAGAAAAUGUAUUUUGAAAUCCGUUUGAUGCUGGAGUUAAGACUCUUGUGCUACUAUAUCCAAAAGUGAUGAUAAGAGCAAACAAAAGUUUCACUAAGUAUACAAUUUUAUUCUCUUAUUUCUUAACCUUAUUUUACCAGUUUCUACUAUAUGCGUACUCAUUGUUGCGUUCAUAUUCAACCUUUAGUUUGACCUUGAUAACAUGGACUCUGUUUAAUCCAUCUUAAUUUUUGAAAUGGAGUUCGUCACCGCCCAUGCAUCCUCGAGGACUACUCUUCACACAACCAAUCUUAUAGUGACACUUUGGCUUGUUCAUAUUGUAGGUUAACUAUUUAGACUUCUUUGAGUAAGCAUCUGUCAGCCAUAGUUUUUUUUAGGCAAAACACACUUUAUGUGGAAGAUAGAAUGUUUAUAUGUACAAUAAUUGGAUCAUAGGGGAGACCCAACCAGACACAACAGCCUAUCCUUAGAGUAGCGGCGUGCUUUGCAAGGUUAUAUAUGAGCCUUGAAAUUGAUGUUUCUAUGGUCACGAACAAAAUUGCAAAGUUCAAGAGCGACUUUUGACUUUUGCUUUGUCUGAUGAUGGCGCCAUAGCUUUCCUUGCAUGAUGUCAUCAACCACGGUUUUGCAGUUAGAGGCUAUCACAAUAUUGUGGUCAUAUAGAUCCUCUUCUAGGGUAAGCCCUUCACGACAGGCUAGGGCUUCCAACCGACAUAGAUACGGUGCGUCUAAGUCUCAUCUGUAGCAAGACCGAAUGCACCAUCACCUGACGAGCCUCCUUAAAUGGGUCAGGCCAAUAAGCACGUACACCUAUGUGACCUAUCACACACUACACGUGUAAGCAUGAACUUUACGUGUUGUUUUCUUUUCUUUUUUCCUCUUCCUUUUUUCUUCGUUCCUUCUGAAAUGUUCUAACAAAUAGAUUAGUAAAAUUUUAGAAGAAUGUUCCUAUAUUAUCUAAAAACUGCAAUUAAAAAUACUUUACCAUCUGUUUGAAAAAUGUUCGUUGUGUGAUUAAAAUAAGUUACCAUUAUUUAUAAAAUAUUCAUGUAUUUAUAAAAAAUAUUAACCAUGUAUUUUUAAACUGUUCAUCAUAUUUUAAAAAUCUUCAUCAUGUAUUAAAAAUAGUCACAAGUUUAAAAAUGUUCAACACCUUUGAAAAAAUAUUCAUGAAAAAAAUGUGUUAUGGUAAUUUAAAAAAAGUAUUUGGAACUUUAAAAAAAUUAUUCAUGUUAUUAAAAAACGUCCGCCAUUUAAAAAAUAUGUGGACAACAUUUUAAAAAUAUAUUCAUGAAAUGCAAAAUUGUGUUUGCGCAGUUUUAGAAAAAUGUGCAUAACAUAUAAAAAAAUAGUUUGUGCCAUUUAUAAAAAAUCCCAACAAUUAACAAAAUGUUUGCACAAAACAUUUUUGAAAAUUGUUCAAACAUGUUAAACAAUGUUCACUAUAUUGGUACGAGCAAGAUCGUUUCUCUUGAAGCUCCUUAAGAAGGACACUGUAUGGCCCGCACCACGUCCUCACAGUAAGUCGAGAUGUGUACCUUCCGAAGAUGCAGGUGUGAGGCAAGUGACAACUCCUCAUUGCAUGUUGUCGAUAAUGGAGUCACUACUGUGGCGUGCACCCCGAGUAAUUAUAGUUCUCCUUAUGUCCGAUCGUAUCGUCCACAUAGCUGGCUGCUUGAUAUUCUUUUUGUAGUGAGGCUCUUUCCAAGCAUUCAAAUUGACAUUUUGUUUCUGAACUUUGUACGUGUUGGAGGUCAUCAUUAUCACCAAAUAACUCUCAAAGAUAAUCUCUGCCAUUUGCAACAAUUAGCAACCAAACGCGGGACCUCAUUAAUGAGUGAUUUAUGUCGUAUCGCACUUAUAAACUUCAAUGCAAAAAUGAUGUGUGAGAGGUGCUUAUUUUCGAUAAAUAUAGUUAAAAUCUUAAGCAUCUAUUCGCGUUGCUACCUUUGAUUACCGUUGCAUGUUGAUGGCAUCAUCUCUAAAAAAAAUCAUACGGUUUGUUUUUAGUACUAUUCCCAACCAAUAUCUUGCCACCUACAUAUUUGUUUAGUCGUUUGUAAAGAAGCCUAAUUAGUUGUCAUGUUUAUAGACCAAAUUACAUUAAUUCAUUUAGACACUUACAUGUAUUUGCGGUUUCGUGCGUUCCAAAUUACUUUCAUGGUUUUGUACCAUCUCCCAAUAUAUUUAAAAUUGUUUCAAUUGCUUUGUGCAAGCCGACUCUUAUAAAAAACACAAAAUGUUAUAUAACUAGCCUGUGCGAAUGCACGGCUUCAAGAAUAUAUGAGAGCGACAUCAACACGCACUAUCCACAACAGGCCGAAAUGGAACGAGAGCAAUUCUCCAUCAACAUAUCUGAUAUGAGACGACAACGGCAUUUUGUCACAGAAAGGAUGCUUUCAAGUGAUGCAUCAUCGUCAACACGCCGCUGCAACACCAUCGUUGACACUUCAUUGGCAAGGUCUACAUCAACAUUGUCAUCACCAAUAUCUUCGUCAACACACAUCGCGCUGCUUCGUCCACAAGAUGGUCAUCUUUAGCGUCUCUAGCUCCUUGUAUGCCACUCGUCUAGCUGCCUACCCGAUUAAGCUCUACCGCAGAUGACGCGCGAGGAGCCAAGCAUUUUGGUCUCUCUCUCUCUCUCUCUCUCUCUCUCUCUCUCUCUAGUAGAAAACAAGGCUGGUUCGGGCCUGGCCAGCCCAUUAGUCCUGGUUCAUUCACGAACCGAGACCCAUGGGGGGCAUUCGUCCCGGUUCGUGAGCCCAGGGGGCCGGCCGGGGCCUCGUGGGCAUUGGUCCCGGUUCGUCUGGACACAUUUGUCCUGGUUCCUGGCACGAACCGGGACUAAUGGGCCUCGCUCCUGGCCCACAGCCAUUGGUCCCGGUUCGUGGCUCGAACCGGGACAGAAGGGGGAGCUUUAGUCCUGGUUCCAGCCACGAACCGGGACGAAUUAGUUGCCUAUAUAUACCCCAUCGCCGCAGCAGAGCACUCCACAGUGCUAUAUUUUUUGCUCGCCGGCGAGGGGGAGGGCAUUUGGGUGCUCUAGCUCACCUCCUAUGCACAUGAGGUGUUCGAUGAAAUGCCCGAGCCACACUAGUUAAUCUUUCUCCUCUCAAAACUCGACCUCCGAGCUCCAUUUUCCCUGAGAUUUGUCUAGGUUUAGCGGUUCGUCAAGCCCCGUCCCCGUCUUCACCGCCGUCGAUCGCCCGCGCCGGCACAACCGUGGUGAGCCUCUUGUUCUUAUCUUCUUUCUGAAAGAAAAAAAAAUUCUUACUUCACAUAGAUACUUGUCUAAUUUUCUUACUUUUAUUAUUCCUUGUUAUUAUAUAGUGCGAUAGUUUUGGUAUCCACCCCCCGUCGGCCCUCGUCCUGUCUAUGAUUCGGAUGUGGUAUAUAUUAUCUUUUUAUAACUAUUUGGUUCAUUUAUUGUUUAUGACAAUUGCCGACCAACGUGACAUAGACUUUAUUUAUCUAGGAGGUGGUUGAACCAGAUAUUCCAACCGACCCUAUUGUCGAGAGGUUAAAUUUAGUUGAAGAAGAAAACAAUUACUUGAAGGAAAAAAUUAAAAAAUUGAGGAGGAGAAGAUGAUAUUGGAGUUGCAUGUUGCGGAUGUCGUCGAUGAUCACAAGAUCAAGAUGGAUGCAAUGCGGUUGAAGAUUAUAAAGAUUAGAAAAUAUGCCAUUCAUACCGAGGCUUGGUAUCAUUAUGCCGUUGGAUCAAUUGUUACCUUGGUUGCGAUUAUGAUCGCAUUUGUUGUUGCAUUGAAAUGUUUUACAUAAUUUCAAUGUAUCGUUUAAUUAGAUGCUCUGGAGAGCUAUAUGUUGUUCAAUGAGAACUAUGUAUGUACUUUGGUUUUAAUGUGAUGAUGAACUUUUAUUAAUUUGAUCACUUAUCUAUUCAUUAUGUUGCCUUCUAUCGAAGAAAAAGUGAAGACUUUCUCUCCACAACUAUUAUGAUGAUGCCUUUGAUCUAGAAUAUCACUGCAGUUACAUGUGAAGAAAUGAAAUGCUUCUUGUAACAGACGAGUUUCCGUAUGAAACCCUAAUACUUCGAAAGAGAUUGUCCGUUUUGUACACGAAGUGCAUCCAGUUUUUGCCGUAACCCUCUCUACUUUCUUGCACAUGCUAUGUGGAUGAAAUGAUGAUACCAUGCCAACUUUUAACCUUUUCAGAGUGAAUUUGGAAUGCUUUUCAAUUUCAGGGUCUUAUAGCUCAAAAUAAUCAGUAAAUGCAUGAAAAAUAACAAAUGAAGUCAGAAAGGGUUGAAAAUUGAUGAUGUGGCUUUGAAUGGUGCAUUUUGAACACAGAAAAAGUCUGGAGUUCAAAUAAGUUCAAAAAAAAAAUGAAAUGCCUGUUGUAACAGAUGAGUUUCUGUAUGAAACCCUGAUACUUCGAAAGAGAUUGUCCGUUUUGUACACGAAGUGCAUCCAGUUUUUGCCGUAACCCUCUCUACUUUCCUGCUCAUGCUAUGUGGAUGAAAUGAUGAUACCAUGCCAACUUUCAACCUUUUUAGAGUGAAUUUGAAAUGCUUUUCAAUUUCAGGGUCUUAUAGCUCAAAAUAAUCAGUAAAUGCAUGAAAAAUAACAAAGGAAGUCAGAAAGGGUUGAAAAUUGAUGAUGUGGCUUUGAAUGGUGCUUUUUGCACACAGAAAAAGUCUAUAGUUCAAAUAAGUUCAAAAAAUGAAAUCCAUGUUGUAACAGACGAGUUUCCGUAUGAAACCCUGAUACGUCGAAAUAGAUUGUCCGUUUUGUACACGAAGUGCAUCCAGUUUUUGCCGUCAACCACUCUACUUUCUUGCACAUGCUAUGUGGAUGAAAUGAUGAUACCAUGCCAACUUUCAACUUUUUAAGACUUCAUUUGAAAUGAUUUCAAUUUCAGGGUCUUAUAGCUCAAAAUAAUCCGUAAAUGCAUGAAAAAUAACAAAUGAAGUCAGAAAGGGUUUAAAAUUGAUGAUGUGUCUUUGAAUGGUGCAUUUUGAACACAGAAAAGUCUGGAGUUCAAAUAAGUUCAAAAAAUGAAAUCCCUGUUGUAACAGACGAGUUUCCGUAUGAAACCUUGAUACUUCGAAAUAGAUUGUCCAUUUUGUACACGAAGUGCAUCCAGUUUUUGCCGUAAUCCUCUCUACUUUCUUGCACAUGCUAUGUGGAUGAAAUGAUGAUACCAUGCCAACUUUCAACCUUUUCGGAGUUCAUUUGAAAUGCUUUUCAAUUUCAGGGUCUUAUAGCUCAAAAUAAUCAGUAAAUGCAUGAAAAAUAACAAAUGAAGUCAGAAAGGGUUGAAAAUUGAUGAUGUGUCUUUGAAUGGUGCAUUUUGAACACAGAAAAAGUCUGGAGUUCAAAUAAGUUCAAAAAAAUGAAAUGCCUAUUGUAACAGACGAGUUUCCGUUUGAAACCCUGAUACUUCGAAAUAGAUUGUCCGUUUUGUACNNNNNNNNNNNNNNNNNNNNNNNNNNNNNNNNNNNNNNNNNNNNNNNNNNNNNNNNNNNNNNNNNNNNNNNNNNNNNNNNNNNNNNNNNNNNNNNNNNNNNNNNNNNNNNNNNNNNNNNNNNNNNNNNNNNNNNNNNNNNNNNNNNNNNNNNNNNNNNNNNNNNNNNNNNNNNNNNNNNNNNNNNNNNNNNNNNNNNNNNNNNNNNNNNNNNNNNNNNNNNNNNNNNNNNNNNNNNNNNNNNNNNNNNNNNNNNNNNNNNNNNNNNNNNNNNNNNNNNNNNNNNNNNNNNNNNNNNNNNNNNNNNNNNNNNNNNNNNNNNNNNNNNNNNNNNNNNNNNNNNNNNNNNNNNNNNNNNNNNNNNNNNNNNNNNNNNNNNNNNNNNNNNNNNNNNNNNNNNNNNNNNNNNNNNNNNNNNNNNNNNNNNNNNNNNNNNNNNNNNNNNNNNNNNNNNNNNNNNNNNNNNNNNNNNNNNNNNNNNNNNNNNNNNNNNNNNNNNNNNNNNNNNNNNNNNNNNNNNNNNAGUUCAAAUAAGUUCAAAAAAAUGAAAUGCCUGUUGUAACAGACGAGUUUCCGUAUGAAACCCUGAUACUUCGAAAGAGAUUGUCCAUUUUGUACACGAAGUGCAUCCAGUUUUUGCCGUAAACCACUCUACUUUCUUGCACAUGCUAUGUGGAUGAAAUGAUGAUACCAUGCCAACUUUCAACCUUUUCAGAGUUCAUUUGAAAUGCUUUUCAAUUUCAGGGUCUUAUAGCUCAAAAUAAUCAGUAAAUGCAUGAAAAAUAACAAAUGAAGUCAGAAAGGGUUGAAAAAUGAUGAUGUGUCUUUGAAUGGUGCAUUUUGAACACAGAAAAAGUGUGGAGUUCAAAUAAGUUCAAGAAAAUGAAAUCCCUUUGUAACAGACGAGUUUCCGUAUGAAACCAUGAUACUUCGAAAGAGAUUCUCCGUUUUGUACACGAAGUGCAUCCAGUUUUUGCCGUAACCCUCUCUACUUUCUUGCACAUGCUAUGUGGAUGAAGUGAUGAUACCAUGCCAACUUUCAANNNNNNNNNNNNNNNNNNNNNNNNNNNNNNNNNNNNNNNNNNNNNNNNNNNNNNNNNNNNNNNNNNNNNNNNNNNNNNAAAUGAUGAUGUGUCUUUGAAUGGUGCAUUUUGAACACAGAAAAAGUGUGGACUUCAAAUAAGUUCAAGAAAAUGAAAUCCCUUUGUAACAGACGAGUUUCCGUAUGAAACCAUGAUACUUCGAAAGAGAUUCUCCGUUUUGUACACGAAGUGCAUCCAGUUUUUGCCGUAACCCUCUCUACUUUCUUGCACAUGCUAUGUGGAUGAAGUGAUGAUACCAUGCCAACUUUCAACCUUUUCAGAGUUCAUUUGAAAUGCUUUUCAAUUUCAGGGUCUUAUAGCUCAAAAUAAUCAGUAAAUGCAUGAAAAAUAACAAAUGAAGUCAGAAAGGGUUGAAAAUUGAUGAUGUGGCUUUGAAUGGUGCGUUUUGAACACAGAAAAAGUAUGGAGUUCAAAUAAGUUCGAAAAAAUGAAAUGCCUGUUGUAACAGACGAAUUUCCGUAUGAAACCCUGAUACUUCGAAAUAGAUUGUCCGUUUUGUACACGAAGUGCAUCCAGUUUUUGCCGUAACCCUCUCUACUUUCUUGCACAUGCUAUGUGGAUGAAAUGAUGAUACCAUGCCAACGUUCAACCUUUUCGGAGUUCAUUUGAAAUGCUUUUCAAUUUCAGGGUCGUAUAGCUCAAAAUAAUCAGUAAAUGCAUGAAAAAUAACAAAUGAAGUCAGAAAGGGUUGAAAAAUUAUGAUGUGUUUUUGAAUGGUGCAUUUUGAACAAAGAAAAAGUCUGGAUUUAAAAUAAGUUCAAAAAAUGAAAUCCCUUUGCAACAGACGAAUUUCCGUAUGAAACCCUGAUACUUCAAAAGAGAUUGUCCGUUUUGNNNNNNNNNNNNNNNNNNNAGUUCAAAUAAGUUCAAAAAAAUGAAAUGCCUGUUGUAACAGACGAGUUUCCGUAUGAAACCCUGAUACUUCGAAAGAGAUUGUCCAUUUUGUACACGAAGUGCAUCCAGUUUUUGCCGUAAACCACUCUACUUUCUUGCACAUGCUAUGUGGAUGAAAUGAUGAUACCAUGCCAACUUUCAACCUUUUCAGAGUUCAUUUGAAAUGCUUUUCAAUUUCAGGGUCUUAUAGCUCAAAAUAAUCAGUAAAUGCAUGAAAAAUAACAAAUGAAGUCAGAAAGGGUUGAAAAAUGAUGAUGUGUCUUUGAAUGGUGCAUUUUGAACACAGAAAAAGUGUGGAGUUCAAAUAAGUUCAAGAAAAUGAAAUCCCUUUGUAACAGACGAGUUUCCGUAUGAAACCAUGAUACUUCGAAAGAGAUUCUCCGUUUUGUACACGAAGUGCAUCCAGUUUUUGCCGUAACCCUCUCUACUUUCUUGCACAUGCUAUGUGGAUGAAGUGAUGAUACCAUGCCAACUUUCAANNNNNNNNNNNNNNNNNNNNNNNNNNNNNNNNNNNNNNNNNNNNNNNNNNNNNNNNNNNNNNNNNNNNNNNNNNNNNNNNNNNNNNNNNNNNNNNNNNNNNNNNNNNNNNNNNNNNNNNNNNNNNNNNNNNNNNNNNNNNNNNNNNNNNNNNNNNNNNNNNNNNNNNNNNNNNNNNNNNNNNGAAAGUGAUUGUCCGUUUUGUACACGAAGUGCAUCCAGUUUUUGCCGUAACCCUCUCUACUUUCUUGCACAUGCUAUGUGGAUGAAAUGAUGAUACCAUGCCAACUUUCAACCUUUUCAGAGUGAAUUUGAAAUGCUUUUCAAUUUUAUGGACUUAUAGCUCAAAAUAAUCAGUAAAUGCAUGAAAAAUAACAAAUGAAGUCAGAAAGGGUUGAAAAUUGAUGAUGUGGCUUUGAAUGGUGCAUUUUGAACACAGAAAAAGUAUGGAGUUCAAAUAAGUUAAAAAAAUGAAAUCCCUUUGUAACAGAUGAGUUACCGUAUGAAACUCUGAUACUUCGAAAGAGAUUAUCCGUUUUAUACACGAAGUGCAUCCAGUUUUUGCCGUAACCCUCUCUACUUUCUUGGACAUGCUAUGUGGAUGAAAUGAUGAUACCAUGCCAACUUUCAACCUUUUUAGAGUGAAUUUGAAAUGCUUUUCAAUUUGAGGGUCUUAUAGCUCAAAUAAUCAGUAAAUGCAUGAAAAAUAACAAANNNNNNNNNNNNNNNNNNNNNNNNNNNNNNNNNNNNNNNNNNNNNNNNNNNNNNNNNNNNNNNNNNNNNNNNNNNNNNNNNNNNNNNNNNNNNNNNNNNNNNNNNNNNNNNNNNNNNNNNNNNNNNNNNNNNNNNNNNNNNNNNNNNNNNNNNNNNNNNNNNNNNNNNNNNNNNNNNNNNNNNNNNNNNNNNNNNNNNNNNNNNNNNNNNNNNNNNNNNNNNNNNNNNNNNNNNNNNNNNNNNNNNNNNNNNNNNNNNNNNNNNNNNNNNNNNNNNNNNNNNNNNNNNNNNNNNNNNNNNNNNNNNNNNNNNNNNNNNNNNNNNNNNNNNNNNNNNNNNNNNNNNNNNNNNNNNNNNNNNNNNNNNNNNNNNNNNNNNNNNNNNNNNNNNNNNNNNNNNNNNNNNNNNNNNNNNNNNNNNNNNNNNNNNNNNNNNNNNNNNNNNNNNNNNNNNNNNNNNNNNNNNNNNNNNNNNNNNNNNNNNNNNNNNNNNNNNNNNNNNNNNNNNNNNNNNNNNNNNNNNNNNNNNNNNNNNNNNNNNNNNNNNNNNNNNNNNNNNNNNNNNNNNNNNNNNNNNNNNNNNNNNNNNNNNNNNNNNNNNNNNNNNNNNNNNNNNNNNNNNNNNNNNNNNNNNNNNNNNNNNNNNNNNNNNNNNNNNNNNNNNNNNNGCUUUUCAAUUUUAGGGACUUAUAGCUCAAAAUAAUCAGUAAAUGCAUGAAAAAUAACAAAUAAAGUCAGAAAGGGUUGAAAAUUGAUGAUGUGGCUUUGAAUGGUGCAUUUUGAACACAGAAAAAGUAUGGAGUUCAAAUAAGUUCAAAAAAAUGAAAUCCCUUUGUAACAGAUGAGUUUCCGUAUGAAACCCUGAUACUUCGAAAGAGAUUAUCCGUUUUAUACACGAAGUGCAUCCAGUUUUUGCCGUAACCCUCUCUACUUUCUUGCAAAUGCUAUGUGGAUGAAAUGAUGAUAUCAUGCCAAGUUUCAACCUUUUCAGAGUUCAUUUGAAAUGCUUUUCAAUUUCAGGGUCUUAUAGCUCAAAAUAAUCAGUAAAUGCAUGAAAAAUAACAAAUGAAGUCAGAAAGUCUGGAGUUCAAAUAAGUUCAAAAAAAUGAAAUGCCUGUUGUAACCGGUACUAAAGGAAUCAACUAAAAAGCUUUUAUAAACCUCUAGUAUUAUUGAAACUAAAAUUAUAUAAAAUUUAUGCAACUAAAAUUAUCAAAGUAUUUUCUGUUCAAAACAUUAUAAGCAAAAGUAAAUAAAAUAAAUAAGUAGAAACAAAAUAAAAUAAAUAAGUAGAAACAAAAUAAAAUAAAUAAGUAGAAACAAAAUAAAAUAAAUAAGUAGAAACAAAAUAAACUUUAAUAAACAAGUAGAAACAAAACAAAAUAAAAUAAACCUUUAAAAUAAAAUAAAAUAAAAUAAGAAAACUUUAAUAAAAUAAAUAAAAAUUGCAACAGUAAAAAAGAAAACAAAAAACUGGGAAGAAAAAAGAAAACUGGGCCACCACGGCUUGAAUACGACUAGGAACCCAGCUAGUUGGGCCAGGAUUCGGGCCCGCAGAAUGUCCAGAAGGCCCACAUGCAUAGCAGUGUGAGAUUAGGCCCAAAGGCCUGCAAUUCAGAGGAGUUCGAGAGAGAUGGCAGGGCGGCGCUUAUAAACAGGUGCGGCAGCUCCUGAGCUAGCUAGGUGGGACUAAACAUCCCACCGCACCGCGGCUUUGGCAGGCGCAGCCCUUUGGUCCCGGUUGGUGGCACCAACCGGGACUAAAGGGUGGCAUUGGUACCGGUUGGUGCCACGAACCGGCACUAAUGCAGCCCUUUAGUCCCGGUUGGUGCCACCAACCGGGACCAAAGGUCUCUGUUUCCCGCCCUUUCGGCUGCUGAAAAGAGACCUUUGGUCCCGGUUGGUGGCACCAAUCGGGACUAAAGGGCUGCAUUAGUACCGGUUCGUGGCACGAACCGGGACUAAAGUAUUUGCUAUAUAAGCCAGCACUUAGCAUUUUUUCCAGAUUUCAUCGCUAAUUGCCGCCCGACGACGCCGAGGUCAUCGACGCCGCCAGGCUGCCCUGCCCCCGUCCGCUGUCUCCGCCGUCGCUGUCGCCCCUGCCCCGGCCUCGCCGCACCCUGCCCCGACCUCGACGCACCCUGCCUCGACCUCGCCGUUCCAAAAAUAACUUUCCCGAAGGUUUCAUUAUGUUUGGACUCCGUUUGAUAUUCCUUUUCCGCAAAACACUGAAACAAGGGAAAAAACAGAAACUGGCACUGGGCUCUGGGUUAAUAGGUUAGUCCCAAAAAUAAUAUAAAAGUGUAUAGUAAAGCCCAUUAAACAUCCAAGAUGGAUAAUAUAAUAGCAUGAAUACUUCAUAAAUUAUAGAUACGUUGGAGACGUAUCAGCAUCCCCAAGCUUAAUUACUGCUCGUCCUCGAGUAGGUAAUGAUAAAAGAAAUAAUUUAUGAAGUGUGAAUGCUAGCAGGUGCACAAGUUUGAUCAAUGAUAAUUUCAAUCACCUUUUCUAGCAUCAUCAUAUGUCAUAACAGUAGCUCAACUCAUAGAACUUUUCAUGAUCAAGUAACAAGCUAUUCACAUGUUAAAGUAUAGAUCAUAAACUUUCUUGAAAACUAACAAACCGUGUUAUUAGUCAUCAAACAAUUACAAUUCAUCUUAUUUCCAGGAAGAGUCUAUGUCAGAGCUUUGAUUCAGCAAACUUCACAUACUCAACUAUCAUAUAAUCUUCCAUGAUUGCUACGUCUCAAAGCAUAUUUUUAGAACAAAUAGCAUCCAUUGAACACAGAGAAAGAUAGGGGCUUAAUGUUUCGCCUCCCAACUUAUUUAUCAUAUAGAUAAUUGUCAACAAUAAUAAUUCAUGAUCAAAUAUAUUUGAAUGGCCAUAUAUGCCUAGAUCUUUCCAUCACAUGAUGCUUGCCAACUAAAGAGUGGGUUGGAAUGAGAAGGAAUACUACUGACUCUUGCAUAAAAGUAAAAGAUAGGCCCUUCGCAGAGGGAGGCAGGGAUUUGCAGAGGUGCCAGGGCUCGAAGCUUUUAAAACAGAGAUGAAAAUAAUUUUGAGAGGUAUGCUUUCAUCGUCAACAUAACGACCAAGAGUUCCCAAUAUCUUCCAUACUACAUACAUUAUAGGCGGUUCCCACGCAGAAAGAUAAAGAUUUUACUCCCCCUCCACCAACAAUCACACUCCACGGCUUGUCCGAAACAACGGGUGCCGUCCAACUUUCAACAAUCCUGGGGGAGUGUUGUUUAAAUUAUUUGCGAUUUUGUUUUUGAUCUUUUGAUCAUAGGACUGGGCAUCCCAGUUACCAGCCAUAUUCUCGUGAAUGGUGAGCGGAGUCCACUCAUCGUGAGAAUAACCCACCUAGCAUGGAAGAUACUGAUAGCCCCUAGUCGCUACAUGAGCGAUUCGGGCAUACAAAACAGAUUAUUAUUUGAAGGUUUAGAGUUUGGCACAUGCAAAUUUACUUGGAACGGCAUGUAAAUACCACAUAUAGGUAGAUAUGGUGGACACUCAUGGAAGCAACUUGGUUCAAGGAAUUUGGAUGCACAAGCAGUAUUCCCGCUUAGUACAGAUAUUUUGGCUAGAAAAGGAUUCUAAAUAGCAAGCACCACAUGUUAGAGGAUCCAAAACAAUAUAACUUAUACAAAUAUACCCAAGCAUAACUCAUUAUGUUGUCUUCCUUGUCCAACUUCAACUAAUUUGCUCAGGUUUGAAAAUAAUUAAUGGGGCUCACAAUCAUAGAAGAUGUCCAAGAUAGUAUAUUUAUAUGUGAAAUCUCUCUUCCUUCAAUAUUCUUUCAUGAAUUGUUCAAGUGACCAAUACAAUAUUUCCUAACAUUCAAACAAUUUACCACCUCCACUUCUUAUAUGUGAAGAUAUUACUCUCCAUGGGAAAAGCAUAUGAAACAUAUAUAAUUUCAGAUUUAUGACAUUCAAAUCAUUCAACUAUUUACUCAUAGGAUAUAAGUGAAGCACGUGAGUAAAUGACAAAUUACUCCAAAAAGAUAUAAGUGAAGAUCAAUGAGUAGUUAAAUAAUUAUGUAGCUAUGUGAAGACUCUCUCUCAUUUAAGAAUUUCAGAUCUUGGAAUUUUAUUCAUACAACAAGCAAAACAAAAUAAAACGACAUUUCAAGGAUAGAACUCAUCAUGUGAAGAAGCAAAAACUUAGGCUCCACCGAUACUACCCGAUAGUUGUUUUAGAAGAAAGGUGGGAUGCCAACCGGGGCAUCCCCAAGCUUAGAUGCUUGAGACUUCUUGAAAUAUUAUCUUGGGAUGCCUUGGGCAUCCCCAAGCUUGACCUUUUGUGUCUCCUUAAUUCCUCUCAUAUCACGGUCUUCCUAAACCUUAAAAGCUUCAUCCACACAAAACUCAACAAGAACUUGUGAGAUAGGUUAGUAUAAAUCCAUGCAAAACCUUAUCAUUCUCUACUGUAGCAAAUCACUAAAAUUAUUAUUUAACAUUGAAUACUAAAUGCCUCUGCAUAUUUAAAAGUCCUAUCCUCAAAUAGAAUCAUUAAACAAGCAAUCAUAUGCAAACAAUGCAAACAUAACAGCAAUCUGUCUAAACAGAACAGUCUGUAAAGAAUGCAAGAAAAUUCAUACUUACCUAAUUACAAAAAUUAUGAAAGAAAAUUCCCAUUGUAGUAAAUUUAUCAGAGCUUAUUAUGCAAAAGGUUUCAAAAUUUUAUUACAUUCUGAAUUUUCUAGGGAAUUUUUGCAACAGCGGUAAACUUUCUGUUUUGAAACAACAACAUGUAAACUUGCAAAAUAAGCAUGGUACAAGCUAUCCUUGACGUUUUUAUUGAAACUAGAGAUGCAAAACAUUAUUCUAAAUAACAGCAAGCAAAUACUAACAAAAUAAAAUGACGCUCCAAGCAAAACACAUGCCACUUGAAUAUUACCUUGGGGUGCCUUGGGCAUCCCCAAGCUUAGGCUUUUGCCACUCCUUAUUCCAUAGUCCAUCGAAUCUUUACCCAAAACUUGAAAACUUCACAACACAAAACUUAACAGAAAACUCGUAAGCUCCGUUAGUAAGAAAAUAAAUCACCACUUAGAUACUGUUGUGAACUCAUUCUAAAUUCAUAUUAAUGUAAUAUCUACUGUAUUCCAACUUCUCUAUGGUUCAUACCCUCCGAAACUACUCAUAGAUUCAUCAAAAUAAGCAAACAAUACUUAGAAAACAGAAUCUGUCAAAAACAGAACAGUCUGUAGUAAUCUGUAUCAAACGUAUACUUCUGGAACUCCUAAAAUUCUACCAAAUUAGGAAAACCGGAGAAAUUUGUGUACCAAUCCAGAGCAAAAAGAAUCAGAUCAAAAGAACGUUUCUGUGAAUUAUCAAAACUAAUUUACUGGGGGCAAAAGUUUCUACUUUUCAGCAGGAUCAACACAGCUAUCACCGUAAGCUAUCCUAAAGGUCUUACUUGGCACUUUAUUGAAACAAAAUCUAUAAAACAUGAUUACUACAGUAGCAUAAUCAUGUGAACACACAAAAACAGUAAGGGUAAAUAUUGUGUUGUCUCCCAACAAGCGCUUUUCUUUAAUGCCUUUUUAGCUAGGCAUGAUGAUUUCAAUGAUGCUCACAUAAAAGAUAAGAAUUGAAACACAACGAGAGCAUCAUGAAGAAUAUGACUAGCACAUUUAAGUCUAACCCACUUCCUAUGCAUAGGGAUUUUGUGAGCAAACAACUUAUGGGAACAAUAAUCAACAAGCAUAGGAAGGCGAAACAAGCAUAACUUUAAAACUUUAAGCACAUAGAGCGGAAACUUGAUAUUAUUGCAAUUCCUACAAGCAUAUAUUCCUCCCUCAUAAUAAUUUUAAGUAGCAUCAUGAAUGAAUUCAACAAUAUAACCAGCACCUAAAGCAUUCUGUUCAUGAUCUACAAGCAUAGAAAUUUUAUUACUCUCCACAUAAGCAAAUUUGUUCUCAUGAAUAGUAGUGGGAGCAAACUCAACAAAAUAACUAUCAUGUGAAGCAUAAUCCAAUUGAAAAUUAAAAUCAUGAUGACAAGUUUCAUGGUUAUCUUUAUUCUUUAUAGCAUACGUGUCAUCACAAUAAUCAUCAUAAAUAGGAGGCAUGCUUUCAUCAUAAUAAAUUUUCUCAUCAAAGCUUGGGGGACAAAAAAUAUCAUCUUCAUCAAACAUAGCUUCCCCAAGCUUGUGGCUUUGCAUAUCAUUAGCAUCAUGGGUAUUCAUAGAAUUCAUACUAACAACAUUGCAAUCUUGCUCAUCAUACCAAGAUUUAGUGCCAAACAUUCUAUAGAUUUCUUCUUCUAGCACUUGAGCACAAUUUUCCUUUCCAUCAUACUCACGAAAGAUAUUAAAAAGAUGAAGCGUAUGAGGCAAACCUAAUUCCAUUUUUUAGUUUUCUUUUAUAAACUAAACUAGUGAUAAAACAAGAAACAAAAAGAUUCGAUUGCAAGAUCUAAAGAUAUACCUUCAAGCACUCACCUCCCCGGCAACGGCGCCAGAAAAGAGCUUGAUGUCUACUACACAACCUUCUUCUUGUAGACGUUGUUGGGCCUCCAAGUGCAGAGGUUUGUAGGACAGUAGCAAAUUUCCCUCAAGUGGAUGACCUAAGGUUUAUCAAUCCGUGGGAGGCGUAGGAUGAAGAUGGUCUCUCUCAAGCAACCCUCCAACCAAAUAACAAAGAAUCUCUUGUGUCCCCAACACACCCAAUACAAUGGUAAAUUGUAUAGGUGCACUAGUUCGGCGAAGAGAUGGUGAUACAAGUGCAAUAUGGAUGGUAGAUAUAGGUUUUUGUAAUCUGAAAAUAUAAAAACAGCAAGGUAACUAAUGAUAAAAGUGAGCACAAACGGUAUUGCAAUGCUAGGAAACAAGGCCUAGGGUUCAUACUUUCACUAGUGCAAGUUCUCUCAACAAUAAUAACAUGAAUGGAUCAUAUAAAUAUCCCUCAACAUGCAACAAAGAGUCACUCCAAAGUCACUAAUAGCGGAGAACAAACAAAUAGAUUAUUGUAGGGUACGAAACCACCUCAAAGCUAUUAUUUCGGAUCGAUCUAUUCAAGAGUCCGUAGUAAAAUAACACGAAGCUAUUCUUUCCGUUCGAUCUAUCAUAGAGUUCGUACUAGAAUAACACCUUAAGACACAAAUCAGCCACAACUAAUGUCACCUAGAUACUCCAAUGUCACCUCAAGUAUCCGUGGGUAUGAUUAUACGAUAUGCAUCACACAAUCUCAGAUUCAUCUAUUCAAUCCAACACAAAGUACUUCAAAGAGUGCCCCAAAGUUUCUACCAGAGAGUCAAGACGAAAAUGUGUGCCAACCCCUAUGCAUAGAUUCCCAAGGUAACGGAACCCGCAAGUUGAUCACCAAAACAUACAUCAAGUGAAUCACGUGAAUAUCCCAUUGUCACCACAGAUAAGCACGGCAAGACAUACAUCAAGUGUUCUCAAAUCGUUAAAGACUCAAUCCGACAAGACAACUUCAAGGGGAAAACUCAAUUCAUCACAAGAGAGUAGAGGGGGAGAAACAUCACAAGAUCCAACUAUAAUAGCAAAGCUCGCGAUACAUUAAGAUCGUACCAUCUCAAGAACACGAGAGAGAGAGAGAGAUCAAACACAUAGCUACUGGUACAUACCCUCAGCCCCGAGGUUGAACUACUCCCUCCUCGUCAUGGAGAGCGCCGAGAUGAUGAAGAUGGCCACCGGUGAGGGAUCCCCCCUCCGGCAGGGUGCCGGAACAGGGUCCCGAUUGGUUUUUGGUGGCUACAGAGGCUUGCAGCGGCGGAACUCCCAAUCUAUUCUGUUCCCCAAAGGUUUUUGGGUAUAUGGAUAUAUAUAGGCGGAAGAAAUACGUCAGGGGUGCCACGAGGGGCCCACGAGGGUGUAGGGCGCGCCCCCUGCCUCGUGCCCUCCUCGUUGAUUCCCUGACGUGCACUCCAAGUCCCCUAGAUUGCUUCCGUUCCAAAAAUAACUUUCCCGAAGGUUUCAUUCCGUUUGGACUCUGUUUGAUAUUCCUUUUCUGUGAAACACUGAAACAAGGGAAAAAACAGAAACUGGCACUGGGCUCUGGGUUAAUAGGUUAGUCCCAAAAAUAAUAUAAAAGUGUAUAGUAAAGCCCAUUAAACAUCCAAGAUGGAUAAUAUAGCAGCAUGAAUACUUCAUAAAUUAUAGAUACGUUGGAGAUGUAUCAUUGCCAUCGAGGAUAAAAAUAUGGGGUUUAUAUCAUAUUGCUUGAGUUUAUCCCUCUACAUCAUGUCAUCUUGCCUAAUGUGUUACUCUGUUCUUAUGAACUUAAUACUCUAGAUGCAUGCUGGAUAGCGGUCGAUGUGUGGAGUAAUAGUAGUAGAUGCAGACAGGAGUCGGUCUACUUGUCACAGACGUGAUGCCUAUAUAGAUGAUCAUACCUAGAUAUUCUCAUAACUAUGCUCAAUUCUAUCAAUUGCUCGUCAGUAAUUUGUUCACCCACCGUAAUACUUAUGCUCUUGAGAGAAGCCACUAGUGAAACCUAUGGCCCGCGGGUCUAUUUUCCAUCAUAUUAAUCUCCCAACAACUAGCUAUUUCUGUCGCCGUUUAUUUUGCAAUCUUUACUUUUCAAUCUAUAAAACAAAAAUACCAAAAAUAUUUAUCUUAUCAUCUCUAUCAGAUCUCACUUUUGAAAGUGUCUGUGAAGGGAUUGACAACCCCUUUAUCGCGUUGGUUGGAAGGUUCUUAUUUGUUUGUGUAGGUGCAUGGGACUUGAGCGUGGUCUCCUACUGGAUUGAUACCUUGGUUCUCAAAACUGAGGGAAAUACUUACGCUACUUUACUGCAUUACCCUUUCCUCUUCAAGGGAAAACCAACGCAGUGCUCAAGAGGUAGCAAGAAGGAUUUCUAGCGCCGAUGCCGGGGAGUCUACGCAGAAGUCAAGACAUACCAAGUACCUAUCACAAACUAUUAUCCGUCGCAUUACAUUAUUUGCCAUUUGCCUCUCGUUUUCCUCUCCCCCACUUCACCCUUGCUGUUUUAUUCGCCCUUUUUCCAUUCGUCUUUUCGUUUGCCUUGAUGUGUUACUUGGCUCGUUUGGUUGGAUUAGUUGAGUAUUUAUUGCUAAACAGAGAACCUAAGAUCUAUGGAUCCUCAUCCGCUUGCUAAUCUUUUUAAGAGAUCCAAUUAUGAUGAACCAAUUUCUUUUGAUUUGAGUGCACUAGAUUAUCUUUAUGAGGUUUUGCUUGACAUUCGUGAAUCUGAAAAUUGUGAUGAAGAAAUUUAUGAAGGGAUUCACGAUUGCUCCUUUAAUAAAAAGCAUGGUUGCAAUGAUUUUACUAUAAAUUCUCUUGAUGUCAAUAAUAUGCAGAACCCUAAGCUUGGGGAUGCUAGUUUUGCUAUGUCUACUACGUGUUGCAAUGAUCAUGAUUGGGGUGAUUCUUCUUAUGAUCUUGAAAAUUUAUUUAAGCCCCAAGAUGAAUAUGAGAUUGAUAAUAAUGUUUGCAAUAAUAUUGAAAGUGGGUUUGGAAGAGUGUCAACUUUAGAUCCCACAUAUUUGGAGAAUGUUCAAUCUUAUGAAUUUUUUGAUAAAAGUGGGUUUGGAGAGGUCAUGACUUUAGUUAAUGUUAAUCCCACUAUUUUGGAAGAGUGUCAACUUUGCAUGCAUGUGGAUCUUGUUGAGAAUAUGUUAUGUGAUAGCUAUUUUGUUGAAUUUUCCUAUGAUCCUACAUGUAAUUAUUAUGAGAGAGGAAAAUAUGGUUGUAGAAAUUUUCAUCUUACUAAAUUACCUCUCGUCAUGUUGAGAUUGCUAUCGUCUCUUUCUUCUUCCUUGCAUAUGCUAAUUUUUGCUUGCUAUGAUAAUUUGUUUGCUUAUAAAAUGCCUAUGCAUAGGAAGUAUGUUAGACUUAUAUGUGUUUAUCACGUGUUCUAUGAUGCUCUCUUUGUGCUUUAAUUCCUAUCUUUUUGUCGGUGUACAAAAGAGGGGGCGCACCUUUGUACCCCUUUACCUGUGAACGGACAGUUGGAGCCGCGCCCACGGCCACACCAAGCAGAGCAGGGGAGGCGAACCGAGGUAAAACCAAAGCCCGAGACAGCCAGAGCAACGCCAAGGCCAAGACCACAAAGAGCAGCGGGGCGAAGCAGUUUCCCCCGGCAAGACCCUUGCCGAGGACGGCCUCAGCAGCCCCCGGCAAUACCCUUGCCGGGGCAGCUCGCCCCACACCAGCGGAGCGAGCCACCCUUGAGCCCGCAGUUUCCAACACCAUCAACCACGUUGGGCCAGGGCUCGGGAGGCACCUCCAUGGUGGCAUGCAGAUCUUUGUGAAGACAAGGAACACUCAAGAUCAGAUGAGGAUUAGAAGGCGGCGAUCCUCGGCAAGAUCCUUGCCGAGGGGAACCACAAGACCCCCGGCAAGAUCCUUGCCGGGGAUGACAGCGCGCCACGGCAAGACCCUUGCCGCGCCACCCUGCAAGGCCCUCACCAAGGACGCCAGCAGGGCCACUGCUAGGCCCGCACCAACCAAGUCUCCGCCGCCGUUCGCAUGUAGGUGCCAGCCCAACCAGCUGGGCAGGCGCCUGCGUGGCAACAUGUAGCUUCCGGGCCAACUUAGCACACACCUGCGUGGCGGCAUGCAGAUCUUCGUGAAGACCCUACCACCGCGCCACCUCAGCUGCCUGCCUGCCUACAUGGCACCGCAUGCACCACUAGCCAGGGCACGUGUCGAAGUGAGGAGGAGUGGCGGCGGACGAGACGGGCCUCACUCCCAUCCCCAAUAAAGCAAGAGGACACCUCAGCUACGCAUUAAAUGCGUCUUGUCCUGUAAUACGAGUGAUAAACUCGCAAUACUGUACGCCUUUUCACCUCAUGUAUGCCACUGUGGCAGCCCCUUUCGACUAUAAAAGGAGGCCUGUGGCAUACUGGAGGAGGAUUCGGCUCUUUGGGACCACACACCCCACCAUAGCUAGUUCGAGAGCUCAAGAACUCUCUGAAAUACACCCACCAAAGCAGGACUAGGGUUUUACGCAUCCUCGCGGCCUAAACCUGGGUAAACAAUCCUUGUGCUGAUUACUAAUCCUGCUCUUCUCGCAACCCUGCGCCCCGGGAACUGUAGUAGGGAUUCUUGUGAUCGCAUAGGUGUUGUUCCACACCGACAUCUUUGGCGCGCCAGGUAGGGGCGCAAUUGUGAGAAUCUAGUCUAGUAGUUAGCCUAGCAGUUCUUUGUCGCCAUGGCUCCCAAGAAGGAGACGGCCAGGAGAAAGGGGCGCCGCCUGUGAACGUGAAGGACGCUAGUACGGCAACAUAGAAGCUAAGUCAUUUAGAGCUUUGAGUUAUUUCCUUUUAUAUAUAAGGUUAUCGUCCUCGGAGAUCUUGCCUAUGUAUGAGAAACCUGCACGCAAAGGGGCCCUCCCGCAAUUGGCAACGCCCUUGUUCUGUUUCAAGUCCGCUCAACAGCUCAAAGCGGCCGCGUCCAGAGUGGCGGGGUAGCCUUCUGCACUUGGCAACGCUCCUGACUCCGACUCGAGUCAAACUCGACAGUUCGGGCGGCCGCGGUAAGGGCGGUAAGGUGGUUCACCCGGCAGCAAGCACACCCGGCAGGCCAAUGGGGAUCCGUCCCCAAGAUGCCGCCCUGGGUUUACGCGCCGGCAAACCUACCCAGUUAACGUAGGGUGGACAUACAAAGGAAAAUCGAACAGGAAAAUAACAUGCAUAAUAUUAAAAGUGCUGCAGAGUCAUAUUACAUCAAAUUGUUGCUGCGGUUCUAACUAAAGAUAGCAAUUGUCUUGGUUGUGAACCUGCAGCGGCGAUAAGAAACGGGGUGCCUAAUCCCGGCACAGGCCCUCCACCCUCAGAAUUCCGCCGACACGGCUGAUGAUGGGCUUGAUGUGCUCCUUGAGCGGCGCCAGGUCAGUAUCCUCCUGCAAGCUCUCCAGCACGGCAUCGAAGUCGAGGUCGGGGUACCAGUAUGCCACCUUGGUGAGAACCUUGGUCAUGGCGCCCUGGCAAAGCCUCCGGGCCUCGUCGGCUAGCGAGGCCGCCCGGUUGGCGUGAAGCUGCUCUAGGGCCCCAAGAACACACUCGAAGAACAAGGUCAGCUUGGCGUUGGUGGUCCUGCUGCGCUCUGGGGCGUACCUCACGCUUGGCAUCGCCAUGGUAGCCAGUUGCGCGGUGAACCUGCCGGCGACGUCCUCGAGGCGGCUGGACGCCUUGAAGACCGUGACCCGGCCCCGCGCGGUAAAUGAGCCGCGUCUCCACGCCUCCCUCUUUUUAUAGGGAAGGCGCGAGCCGCCUCUUUACCACGAUGUGACGCAUGUGUCCGGGAACCGCCGCCCGCAUGCCGCCCACAUCACGCGCACCUCUCCACGUCGCGCAUUCAACACAGGUCAUGGGAAGCACGGCGCGCGAAAAGUUUUACCACGGUAAAAACCGCCCGGCCUGCCCGCGCACCGUUUUGGGCCUGGCCCAACAACGUGUCGCGCUUAUGUGUGGCCCAGGCCCGGGGCUCCUGUCGGUGUACAAAAGAAGGGGCACACCUUUGUACCCCUUUACCUGUGCACAGACAGUCGGAGCCGCGCCCACGGCCACACCAAGCAGAGCAGGGGAGGCGAACCGAGGUAAAACCGAAGCCCGAGACAGCCAGAGCAACGCCAAGGCCAAGACCACAAAGAGCAGAGGGGCGGAGCAGUUUCCCCCGGCAAGACCCUUGCUGGGGACGGCCUCAGCAGCCCCCGGCAAGAACCUUGCCGGGGCAGCUCGCCCCACACCAGCGGAGUGAGCCACCAUUGAGCCCGCGGUUUCCAACACCAUCAACCACGUUGGGCCAGGGCUCGGGAGGCACCUCCAUGGUGGCAUGCAGAUCUUUGUGAAGACAAGGAACACUCAAGAUCAGAUGAGGAUUAGAAGGCGGCGAUCCUCGGCAAGAUCCUUGCCGAGGGGAACCACAAGACCCCCGGCAGGAUCCUUGCCGGGGAUGACAGCGCGCCACGGCAAGACCCUUGUCGGGCCACCUGGCAAGGCCCUCACCAAGGACGCCAGCAGGGCCACUGCCAGGCCCGCACCAACCAAGUCUCCGCCACCGUUCGCAUGCAGCUGCCAGCCCAACCAGCUGGGCAGGCGCCUGCGUGGCAACAUGCAGCUUCCGGGCCAACUCAGCACACACCUGCGUGGCGGCAUGCAGAUCUUUGUGAAGACCCUACCACCGCGCCACCUCAGCUGCCUGCCUGCCUACAUGGCACCGCAUGCACCACUGGCCAGGGCGCGUGUCGAAGUGAGGAGGAGCGGCGGCGGACGGGACGGGUCUCGCUCCCGUCCCCAAUAAAGCAAGAGGACACCUCAGCUACACAUUAAAUGCGUCUUGUCCUAUGAUACGAGCGAUAAGCUCGCAAUACUGUACGCCUUUCCACCUCCUGUAUGCCACCGUGGCAGCCCCUUUCGACUAUAAAAGGAGGCCCGUGGCAUACUGGAGGAGGAUUCGGCUCUUUGGGACCACACACCCCACCAUAGCUAGUUCGAGAGCUCAAGAACUCUCUGAAAUACACCCACCAAAGCAGGACUAGGGUUUUACGCAUCCUCGUGGCCCGAACCUGGGUAAACAAUCAGUACUAAUCCUGCUCUUCUCGCAACCCUGCGCCCUGACAACCGUAGUAGGGAUUCUUGUGAUCCCAUAGGUGUCGUUCCACACCUACAUCUUUGGCGCGCCAGGUAGGGGGCGCAAUUGUGAGAAUCUGGUCUAGUAGUUAGCCUAGCAGUUCUUCAUCGCCAUGGCUCCCAAGAAGGAGACGGCGAGGAGAAAGGGGCGCCGCCUGCGAACGUGAACGACGCCAGUGCGGCAACAGAGAAGCUAAGUCAUUCAUAGCUUUGAGUUAUUUCCUUUUAUAUAUAAGGUUAUCGUCCUCGGAGAUCUUGCCUAUGUAUGAGAAACCUGCACGCAAAGGGGCCCUCCCGCAAUUGGCAACGCCCUUGUUAUGUUUCGAGUCCGCUCAACAGCUCAAAGCGGCCGCGUCCAGAGUGGUUGGGUAGCCUUCCGCACUUGGCAACGCUCCCAACUCUGACUCGAGUCAAACUCGACAGUUCGGGCGGCCGCGCUAAGGGCGGUAAGGUGGUUCGCCCGACAGCAAGCACACCUGGCAGGCCAAUCGAGAUCCGUCCCCAAGACGCCGCCCUGGGUUUACGCGCCGGCAAACCUACCCAGUUAACGUAGGGUGGACAUACAAAGGAAAAUCGAACAGGAAAAUAACAUGCAUAAUAUUAAAAGUGCUGCAGAGUCAUAUUACAUCAAAUUGUCGCUGCGGUUCUAACUAAAGAUAGCAAUUGUCUUGGUUGUGAACCUGCAGCAGCGAUAAGAAACGGGGUGCCUAAUCCCGGCAAAGGCCCACCACCCUCAGAAUUCCGCCGACACGGCUGAUGAUCGGCUUGAUGCGCUCCUUGAGCGGCGCGAGGUCAGUAUCCUCCGGCAAGCUCUCCAGCGCGGCGUCGAAGUCGAGGUCGGGGUACCAGUAUGCCACCUUGGUGAGAACCUUGGUCAUGGCACCCUGGCAAAGCCUCCGGGCCUCGUUGGCUAGCGAGGCCGCCCGGUUGGCGUGAAGCUGCUCUAGGGCCCCGAGAACACACUCGAAGAACAAUGUCAGUUGGCGUUGGUGGUCCCGCUGCGCUCUGGGGCGUACCUCACGCUUGGCAUCCCCAUGUUAGCCAUUUGCGCGGUGAUCCUGCCGGCGACAUCCUGGAGGCGGCUGCACGCCUUGAAAACCGCGACCCGGCCGGGCCACGGCAAGACCCUUGCCGGGCCACCCGGCAAGGCCCUCACCAAGGACGCCAGCAGUGCCACUGCCAGGCCCGCACCAACCAAGUCUCCGCCGCCGUUCGUAUGCAGCUGCCAGCCCAACCAGCUGGGCAGGCGCCUGCGUGGCAACAUGCAGCUUCCGGGCCAACUCAGCACACACUUGCGUGGCGGCAUGCAGAUCUUCGUGAAGACCCUACCACCGCGCCACCUCAGCUGCCUGCCUGCCUACAUGGCACCGCAUGCACCACUGGCCAGGGCGCGUGUCGAAGUGAGGAGGAGCGGCGGCGGACGGGACGGGCCUCGCUCCCAUCCCCAAUAAAGCAAGAGGACACCUCAGCUAUGCAUUAAAUGCGUCUUGUCCUGUAAUAUGAGCGAUAAGCUUGCAAUACUGUACGCCUUUCCACCUCCUGUAUGCCACUGUGGCAACCCCUUUCGACUAUAAAAGGAGGCUCGUGGCAUACUGGAGGAAGAUUCGGCUCUUUGGGACCACACACCCCACCAUAGCUAGUUUGAGAGUUCAAGAACUCUCUGAAAUACACCCACCAAAGCAGGACUAGGGUUUUACGCAUCCUCGCGGCCCGAACCUGGGUAAACGAUCCUUGUGCUGAUUACUAAUCCUGCUCUUCCCGCAACCCUGCGCCCCGGCAACCGUAGUAGGGAUUCUUGUGAUCCCAUAGGUGUCAUUCCACACCGACACUUUUAUGUGAGCAUCAUCGAAAUCUCAAUGCCAAGCUAAAAAGGCUUUAAAGAAAAGCGCUUGUUGGGAGACAACUCAAUUUAUUUCCUUUCUGUUUUUGAAUAAAUAAUUGUUCUAGCCUCUGGUUAGAUGUGGUUUUGUGUUUUAAUUAGUGUUUGUGCCAAGUAAAACCGUUAGGAUAACCUACGGUGAUAGUUAUUUGAUCUUGCUGUAAAAAACAUAAACUUUGUGCACACGAGUUAGUUUUCAUAAAUCACAGAAACGUGCUUUUCAGUUGAUUCAAUUUGCAGUAGAUCAAUAAACAAAUUAUCUAGGACUUCCUAAUUUGGUGGAAUUUUUUAGGUUCCAUAAGUUUGCGUUUGAUACAGAUUGCUACAGACUGUUCUGUUUUUGACAGAUUCUGUUUUUCGUGUGUUGUUUCCUUAUUUUGAUGAAUCUAUGGCUAGUAAAAGAGCUUAUAAACCAUAGAGAAGUUGGAAUACAGUAGGUUUAACACCAAUAUAAAUAAAGAAUGAGUUCAUUACAGUACCUUAAAGUGGUGGUUUGUUUUAUUUCGCUAACGGAGCUUAUGAGAUUUUCUGUUGAGUUUUGUGUUCUGAAGUUUUCAAGUUUUGGGUAAAGAUUUGAUGGAUUAUGGAACAAGGAGUGGAAAGAGCCUAAGCUUGGGGAUGCCCAAGGCACCCCAAGGUAAAAUUCAAGGACAACCAAAAUCCUAAGCUUGGGGACUAUAUUUUUAUUCCCCACAUGAUAUGUGUUUUGCUUGGAGCGUCUUGUAUGAUUUGAGUCUUUGCUUUUUAGUCUACCACAAUCAUCCUUGCUGUACACACCUUUUGAGAGAGAGACACAUGAUUCGGAAUUUAUUAGAAUACUCUAUGUGCUUCACUUAUAUCUUUUGGCUAUAUAGUUUUUGCUCUAGUGCUUCACCUAUAUCUUUUAGAGCACGGUGGUGGUUUUAUUUUAUAGAAAUUAUUGAUCUCUCAUGCUUCACUUAUAUUAUUUUGAGAGUCUUAAACAUCAUGGUAAUUUGCUUUAAAUGCAAAAUUAGUCCUAAUAUGAUAAGCAUCCAAGUUGGUAUAGUAAAAACUAUCAUAGAAAGUGCAUUAAACACUAUGAUCAAUUUGAUGCUUGAUAAUUGUUUUGAGAUAUAAAGGUGGUAAUGUUAGAGUCAUGCUAGUUGGGUAAUUAUGAAAUUGAGAAAUACUUGUGUUGAAGUUGGCAAGUCCCGUAGCAUGCACGUAUGGUAAAAGUUAUGUAACAAAUUUGUUGCAUGGGGUGCUCUUUUGAUUGCCUUCCUUAUGUGUGGAGGUUGGGAUCGCGCGAUGGUUAACUCCUACCAACCCUUCCCCUAGGAACAUGCGUAGUAGUACUUUGCUUCGAGGGAUAGUAAACUUUUGCAAUAAUUAUGUGAGUUCUUUAUGACUAAUGUGAGUCCAUGGAUUAUACGCACUCUCACCGUUCCGCCAUUGCUAGCCUCUAUUAUGACGCGCAACUUUCGCCGGUAUCGUACACCCACCAUUUACCUUCCUCAAAAUAGCCACCAUACCUACCUAUUUUGGCAUUUCCAUAGCCAUUCCGAGAUAUAUUGCCAUGCAACUUUCCACCGUUUCGUUUAUUAUGACAUGCUCCAUCAUUGUCAUAUUGCUUUGCAUGAUCAUGUAGUUGAAAUUGUAUUUGUGGCAAAGCCACCAUUCAUAAUUUUUCAUACAUGUCACUCAUGGUUCAUUGCAUAUCCCGGUACAUCGCCGGAGGCAUUCCAUAGAGUCAUAUUUUGUUCUAAGUAUUGAGUUGUAAUUCUUGAGUUGUAAGUAAUAAAAUUGUGAUGAUCAUCAUUAUUAGAGCAUUGUCCCAUGUGAGGAAAGGAUGAUUGAGACUAUGAUUCCCCCACAAGUUGGGAUGAGAUUCCGGACUCAAAAAAAAGGCCAAAGAAAAAAAAAGGCCCAAGAAAAAAAAUGAGAGAAAAAGAGAGAAGGGACAAUGUUACUAUCCUUUUACCACACUUGUGCUUCAAAGUAGCACCAUGAUCUUCAUGAUAGAGAGUCUCCUAUGUUGUCACUUUCAUAUACUAGUGGGAAUUUUUCAUUAUAGAACUUGGCUUGUAUAUUCCAAUGAUGGGCUUCCUCAAAAUGCCCUAGGUCUUCGUGAGCAAGCAAGUUGGAUGCACACCCACUUAGUUUCUUUUGUUGAGCUUUCAUACAUUUAUAGCUCUAGUGCAUCCGUUGCAUGGCAAUCCCUACUCACUCACAUUGAUAUCUAUUAACGGGCAUCUCCAUAGCCCAUUGAUAUGCCUAGUUGAUGUGAGAUUAUCUUCUCCCUUUUUGUCCUCUUCACAACCACCACGCUAUUCCACAUAUAGUGCUAUAUCCAUGGCUUGCGCUCAUGUAUUGCGUAAGAGUUGAAAAAGCUGAAGCACGUUAAAAAGUAUGAACCAAUUGCUUGGCUGAAACCGGGGUUGUGCAUGAUGGGAGUAUUUUGUGUGAUGAAAAUGAAGCAUAGCCUAACUAUAUGAUAUUGUAGGGAUGAGCUUUCUUUGGCUAUGUUAUUUUGAUAAGACAUGAUUACUUGUUAGUAUGCUUGAAGUAUUACUAUUUUUAUGUCAAUAUGAACUUUUAUCUUGGAUCAUUUGGAUCUGAAUAUUCAUGCCACAAUUAAGAGAAUUACAUUGAGAAUUAUGCUAGGUAGCAUUCCACAUCAAAAAUUCUAUUUUUAUCAUUUACCUACUCGAGGACGAGCAGGAAUUAAGCUUGGGGAUGCUUGACACGUCUCCAACGUAUGUAUAAUUUUUGAUUGUUCCAUGCUAUUAUAUUAUCUGUUUUGGAUGUUCAUUGGGUUUUAUUAUACACUUUUAUAUCUUUUUGGGACUAACCUAUUAACUGGAGGCCCAGCCCAAAUUGAUGUUUUUUUGCCUAUUUCAGUAUUUCGAAGGAAGGGAAUAUCGAACGGAGUCCAAACGGAAUAAAACCUUCGGGAACGUGAUUUUCGGAACAAACGUGAUCCAGUGGACUUGGAGUGGACGUCAAGCAAUCAACGAGGAGGCCACGAGGCAGGGAGGCGCGCCCCCACCCUCGUGGGCCCCUCGUAGCUCUCCUGACCGACUUCUUUCGCCUAUAUAUACUCAUAUACCCUAGAACCAACAUAACAGGAGCCGAAACCCUAUUUCCACCGCCGCAACCUUCUGUACCCGUGAGAUCCCAUCUUGGGGCCUUUUCCAGCGCUCCGCCGGAGGGGGCAUUGCUACCUCUUGAGCACUGCUCUAGUUUUCCCUUGAAGAGGAAAGGGUGAUGCAGUAAAGUAGCGUAAGUCUUUCCCUCAGUUUUUGAGAACCAAGGUAUCAGUCCAGUAGGAGGCCACGCACAAGUCCCUCGCACCUCCACAAACAAAUAAAAACCUCGCAACCAACGCAAUAAAGGGGUUGUCAAUUCCUUCACGGUCACUUACGAAAGUGAGAUCUAAUAGAUAUGAUAAGAUAAUAUUUUUGGUAUUUUUAUAAUACAGAGUAAAAGUAAAGAUUGCAAAAAAUAAACGGCGUCAGAAAUAGCUUGUUGACGGGAGAUUAAUAUGAUGGAAAAUAGACCCAGGGGCCAUAGGUUUCACUAGUGGCUUCUCUCAAGAUAGCAUAAGCAUUACGGUGGGUGAACAAAUUACUGUUGAGCAAUUGCUAGAAUUGAGCAUAGUUAUGAGAAUAUCUAGGUAUGAUCAUGUAUAUAAGCAUCACGUCCGCGACAAGUAGACCGAAACGAUUCUGCAUCUACUACUAUUACUCCACACGUCGACUGCUAUACAUCAUGCAUCUAGAGUAUUAAGUUCAUAAGAACAGAGUAAUGCUUUAAGUAAGAUGACAUGAUGUAGAGGGAUAAACUCAUGCAAUAUGAUAUAAACACCAUCUUGUUAUCCUCGAUGGCAACAAUACAAAACAUGCCUUGCUGCCCCUACCGUCACUGGGAAAGGACACCGCAAGAUUAACCCUAAGCUAAGCACUUCUCCUAUUGCAAGAAAGAUCAAUCUAGUAGGCCAAACCAAACUGAUAAUUCGAAGAGACUUGCAAAGAUAACAAAUCAUACAUAAAAGAAUUCAGAGAAGAUUCAAAUAUUGUUCAUAGAUAAACUUGAUCAUAAACCCACAAUUCAUCGGUCUCAACAAACACACUGCAAAAGAAGAUUACAUCGAAUAGAUCUCCACGAGAGAGGGGGAGAACAUUGUAUUGAGAUGCAAAAAAGAGAGAAGAAGCCGUCUAGCUAAUAACUAUGGACCCAAAGGUCUGAGGUAAAGUACUCACACAUCAUCGGAGAGGCUAUGGUGUUGAUGUAGAAGCCCUCCGUGAUCAAUGCCCCCUCCGGCGGAGUGCUGGAAAAGGCCCCAAGAUGGGAUCUCACGGGUAUAGAAGGUUGCGGCGGUGGAAUUAGGUUUUUGGCUCCGUAUCUGGUAGUUUGGGGGUACGUAGGUAUAUAUAGGAGGAAGAAGUACGUCGGUGGAGCAACAUGGGCCCCAUGAGGGUGGAGGGCGCGCCCAGGGGGUAGGCGUGCCCCCUGCCUCGUGCUCUCCUGGUUGCUUUCUUGACGUAGGGUCCAAGUCCUCUGGAUCACGUUCGUUCCGAAAAUCACGUUCCCGAAGGUUUCUUUCCGUUUGGACUCCGUUUGAUAUUCUUUUUCUACGAAACACUGAAAUAGGGAAAAAAAGCAAUUCGGGCUGGGCCUCCGGUUAAUAGGUUAGUCCCAAAAAUAAUAUAAAAGUGUAUAAUAAAGCCCAUUGAUCAUCCAAAACAGAAUAUAAUAUAGAAUGGAACAAUCAAAAAUUAUAGAUACGUUGGAGACGUAUGAAGCAUCCCCAAGCUUAAUUCUUGCUCGUUCUCGAGUAGGUAAAUGAUAAAAACAGAAUUUUUGAUGUGGAAUGCUACUUAGCAUAAUUCUCAAAGUAAUUCUCUUAAUUGUGGUAUGAAUAAUCAGAUCCGAAAGAUUCAAGAUAAAAGUUUAAUAUUGACAUAAAAAUAAUAAUACUUCAAGCAUACUAACUAAGCAAUUAUGUCUUCUCAAAAUAACAUGGCCAAAGAAAGUUAUCCCUACAAAAUCAUAUAGUCUGGCUAUGUUCUAUCUUCACCACACAAAAUAUUUAAAUCAUGCACAACCCCGAUGACAAGCCAAGCAAUUGUUUCAUACUUUUGGUGUUCUCAAACUUUUUCAAUCUUCACGCAAUACAUGAGCGUGAGCCAUGGAUAUAGCACUAUAUGUGGAAUAGAAUAGUGGUUGUGGAGAAGACAAAAAGGAGAAGAUAGUCUCACAUCAACUAGGCAUAUCAACGGGCUAUGGAGAUGCCCAUCAAUAGAUAUCAAUGUGAGUGAGUAGGGAUUGCCAUGCAACGGAUGCACUAGAGCUAUAAAUAUAUGAAAGCUCAACAAAAGACACUAAGUGGGUGUGCAUCCAACUCGCUUGCUCACGAAGACCUAGCGCAUUUUGAGGAAGCCCAUCAUUGGAAUAUACAAGCCAAGUUCUACAAUGAAAAAUUCCCACUAGUAUAUGAAAGUGAUAUCAUAGGAGACUCUCUAUCAUGAAGAUCAUGGUGCUACUUUGAAGCACAAGUGUGGUAAAAGGAUAGUAACAUUGUCCCUUCUCUCCUUUUCUCUCAUUUUUUUAUUUGGGCCUUUUUUUAUGGCCUCUUUUUUUUCGUCCGGAGUCUCAUCCCGACUUGUGGGGGAAUCAUAGUCUCCAUCAUCCUUUCCUCACUUGGGACAACGCUCUAAAAAUGAUGAUCAUCACACUUUUAUUUACUUACAACUCAACAAUUACAAUUCAAUACUUAGAACAAAAUAUGACUAUAUGUGAAUGCCUCCGGUGGUGUACCGGGAUAUGCAAUGAAUCAAGAGUGACAUGUAUGAAAUAAUUAUGAACGGUGGCUUUUCCACAAAUACGAUGUCAACUACAUGAUCAUGCAAAGCAAUAUGACAAUGAUGAAGCGUGUCAUAGUAAACGAAACAGUGGUAAGUUGCAUGGCAAUAUAUCUCGGAAUGGCUAUGGAAAUGCCAUGAUAGGUAGGUAUGGUGGCUGUUUUGAGGAAGGUAUAUGGUGGGUGAAUGAUACUGGCGAAAAGUGCGCGGUAUUAGAGAGGCUAGCAAUGGUGGAAGGAAGAGAGUGCGUAUAAUCCAUGGACUCAUCAUUAGUCAUAAAGAACUCAUAUACUUAUUGCAAAAAUCUACAAGUUAUUAAAGCAAAUUAUUAUGCGCAUGCUCCUAGGGGGAUAGAUUGGUAGGAAAAGACCAUAGCUCGUCGCCGACCACCACUCAUAAGGAAGACAAUCAAUAAAUAAAUCAUGCUCCGACUUCAUCACAUAACGGUUCACCAUACGUGCAUGCUACGGGAAUCACAAACUUUUAACACAAGUAUUCCUCAAAUCCACAACUACUCAUCUAGCAUGACUCUAAUAUCACCAUCUUCAUAUCUCAAAACAAUCAUCAAGCAUCAAACUUCUCAUAGUAUUCAACACACUCAUAAGAUAAUUUUUACAAAUCUUGGAUGCCUAUUACUUUAGGACUAAUUUUUUAAUUUAAGAAAAUUACCAUGCUGUUUUGUAGGACUCUCAAAAUAAUAUAAGUGAAGCAUGAGAGAAUAAUAGUUCUAUAAAACAAAUCCACCACUGUGCUCUAAAAGAUAUAAGUGAAGCACUAGAGCAAAAACUAUAUAGCUCAAAAGAUAUAAGUGAAGCACAUAGAGUAUUCUAAUAAAUUCCGAAUCAUGUGUUUCUCUCUCAAAAGGUGUGUACAGCAAGGAUGAUUGUGGCAAACUAACAAAUAAAGACUCAAAUAAUACAAGACGCUCCAAGCAAAACACAUAUCAUGUGGUGAAUAAAAAUAUAGCUCCAAGUAAAGUUACCGAUGGAAGUAGACGAAAGAGGGGAUGCCUUCCGGGGCAUCCCCAAUCUUUGGAUUUUUGGUGUCCUCAGAUUAUCUUGGGGUGCCAUGGGCAUCCCCAAGCUUAGGCUCUUGCCACUCCUUGUUCCAUAAUCCAUCAAAUCUUUUACCCAAAACUUGAAAACUUCACAACACAAAACUUAGCAGAAAAUCUCGUGAGCUCCAUUAGCGAAAGAAAACAAAACACCACUUCAAGGUACUGUAAUGAACUCAUUCUUUAUUUAUAUUGGUGUUAAACCUACUGUAUUCCAACUUCUCUAUGGAUUAUAAACUAUUUUAUUAGCCAUAGAUUCAUCAAAAUAAGCAAACAACACACGAAAAACAGAAUCUGUCAAAAACAGAACAGUCUAUAGUAAUCUGUAACUAACGCAAACUUCUGUAACUCAAACAAUUCAGCCAAAAUAGGAAGACCUAUACAAUUUGUUUAUUGAUCAGCAGCAAUUGGAAUCAAUAUUUUAUCACGUUCUGGUAAUUUUUAACAAUUGUUUUCAUGAACAGAAAGUUUCUGGAAUUUUCAGCAAGAUCAAAUAACUAUCAUCCAAGAAGAUCCUAUAGGUUUAACUUGGCACAAACACUAAUUAAAACAUAAAAACAAAUCUAACCAGAGGCUAGAUCAAAUAUUUAUUCUUAAACAGAAGCAAAAAGCAACAAAAAAAACUAAAAUAAGAUUGGGUUGCCUCCCAACAAGCUCUAUCGUUUAACGCCCCUAGGCAUUGAUAAUUUUAAUGACGCUCACAUUAAAGACAAGAAUUAAAGCACAGAGAGAGCAUCAUAGAACACGUGAUAAACACAUCUAAGUCUAACAUACUUCCUAUGCAUAGGCAUUUUAUAGUCAAACAAAUUAUAAUAGCAAGCAAAAAUUAGCAUAUGCAAGGAAGAAGAAAGAGACGAUAGCAAUCUCAACAUGACGAGAGGUAAUUUAGUAAGACAAAAAUUUCUACAACCAUAUUUUCCUCUCUCAUAAUAAUUACAUGUAGGAUCAUCGGCAAAUUCAACAGUAUAGCUAUCGCAUAACAUAUUCUCAACACAAUCCACAUGCAUGCGAGGUUGACACUCUUCCAAAAUAGUGGGAUUAACAUUAACUAAAGUCAUAAACUCUCCAAACCCACUUUUAUCAAAAAUUUCAUAAGAUUGAACAUUCUCCAAAUAUGUGGGAUCUAAAGUUGACACUCUUCCAAACCCACUUUUAAUAUUAUUGCAAACAUUAUUAUCAAUCUCAUAUUUAUCACGGGGCUUAAAUAAAUUUUCAAGAUCAAAAGAAGAAUCACCCCAAUCAUGAUCAUUGCAACAAAAAGUAGUCAUAGCAAAACUAGCAUCCCCAAGCUUAGGGUUUUGCAUAUUAUUAGCACAAUUGACAUCAAGAGAAUUUAUAGUAAAAUCAUUGCAAUCAUGCUUUUUAUUCAAGGAGCUAUCGUGAAUCUCUUCAUAAAUUACUUCAUCACAAUUUUCAGAUUCACAAAUUUCAAGCAAAACCUCAUAAAGAUAAUCUAGUGCACUCAACUCAUUAGCAAUAUGUUCAUCAUAAUUGGAUCUCUUAAAGAGAUUAGCAACGGGAUGAGGAUCCAUAAAAUUUUAGCAAGCGAAGAUGCAAAUAAAAAGAAGGCACAUGGUAACACAAGAUCGAAAGGAAAAGAGGGCGAAUAAAACGGCAAGGGUGAAGUGGGGGAGAGGAAAACGAGAGGCAAAUGGCAAAUAAUGUAAUGCGAUGGAUAAGAGUUUGUGAUGGGCACUUGGUAUGUCUUGACUUGACUUGACUUGGCGCGAAUCUCCCCGGCAACGGCGCCAGAAAUCCUUCUUGCUACCUCUUGAGCACUACGUUGGUUUUCCCAUGAAGAGGAAAGGGUGAUGCAGUAAAGUAGCGUAAGUAUUUCCUUCAGUUUUUGAGAACCAAGGUAUCAGUCCAGUAGGAGGCCACGCACAAGUCCCUCACACCUACAUAAACAAAUAAAAACCUCGCAACCAACGCAAUAAAGGGGUUGUCAAUCCCUUCACGGUCACUUACGAAAGUGAGAUCUGAUAGAUAUGAUAAGAUAAUAUUUUUGGUAUUUUUAUAGUAAAGAGUAAAACUAAAGAUUGCAAAAAAUAAACGGCGCCAAAAACAACUUGUUGACGGGAGAUUAAUAUGAUGGAAAAUAGACCCGGGGGCCAUAGGUUUCACUAGUGGCUUCUCUCAAGAUAUCAUAAGCAUUACGGUGGGUGAACAAAUUACUGUUGAGCAAUUGAUAGAAUUGAGCAUAGUUAUGAGAAUAUCUAGGUAUGAUCAUGUAUAUAGGCAUCACGUCUACGACAAGUAGAACGAAACGAUUCUGCAUCUACUACUAUUACUCCACACGUCGACCGCUAUCCAGCAUGCAUCUAGAGUAUUAAGUUCAUAAGAACAGAGUAAUGCUUUAAGUAAGAUGACAUGAUGUAGAGGGAUAAACUCAUGCAAUAUGAUAUAAACCCCAUCUUGUUAUCCUUGAUGGCAACAAUACAAUACGUGCCUUGCUGCUCCUACUGUCACUGGGAAAGGACACCGCAAGAUUGAACCCAAAGCUAAGCACUUCUCCUAUUGCAAGAAAGAUCAAUCUAGUAGGCCAAACCAAACUGAUAAUUCGAAGAGACUUGCAAAGAUAACCAAUCAUACAUAAAAGAAUUCAGAGAAGAUUCAAAUAUUGUUCAUAGAUAAACUUGAUCAUAAACCCACAAUUCAUCGGUCUCAACAAACACACCGCAAAAGAAGAUUACAUCGAAUAGAUAUCCACGAGAGAGGGGGAGAACAUUGUAUUGAGAUGCAAAAAAGAGAGAAGAAGCCAUCUAGCUAAUAACUAUGGACCCGAAGAUCUGAGGUAAACUACUCACACAUCAUCGGAGAGGCUAUGGUGUUGAUGUAGAACCCCUCCGUGAUCAAUGCCCCCUCCGGCGGAGCGCCGGAAAAGGCCCCAAGAUGGGAUCUCACGGGUACAGAAGGUUGCGGCGGUAGAAUUAGGUUUUUGGCUCUGUAUCUGGUAGUUUGGGGGUACAUAGGUAUAUAUAGGAGGAAGAAGUACGUCGGUGGAGCAACGUGGGCCCCACGAGGGUGGAGGGCGCGCCCAGGGGGUAGGCGCGCCCCCUGCCUCGUGCUCUCCUGGUUGCUUUCUUGACGUAGGGUCCAAGUCCUCUGGAUCACGUUCGUUUCGAAAAUCACGUUCCCGAAGGUUUCAUUCCGUUUGGACUCCGUUUGAUAUUCUUUUUCUGCGAAACACUGAAAUAGGCAAAAAAACAGCAAUUCGGGCUGGGCCUCCGGUUAAUAGGUUAGUCCCAAAAAUAAUAUAAAAGUGUAUAAUAAAGCCCAUUAAUCAUCCAAAAGAGAAUAUAAUAUAGCAUGGAACGAUAAAAAAUUAUAGAUGCAGGCAGGAGUCGGUCUACUUGUCACGGACGUGAUGCCUAUAUACAUGAUCAUACCUAGAUAUUCUCAUAACUAUGAUCAAUUCUAUCAAUUGCUCGUCAGUAAUUUGUUCACCCACCGUAAUACUUAUGCUCUUGAGAGAAGCCACUAGUGAAACCUAUGGCCCCCGGGUCUAUUUUCUAUCAUAUUAAUCUCCCAACAACUAGCUAUUUCUGUCGCCGUUUAUUUUGCAAUCUUUACUUUUCAAUCUAUAAAACAAAAAUACCAAAAAUAUUUAUCUUAUCAUCUCUAUCAGAUCUCACCUUUGCACGUGGCCGUGAAGGGAUUGACAACCCCUUUAUCGCAUUGGUUGCAAGGUUCUUAUUUGUUUGUGGUGGUGCGUGGGACUUGAGCGUGGUCUCCUACUGGAUUGAUACCUUGGUUCUCAAAACUGAGGGAAAUACUUACGCUACUUUACUGCAACACCCUUUCCUCUUCAAGGGAAAACCAAUGCAGUGCUCAAGACGUAGCAGGGGUCGAUAUACCCCCUCCCCGAUAACAUUAUUUUCCCAUGUAUGUAUGUCGUCGUUGUCGAUAUAACCCCCCUCCCCGAUAACUUCGACAUGAGGGGCGGUCGAUAUAUAUACCCCCUCUUGACCGNNNNNNNNNNNNNNNNNNNNNNNNNNNNNNNNNNNNNNNNNNNNNNNNNNNNNNNNNNNNNNNNNNNNNNNNNNNNNNNNNNNNNNNNNNNNNNNNNNNNNNNNNNNNNNNNNNNNNNNNNNNNNNNNNNNNNNNNNNNNNNNNNNNNNNNNNNNNNNNNNNNNNNNNNNNNNNNNNNNNNNNNNNNNNNNNNNNNNNNNNNNNNNCUCUCGAGGACACCCAAACCCUAGAAAAAAACGAUGUCGGUCUCCUACCCCCUCCCGCCGCGCCCCUAGCCGACAAACUCUCUCGAGGCCACCCAAAUUUACCAAGUUAAGAGAGCGUUGUCGUCGAGGCCACCCCAAACCCUUGAAGCGUUGUUGAGGCCACCCCAAACCCUUGAAGCGUUGCCGAGGCCACCCCAAACCCUAGAGAAGUGUCGAGGCCACUAAUAUGAUUCCUUAUUGUGAUUAACUAGCUAGUUCUACGUUUGCCACUAAUAUAUCCAUCUGUCAUGUUUGAAUAAUAAUUGCCAUGUUGUAAAUAUUUGCAGAAACUAUGGAUCACCCCCGAGAUGAAGCAACAGAAGCGGUGUUGUGGGACAUAAUCGUAGCCGGAAGUGAUGCCGUCUUGUCAUUUCUCAACGACACCGAUGGUCUGGAAGGACAGGGUGAAGAAGCAUGCUACGGUGAUCGAAGAAUGGAGGAAGGACAUGAUUAUGAUAGCUCCGGUGAACGAAUGCCGGUGGAAGAAGGACACCGUGAUGACGGCUCCGGUGACCGAACUGAGUCCGGCCAGGUAUAUAUAUUAAUUAAGCAUGUGCUGACUAUAGCUAAUUUUUGCAUUAAUUGUUUUUGGUAUGUACACAUAUUAACUCUCUUAUUUCUUCUUUUCUAGCCCUCCGGAUCGUGCAAAACUUCGGUUACGAGACGAAACCCGAAGAGAAAGUUGCGCUCGGAUGAAAGGUACACGAUCACCGAAAUCGAUCGCGAUGGCCAACCGAUUGAACCCCUCCGGACCAAGCAAGCAUUUUAUGCUCAGUGCGGGGUUCUUGUUAGGGACACGAUCCCGAUCAGCAUCGAGCAAUGGUUUAAGCCUAAGGAUGAAGACACUGGGGUGUCUUAUGUCGACGAUAGGCAGAAAGCUGAUCUCUGGACCGCGCUGAAGGCAAAUUUCACCCUACCGCCAGAGGAGGAUCCGGAGAAGCCAGUUAAAGAGCCAUUGAUCAAGGCUCAUGCUCUUAAGAAGAUGGCUGAGCUAUUUAGGAGGUGGAAGAAUGAGCUGAAAUCAACGUUUGUCGACCAUGAGGAGACUCUAGAAUUCAUCGGCCGAUUUGAGAAGAUCAAAGAUCACUGGCCCGCAUUUGUCACCCAAAAAAUUCUGAGAAGGCCAAGAUGUCAGUGACAAACAAGAUAAAUGCUGCAAAGAAGAAGCAUCACCAUCGCACGGGGUCAGGUGGCUACCUGAAAGCCCGGCCGUUGUGGGACAAGGCUGAGAAUGACCUGAUUGAUAAAGGGAUCGAACCAGAGACAUUGCGCUGGCCAGACCGUUCAAGGACUUGGUUCUUCGGGGUUGGGGGAAUAUUGGACCCUGAACCAGGGAAGUGCGUUUGGACGGACGAGCAGCUGAAGACACCCAUCACGAGGCUUCAACAGUUUAUCGAAAAAGCGCAGCAAGGGACGUUCGUUCCGGACAGAGAGAACGACGAGCUCACACAGGCCCUUGGGAAUCCUGAGCACCCCAGACGGACACGAGGCACGCCAGGCUCCGUUUCGUGGAAGGUUGGGUUUCCCGAGGCAGGCGGUUACAAAGGCCGGGGGAGGAAGAGGAAAGUGGAGUUGACCAAAAUACAGGCGCUGCACGCAAGGGUACAAGCGCUAGAGGAACGAGACGCAGUUUGCAGCUUGCGACCUGCCGAAGCUACCCCCGAAGCUCAGCGGAGAAGCAGUGUGGCUUCCACCGAGCUGCUUCAGGAGCCUGUCUUCACGGCUCCUGCUAGCUACCCCGUGGAUGCUAUCACAGAGUCUCAACAUUGACACCUUAUGAUGCAAUGGCUGAAAAUUGAAAGUCAAGGCGGCUGUUGGCUCUGUUGCACCUCCUGAACCUGGCGCAACUUAUCACUACCGGCCAAUUCCAGAAGGAUAUGCUAGGGUGAUGGUGGAUGAAAUAACGGACGGAUUUGAGGACCUCGAGCUUGACCACCCUAUGGGUGAAGGGGAGACUCGGCUGGGUUCUUCUCUGAAUACUCCAUGCCUAUGGCGGAAGGAGCUCAUCAACUUUCCGAACUGGACGCCUCCGCCUCCUCCUCCUCCUCCUCCGGCGAGUCAGGGCACUCCGCCUCCUCCUCCGCCUCCUCCUCCGGCGAGUGAUCAGGGCACUCAGCCUCCUUCUCCGGCGCGUGGCGGCACUCCGCCUCCUUCUCCGCCUGCGCCGGCGCGCCCGAGCAACUAGCCUCCUCCUUCUGCACCUUGCCAGCAAGGGCGGAAGAGACCCGCCGCCGCUGCGGCUGCUUCGGCGCGUCAUAGUCCUUCUCCUCCACCUCGUAAGCAAGCACGAAAGAAGACAGCCGCAGCCGCUCCGUCUGCUCCGGCGUCUAGCAGUACAGCCAGAGGCGGGAGGCAAUACAGAUUCGGUCCAUCUCUCAAGCCUCUGGAGAAUUUACCAUACGAGAGGGCCGUGGAGGAAACCGCGGAGAUCGUGCAAGCCGAAGUGACAAACUUCUUUGAAGCGGUGAAAGCAAAGAAACAUCCACCUCCGGAGAUGAAGAUGGAUCUGGUGAAAGUAAAGCGCACUAUCGAUGCCGUGAAGAAACCACCACCGUCUCCGCCGAAAAACAACUAUGAGCGCAUUAAUGAAAAGGUAUAUAAGGAAGCGGAGCGGUCGGGAAAAAAUUACCCAGCUCGGCGAACAAGCGAACCAAUCGUGCCCCCCCCCCCGCUCAAGGUGUCUAGCGAUAUCGUCGCUAAUGAUCAGAGGAUGGUGCCCGGUUACACCAAUCUUGAAGAUUACCUGCCCGACGAUGUACAUUAUGAUUUCUUGGAGGUGGACGAACACAAAUACCAUUACGGGAAGCCUCUCGUCAAAGAUGAAAGAUCUCUAACAACGAUGAUGCGAAGAUUCCAUGAUUGGUACAUGAAAACCUGCAGAGAGUCUGGGGGACGAAUACUUUGACGCUGAGAGUUAAAGAGGAGCACGACCUCGUUGGAAUUGAUCUGUUGUAUGUUCCAUUUGAGGAGUUUUUUGCCUUUUCAAUCAAAAGUCCAUCGAUAAAUUAACGGUCACUUGCUACUGUCUGUAAGUACUACUUCUGUCAUUAAGUCUCUAUAUAUAGCUCAGCUCUUUCAUUGCAUGUAUUUAUAAUUAUCCUCAGUAUAUUAUGCAGAUUGAAGAUCGUCAAAUGCAGAAAAGCAUAAAUGUAUGAUAUUGGGUUCAUUAACACAAAUCUCAUAGAUGAAUAUUCGGUUAAACAUCAAGCCAAAGAAACCGAGGCCAACUUGCUCAAAUCGUUGGUAAAAAAUCAAAACAAAGAUAUAAUACUCUUUCCUUACCGAAUGCAAGUGAGUGUUACUGUCUUGUGCAUAUUCGCUUUCCCUUAUUACUCGAUGUUAUAGUAAUGUAAUUGAUGAGUUAUGCAUGCGUGCGCAUGUACCACUAUAUUCUCCUGGAGAUUAAGCUUGAGCAGGGACGAGUAAUCGUCUUAGACCCGAGACGAAAAGAUCCCGAGACCUAUGCGGACAUGACUAAAAUUCUCAACAAGUAAGUUCAAUCCAUCAUUAUCGCACCAUAUCGGCAACUUUUUGUUCAUUCUUUCCUGAUAUCAAGUAAUUAUUUUCUUUGUCUCGCAGGGUUUGGAAAGUACUCACCGCACAAUCUCCAGGAUUGCCGAGGGAGCUGCGAUUUACAUACCCGAAAGUAAGUACUACUAGCUAGCUAGUUCCGCGCAUCUCCCGUUGAUUCUAGCUACUUUCAUCACUGCCAUUUAUAAUGCUUUCAUUAUCAGUUUGAUUGACCUUUAUUUCUCGUAAAGUGCUUGUGGCAGGAACAAGGGAAUGAUUACUGUGGAUACUACGUGUGCGAGUUCAUCUACAACGCGACUUGCAAAAAUAAGUGGGGCUACUCUAAAAGCCAAUAUGAGGUGCGUAAGCAAUAAUAUUCACAAUUUCAUUUUAUUACACCAUCAUUUCUGUUGAGUUUCAUUCAUAUAUAUGUAUCAACCGGCCCCUUCUUCAAAUUAGAUGUGGUAGAUGCAGAAUGAACUCCUACCACAAGAUCGCAUCAAAACAAUUCAAGAGGAAUUGGCAGGAUUUUUUCUUGACCACGUCAUCAAUAAAGACGGAGAAUACCAUGUUGCACCUGAGUUCAUAUAUAAUNNNNNNNNNNNNNNNNNNNNNNNNNNNNNNNNNNNNNNNNNNNNNNNNNNNNNNNNNNNNNNNNNNNNNNNNNNNNNNNNNNNNNNNNNNNNNNNNNNNNNNNNNNNNNNNNNNNNNNNNNNNNNNNNNNNNNNNNNNNNNNNNNNNNNNNNNNNNNNNNNNNNNNNNNNNNNNNNNNNNNNNNNNNNNNNNNNNNNNNNNNNNNNNNNNNNNNNNNNNNNNNNNNNNNNNNNNNNNNNNNNNNNNNNNNNNNNNNNNNNNNNNNNNNNNNNNNNNNNNNNNNNNNNNNNNNNNNNNNNNNNNNNNNNNNNNNNNNNNNNNNNNNNNNNNNNNNNNNNNNNNNNNNNNNNNNNNNNNNNNNNNNNNNNNNNNAUUUAUGUAGCCAGUACGUAGCGUCGGAUAGAUAUACGAAAACUUGUUGUUCGCCCAAUCUCUUAGAGAAGGAGAGGUCUAUAUCACUUCUCUCGGUAUGCAUAUGUUCAUGACGAACUUCUGUACAUAAUGGUUUCCUUCAUUUGCUUACUAGCUAGCGUGUCGAGGGCCUCUCUAUACGUAUAGUACGUAGCGUCGACCAAGCACGGAGAUAAGAGAGGACACUUCUCUCUAUUAGCUAGCUAACAACCUAAAUUAACCCCCAAAACCCCUAAACCACCCCCUUUCAAAAAAAACCCUCAGCUUCUGUCAGCUGCUGACGCGUGGAUGCCUUUUGGUCCCGGUUGGUGCCACCAACCGUGACCAAAGGCCCUCCUGCCUGGGCUCGCCGCAGCGGCCACGUGGAGGCCCAUCUGUCCCGGUUCGUAUAAGAACCGGGACUAAAGGCCUAGAGCUUUAGUAACGACACUUUAGUCCCGGAUCCGCAACCGGGACAGAUGGGCCUUACGAACCGGGACAAAUGGCUCUUUUUCUACUAGUCUCUCUCUCUCUCUCUCAUUUGAUUCAUAGGAUUUUGGAGGAUUGGAAUCCUUAGGAAUUUUUCCUAUGUUGGUUGUUUGAUUCAUAGGAUUGAAUUUUAUAGGAUUUUUUGUACUACUCCCCAUAAGGUUCUAGGAUUCACUCAAGCUCUUUGAAAAAAUCCUUUGUUUUUCCUAUGAUGCAAGCAAACAACCCCAAAUCCUGUAAGAUCGAGAUAAGCAUGACAUUGCAAUUCUAUGUAUUUCCUAUUCAUGCGUUUUUAGAAUCAUGUGAAUUAAAGAGGCCCUUAGAUUUCCUAUUCAUGGUAUGUGUACAAGCUAGCAACUAGAGAUAAUGGUGGGGAGUAUUCCAAAGAGCUACAGUUCUUGUGUACCUACGUUUGGCAUAAUCUGUGUAUCCUUGUGAAUGGUAAUUAUAUGUAGAGAAGAUUUGAUUUCCAGCGUGUAAAUAACGAUCUGUGUACUAAUCAAUCAGACCUCCUUAGCUGCUCAAGUACAUAUGCAAGUAUGCAACCCCUUAUCAGUUUCAUUAACCGUUCAGAUGACUUGUAUUGACCUUUCUCUUUGUGUUCAUGAAUCGAUCGUCACUCUAUUUUGUUUGGUUUGUGUUUCUUGUAACGUAACAGUACUGCAGGCCGGCAGAUAUGUAUCAUUCAAGCACUUGCAUGGCUUCGGUAGCGUACAUGCUACAAUGUUAUUGCAUCUGGUCAUCUACCGGCAGAAAAGCUAGAUGUAUAUAUAGCUCGUGAGAGCGUAUCCAUGCAUUGGUCUUACUUAUAGUAGUCGUUUGCUCCUCUCCCAGAAGGUACAAAUUAUGUAUGCCUUGAGAUUUCACCUUUCCUAUAAGGACAUGUACAAACUUUUUUUAGAAAAAGUACAUGUAUACCCUUUGGUGUUCCAUUGGAGUAUUAUUCAACGAAUCAAGUCGGAAUGACGUACCAUUUCUACUCUGGAAGGGAAAAAAAAUACUUAUAUGCUCGCCGAGAUGUUCUGAUACAUAUAAUUUCUUUUUUUUCUUGAGAGAAGGGCACAUAUCGUCCCAAGGUGUAGCAGGCCAAGAAAAGCAUACCCAAUGUAUAAAUGGUUGCUGCACGAUCAUGUAAUUUAUUCCGUCGGCAGAAAUGUUUGAUUUGAUACGAAUACACAAGCUACAUGUCGAUCAGCAAAUCGUUGUUGGUAUAAAAACGUGUGAAUUUCGUAGUACUAGGAUCAAAUUAGCGCAGUAGUAGUAUAGUAGACUAAAUAAUACUGUCCUUAGAUUAUAGGACCGGUGGCUGCUGGAUGGAGUAGGCAACUUUGACAAAUUUGACCUGUGGACGAAAUCAAAUCACAGAAUGAACUGCCCGUGAAAUUAUUUCACGCGGCUGACCUUUUUGUGUGACACCCGACACGAAGACGCCACACUACAUUAUGCAACGCCUUACAGAUAGGCGCUACACGCCUGGCCAGCGUUGCAUCCCAGACUGCCUAAAAAUUGCUAAGUCAUUGUGCAGAGCCUAAGAGCUAGGCGCUGCACUGUAUAGUGUGGCGCCUAGCUCUCAGGCGCUGCACUAGUGGUUGCACUACAAUAUGAAGCAACCACUAGUGCAACGCCUAGAAGCUAGGCGCUGCACACUGACUUAGUAAUUUUCGGAUCACACGGGUGCGACGCUGGCCAGGCGUGUAGCACCUAUCUAUGAGGCGUUGCACAGUGUAGUGUGGCGCCUUCGUGUCGGGCGUCACACAAAAAAAUCAGCCGCGUGAAAUAGUUUCACGAGCAGUUCAUUCUGUGAUUUGAUUUCGUCCAUUGGUCAAAUUUGUUAAUUUUGCCGAUGAAGUAGCACGCACACGCGCGAUCGAUCAGGCCGUGAGGUCCGCGUCUCGGGUCUACAUGUACGCCCUGAUCGUUUUGCCCAUGCUCAAGAAGAAGCUACUACAACACGCGCCCUCGGCCCGCGCAUUCGCCAACAGAGAUGAUGAAAUGAAAACCCAGCCAACACCUCCCCGAAGGGCCUCGUGGCCCUCAUCGUCGCCCUGUUGGCUGGCGUCUGAGCUAGGUCAUCCUUUACGCAAAUCCAUUGGUAUCGACAUUACUUUUGAGGGACGUUUUGCUAACUCAUCCAAUAAGCUGCAAGAAUCAAACCCGUACUCCCAAUUAAUUCAUAACCUUCUUUAAGUUCAAAUUUUUUUCAUAACUUUCUUUCACAAGGUGUGGUGGGCGUAUGGACAGGUCUUGAAUUUUUUUUUAUUGAACCAAGCUGUGAUCAAAAGUCAUACAGAAGAAUCAAGUUGUGAAAUUGAAAUACGAGUAACUUGGAUUAUAAGUUCAAUCACUCAUUUAGACACGCGCACACACACACCGAUCCUUUAGAGCAUCUUCACCGCGCCCCCAACAAGGCCCCCCAGGCGAUUUUUCGGCCGCCGGCGCCAAAAAAUCGGCCCAGUCACGCCCCCAUGGGCUCUUUUUUCGCCGGCUCGGGCCGAAAUUGGCGCCGACGGACCCAACCCGAACCCGGCGCGCUGGGGGUGCUCGGGGGCGCCGGGCGAAUCGUCUCGCGCCGCGGGCCAGCCGCGUCAGCGACACCGCCCGCCUCGUCUUCUCCCGACGCUUCGGUUUCCCGCAGGGAAUCAAUGGCAAGGCUGCCGCCAGUCCGCUUUGCCAUUGAUUCCUCACGGGCGGCGCGUUCACGGGGCGGCGCGCCGACGCCUCCCCUCCCUCGGACGCGUACACACGGACGCGGCGCGGCUAUAUAUGGCCUCGCUCGCCUGUGAUGAGUGCCACCUCUCCACCUCUCCCGAGCGCCGCCGCCGAGCUCUUCUCCCCCAGCCCUCCCUCUCCCGAGCGCCGCCGCCGAUCUCUUCUCCCCCAGCCACUCCAUCUCCCGAGCGCCGCCGCCGAUCUCUUCUCCCCAGCCACUCCAUCUCCCUGAUGGCCGAGCGUUUCCCCGGAGACGAGGCGGCGGAACGGCUUCGGCCGCCGUUGGCUCCGCGAACAGGAGUCCUGGCUCCUGUUCCAGGCGAACAUCCCGGCGCCACCGGACAUGCGCGCCGGGCCGACGGGCUGGAGGCUCAGCAAUAGGGGAGUGCCCAUUCCCCCGUUGCCCGACGCCGUGGCCAAACCAUCCUACUUCGCCGACGAGGUCGAGAUCGUUCGCGCCUCCCUCACCGAUGCCGAGCUCUCCCUCCCCCAGUACGCCACCGACAACCACGCGGCUUGGGCGGCGUACUUCGAGCGCCGCCAGUAGCAGCGGCUGGCGUCCACCAACGGGGCGCCGGUGGUCGGCGGCGUGAAGAACAGCGAGGGCGCCACCUGUGGUGGGGCGCCCCCGGCCGCACACUUGAGGGCGUGCUGACGCACCUCGAGGGCGGCAACAACCCGCCGUUGGCGUACCCCCCGGCGAGGGCGGCCGCCCCGGCGCACCGCCGACGCGACGGGCAAUGGGCGCCAAGGAGGUUCGGCGAGUCCUCCUCCUCUUCCUCCUCCCGCUCCUCCUCCCACUCCUCCGGCACUCCGACGCUGCUCGGCGUCAAGGCCGAGCCCGGCAUCGUCAUCAACGAGGGCGGCCGGCGCGCCUCCUCGUCGGCUCCUCCUCCGCGCUUCGUCAAGCCAAAGACGGAGUCGGGGCUCGCGCCGGUGAAGACGGAGCCGGGGCUGGCGCCGGUGGAGACGGAGCACGGCGAGGUCGAGCUCGACGACGACGCGGCCCUUGAAUGGGCACGCCAGGACUCCAUCAAGAUGGCGACGGAGCGCCAGCGCGCCGCCCUGCGGCGCUUCGAGCAGCGCCGCCGAAGCCGCGACGAAGGAGGAGGAGUCAUCAUCGACGACAGCGACGACGACGACGACGCGCUGCCGCCGCCACCAGCCGGGGAGGGGUCCAGCAGGGGCGCCCGAGUCAAGGAGGAGAAGGCCGACGAUGGCGGCGACGACGGCGACUUCUCGGCCUUCAGCAAGUUUUUUUAUUAGUUUUUAUAUGUAAUGGCGACUACUCGACUUAAAUCUGCGAAUAUAAGCCCAAGUUUACCGAAAUUUGGCGUGUUUUAGCCGAACUUUGUGUAAAUUUGCUACACAAUUUUUUUUCCCGCGCCUAGGGCCGGCCCUUGCGGCGGCGGCUGGGGGCCAACUCGCCCCAGGCCCAUUUUUUUCGCCGGGUCACCCCCAGACGGCGAUUUUAUGCGCCCCUGGGGGCCAACGGCUGGAGAUGCUCUUACCCCACAAUUGUGGAAGGACGACCUUCUAAGAAAUAGCGAUGGAGCUCCAGGGAUGGAGAGAGCUAGCUGUUCGGUGUUGGUAGCUACAAAAGAUAAAAUACCCAUGUAUCCCUUGGCCAAUUCUACGCAGAACCACCAUAUAACUAGACCUAACACAAGGAUACCUGUGCUUACAACAAUGCAAUUGUGUUGAGUAUUGUGAUUAUUAGGAAAGCUAGGAUAGUGUAGGAUAUUAUUCUGCCUUUUCUUGUAUUCCAAGAUGAUAAUGUACUCCUAUAUAUAUGCCCACGAGGUUUAAGCAAUACAACGAAUAUUCCACCAAUCCUCUCUCUCCCUUCUAACAUGGUAUCAGUUUCCGGGUUCUAAACUCUAGCCGCCGCCGCUUCCACACCCGCGCGCCGCCCCCGGGAAAGACGGCCUCCAUGACCGCCGCCGGGGACCGCGCCGCCCGUACCUAGGGUUCGUCCGCCGGUCAUGUUGACCGGCUGCCCUAGAGAGUCUUUUACUCGAUCCAUUGAUUGAGGUUUUUCUCUCUCAUCGAUCGAUUGAUCGAUGUUCUUUUCUGGUUUUCCGAUCUACGAUCGGUUUGCGUCGCCCACAUCGUCCGUCGUCUUCGCGUGGCUCUACUUCAACGCUGGCCUCGAGGACACCUGUCACCGCUCGCGCUUGUGCGCUGGGCUGGUGGAACGCACCGCGUCGCCUGCGUUCUGUGCGCUGGCUACAUCGCCCGUGCGUGGCUCGUUGCUCGCGCGCCUGAUCGCUCGUGCUAGGCUACCCAAGCUGCUCCACGUUGAACGGCCCGGAUCACAUGCGUAUGCUUGCUGGUAAAUACAUGCGUGUCCCGCUUGGGUGCGUGCCCAUGCCACGUACGGCUGCGCAAUGCAACUCGCAGAUACCUCGUCGCCCGCCGCCUCUUCUUGGAUUUUUUUGUCGCGUCUUCGGUCUGAUAAACCGCAUACACGCGUCUCCUUGAAAUUUGUGAAGAUCGCCUCCAAGUACAGCACCACCCUUCACCGAUCGAGCACAGGCUGCCGCUGCGUCGCCCCGUUGAGCCGCAGCGCCGCCGCCCUGUGAUUCUUCCCGUGACUGCACCGAUCCGCGCCGUCGCUGCGUCCCCCUUCGGGUCAUAGCGCCGCGGCACAUGAUCCCCGCGCCGCCCCGAGGCCGUUCCCUUGGUUGCACCACCUCGCGCGCUGCCGCUGCGUCGCCCCUUCGGGCCGUAGUACCGCGGCCCGCGGUCAACCGCCGCACCGAGCCCGUCCCCGAGGCUGCACCGCCGCUCGCGCUGCCGCUGCGUCGCCCCGUCGGGCCGUAGCGAGCGUGGCACGCGAUCCCUGCAACCGCCCUGAGGUCUUCUCCGCCGUCACCCCGACCUGCCCACCGCCGUUGCGUCGCCCCUUCGGGCCGUAAGGCUGCGGCCCGCGGUCCACCACCGUCCACGCGCGUUGACUUCCACGUGAUAUGUGCCGCGCCGCCUCCCUUGGCGCGGGAAUGUCACCGUCCGCGCCGGUCUUCGUCACGCUGUCGGGUUCAUUAUCGCCUACUUCGAGCACCGCCGCCGCGCUCCUUCUCUAGCUGCCGCCGCCGCUGCUCUUCUUCCGCGGCUCCAAGGCGACUACCUCGACACUGGCGACCCCCGACUCGACACCGACCACGGUGUUCUUCACACGGCUACCUCGCCUACGGCUACACCACCUACGCUCUCGGCUACCUCGACAAACGGCACAAAGGGCUACCGCCUUGCUUGAGCAACCUCGUCGGUUUUCACUCCAGCCACGACUCCGCGAUGCAUCGACCGUUACGACUGUGGGGGUGUCCGUCGGCUUACCUUCGGAUUCUUCUCCGGUCUCAACGUCUGCGUCGCUACCGUUGUGAUUGCGGGGAUGUUGAGUAUCGUGAUUAUUAGGAAAGCUAGGAUAGUGUAGGAUAUUAUUCUACCUUGCCUUAUACUCCAAAAUGAUCAUGUACUCUUAUAUAUAUACCCACGAGGCUCAAGCAAUACAACGAAUAUUCCACCAAUCCCCUCUCUCUCUUCUAACAAACUGGGACCUAACCUACUCAAACAAACACCCGAGUGCAGCCGUGCUAGUGAGUCUACUUGCUACAUGUGUAUGCAAACUAAACCGUCUAAACCGAAGUACACAAACUGCAGAUAAAUAGAUCACUCGUCUUAUAGAAUUUGUCCCGGUGCCUCUUGUUCCCCAACUGUCCAAUGUCUCUCAUCAAAAGAAGAAUUUCAUCCACUACAUCAGCUAGAAUGAGCAUUGUGUGGUUAAACUAGCUAUGAGUGUAUAGCAAGCAGGUGGCUAGGAACGACGCACAUAUAUAAAGGAAGGUGCGUCAUAUGCCUUAGUUGAAUGGUACAGGAGAUCCAGUUACUAUAGUAGGUAAGAAUUAAAUUGUUUCAUAUCACAAUAGCGUUAGCUGAUAGUAUCUUCAUGCUAAUGCACCAGCAUAGAAGACACGCUUUUGAUUGGCCAUCAUUUAACACAUGCGUGUCUAUUUUAGGAACAGUAUUUUGACAUCCGUCUGAGGCUGGAGUUAAAACUCUUGUAGCAUAGUAUCCAAAGGCAAUGAUAAGAUCAACAAAAGCUUCACUUAGUGCUUGUUUACAUUCUCUCUUAAUUUCUUAACAUUACUUUACCAGUUUCGACAAUAUGUGUACUCCUUGCAUUCAUGUUGAGCAUUUGGUUUUACCUUGGACUUUGUUUAACCCAUCUUAAUUUGUUUGAAGCGGAGAUUUUCACCCAUCCUUCGUGAUUACUCUUCACACAAUGAAUCUUAUAGGAGCAUGUUGGACCCUUAAAUUUGUCCAUGUAGCAGGUUAAUUGUUUAGACUUAUUUGAGUAGGCACCAAUCAGCCAUAAUUAACAUAUAUUUUAUUGUUUUCCAUAUGAAACUAUGUGAACUAGGUAGACAAGAACAACUUCUUCGCAGGUGAAAAUAAAUGGAUUAUCAAAAGGCCAUGGCCCAGAAAAUAAAAAGGCCGAAUUGUAGGGCUUGGCCCGUGUAGCUGAUCAAAAUUGGUAGGAAAAAAUAUAUAUAAAUGGGCUGAAUUAAUGGGCUCUGCCCGUGUAAAACACCGAACUGGACCGGGUUGAUUCUUAUCAACAACCUUUUCAUUUGGUCGCAAUUUUGCCAGGUCAGCUUGCCACAUCAGAUCCAACGUGGUCUGGGCAGACAAAUAGCGACCAAAACAGAAGGUUGUAGGAUCAACGACCUUUCGUUUUGGUCGUUGCCUUGAACGACCUUAUCACAAAGAAGGUUGUUAAUUUCCAUUAAAGACGGUCAGCUUUUGACCCUCUGUUUUUAUCACAAAAAGGUCGCAAAUUGAAAACAAUGACCAUUCAGCGACCAAUAGUGAUGGUCGCAAGUUGACAUAUUUCUUAUAGUGAAUCCUCACAUUCUGCAUCAUUAUGAUGCACAUACUCAUACUUAUUGAACUGAGGCAAGGCAACAAGGCCAAAAUCAUCAACAAGUGGAGUAUAUAACAGAGGCAACUAUGGCAUAACGGUUACACGAAAUAAAUUUAACUCACAAGACUAAGGGUACUCCGUUCACAAUAAAGCCUCCAAAUUAAAAAGAGAUACACAAAUCAUACCACUGUUGCCACGUCCAAUCGGAGACAACAUAGACAUGCCUUUUAUCCUGGUUACCGAGAAGCCAGCCAAUCAACAAGGAGACAACACCUUCAACAAGGUAACAACACAAGUUCAUCAAUGUUGAGUCUGACCAAAAAAGUCCAUAACAAGAGUUUUCAUCAGACACAUGAAACCGUUUCUAAAUUACCCUCUUGAUGGUAGAUCUUGUAGCAGUCACGCCAACUGGUAUUUCACACUAGGCCAACGUGGCUCUAGCAAAUAUGUGGGAUGUAUUCUAAUUUAGGACCGUAAACACAGUCAUUGGUUAGGAGGCCGGGAGAAUAAUGUGCCUACCUAUUAGGAAGAAACACGUGCACAAGCUGGCCCUAGCUCCACCUCAUCCUGUACAUUACCACAUUUCUUCUCGUCCCAAACAAAAAUAACUUAGUGCGAAGAAUAAAAAGAAUGGGUGUGGACAGAGUGACGACAACGGUGAGCCUCCCCUGCCGACUUCAGACAUCCUGCUACUACCGAUGUUCUCCUUGUGCACAACACCAUUGCGCCAUCCUGCCACUGUCGCAUGUUGGCUUGUUGAUUUCACCAUUGAAUUUGAUGCUGGGGCGAUCCGCCUUCCCCACCUCAGUGUCUCUGUCUUCAAUGUCGGGUUAUAGGCCUAUGGGGAGACUUUCAAUGCCGUCGUCCUCCUAGAACACACAUCGAGGAGGAGCGCUUUGUUAGAAGUUAUGUGACUGGGCUACUGCGGAAAGCAGAUGGAUAGACAAUAUUUAUUAACAAGGUUCAACGAUCAAUACCUUCAACUCCGAGACAUGACUACGGAUGAUCCUCUUCAUGUACUAAAUCAAUAUAGUACAAAUCAAUGACAAGCUUGUUGGGGCCAUCAUAUGCAUCUUGAAUACCACACCAUGGAUGGUCUGGUCAACCCUGUGACGCCCCCGAUUUGAACGUACACUAAACAUGCACGCAAAUGUGUACGAUCAAGAUCAGGGACUCACGGGAAGAUAUCACAACACAACUCUACAACAUAAAUAAGUCAUACAAGCAUCAUAAUACAAGCCAGGGGCCUCGAGGGCUCGAAUACAAUUGCUCGAUCAUAGACGAGUCAGCGGAAGCAACAAUAUCUGAGUACAGACAUAAGUAAACAAGUUUGCCUUAAGAAGGCUAGCACAAAAGUAACAACGAUCGAAAAGGCAAGGCCUCCUGCCUGGGACCUCCUAACUACUCCUCGAAGCCGAACUCCACGUAGAAUCAUCUUCGGGAUCUCUAGCUCCUGGACUCCAGCAUCUGGUUGCGACAAUCCGGUAUAGAAAGGGGAAAAGAGGGAGAAAAGCAACCGUGAGUACUCAUCCAAAGUAUUCGCAAGCAAGGAGCUACACUACAUAUGCAUGGGUAUAUGUGUAAAGGACCAUAUCAGUGGACUGAACUGCAGAAUGCCAGAAUAAGAGGGGGAUAGCUAGUCUUGUCGAAGACUACGCUUCUGGCAGCCUCCAUCUUGCAGCAUGUGGAAGAGAGUAGAUUGAAGUCCUCCAAGUAGCAUCGUAUAGCAUAAUCCUACCCGGCGAUCCCCUCCUCGUCGCCCUGUUAGAGAGCGAUCACCGGGUUGUAUCUGGCACUUGGAAGGGUGUAUUUUAUUCAGUAUCCGGUUCUAGUUGUCAUAAGGUCAAGGUACAACUCCGGGUCGUCCUUUUACCGAGGGACACGGCUAUUCGAAUAGAUAAACUUCCCUGCAGGGGUGCACCACAUAACCCAACACGCUCGAUCCCAUUUGGCCGGACACACUUUUCUGGGUCAUGCCCGGCCUCGUAAGAUCAACACGUCGCAGCCCCACCUAGGCUCAAUAGAGAGGUCAGCACGCCGGUCUAAACCUAUGCGCGCAGGGGUCUGGGCCCAUCACCCUAUGCACACCUGCACGUUGCGUACGCGGCCGGAAGCAGACCUAGCCCCCUUAAUACAAGCGCGAGCUUACGGUCCAAUGCGGCGCGCGCCACUCAGUCGCUGACGUCAAAAAGAGCUUCGGCUGAUACCACGACGCCGGGAUACCCAUAACUACUCUCGCGUACAUGGUUAGUGCGUAUAGACCAAAUGGCCAGACUCAGAUCAAAUACCCAGAUCUCGUUAAGCGUGUUAUUUAUCCGCGAACGCCGACCAGGGCCAGGCCCACCUCUCUCCUAGGUGGUCCCAACCUGCCCUGUCGCUCCGCCACAAAGUAACAGUCGGGGGCCGUCAGGAACCCAGGCCCACCUCUACCGGGGUGGAGCCACCUGUCCUUUCAGCCCCCUCAUCAGAAUCACUUGCGGGUACUCAACGAGCCGACCCGACUUUAGUCACCACAUGUGUCAUGUAUAUAAUGUUUAUAGUAUAUACCCGUGAUCACCUCCCGAAGUGAUCACGGCCCAGUAGUAUAGCAUGGCAGACGGACAAGAGUGUAGGGCCACUGAUGGAACACUAGCAUCCUAUACUAAGCAGUAGGAUAGCAGGUAAGGGUAACAACUGUAGCAACAAUGUCAGGCUAUGCAUCAGGAUAGGAUUAACGGAAAGCAGUAACAUGCUACACUACUCUAAUGCAAGCAGUAUAGAGAAGACUAGGCGAUAUCUGGUGAUCAAGGGGGGGGCUUGCCUGGUUGCUCUGGCAAGUAGGAGGGGUCGUCAACUCCGUAGUCGAACUGGGCAGCAGCAGUGUCGGUCUCGUAGUCUACCGGAGAGAAGAGGGGGAAGAAACAGUAAAUACAAUGCAAACAUAAACAUGACGAUGCAUGACAUGAUAAUGAGCAGUGCGAAGUGUGUCCUAACGCGACAGUAGGUGGUACCGGCGAAGGGGGGGGAACAUCCGGGAAAGUAUUCCCGAUGUUUUGCGUUUUCGGACAGAUGGACCGGAGGGGGAAAGUUGCGAGUUCGAUAUGUUAAGGAGGUGUGGUGGACGAACGGACUGCGUAUUCGGAUUCGUCUCGUCGUUCUGAGCAACUUUCAUGUUGAAAAUAUUUUAAUCCGAGUUACGGAUUAAAAGAUAUGAUUUUCUAAAGAUUUUAUUAAUUUCUGGAAUUUAAUUAAUUAUUUAACUUAAUUCGAAAAUGGAUUUAUGACAUCAGCAUGAUGUCAUGCUGACGUCAGCAGUCAACAGGGGUUGACUGGGUCAAACUGUCGCGUGGGUGCAGUGGGACCCACGUGUCAUACUCUGUUAGGUUAAUUAGGGUUUAAUUAAACUAAUUCUGUUUAAUUAAACUAACGGGUUAAUUAGAUUAAUUCAUUAGGAUUAAUUAACUUUAAUUAAUUAAUAUUAACAUGAUUAAAUAAGUUAAUUAAUUAUCUUAAUUAAUUAUUUUUAUUAUUUAUUUUUAUUUAUAUAUUUAUUACUAUCUAUUAAUUUAUUUAUUAUUUUUAUUAUUAUUAUAUUUUAUUUUUAUUUAUUUAUUUUUUUAAAUCGUUUUUUUCUUUUCCUUUUCGUUCUGUGCGUGGGCCCCGGCUGUCAUUGGGCCAGGGGGUUCGGGCCCAGGGGUCAGUGGCACCUGGGGCCUAAGCGGGCACAUGGGCGUGCGGGCGCCCGACCCGGGCGAAGCCCGAGUGGCCACGGGCGCCGAAAGUGGCCGCCGGCGCGGUAGUGGCCCGUGGGGCUAGCGGCGGAGCAGUACGGCGGAGAGGUGGCGGCGAGGCCGCGCGGGGCAGUGAGCAGCGGCGCAGGCGAGGCGCGUUGGCNNNNNNNNNNNNNNNNNNNNNNNNNNNNNNNNNNNNNNNNNNNNNNNNNNNNNNNNNNNNNNNNNNNNNNNNNNNNNNNNNNNNNNNNNNNNNNNNNNNNNNNNNNNNNNNNNNNNNNNNNNNNNNNNNNNNNNNNNNNNNNNNNNNNNNNNNNNNNNNNNNNNNNNNNNNNNNNNNNNNNNNNNNNNNNNNNNNNNNNNNNNNNNNNNNNNNNNNNNNNNNNNNNNNNNNNNNNNNNNNNNNNNNNNNNNNNNNNNNNNNNNNNNNNNNNNNNNNNNNNNNNNNNNNNNNNNNNNNNNNNNNNNNNNNNNNNNNNNNNNNNNNNNNNNNNNNNNNNNNNNNNNNNNNNNNNNNNNNNNNNNNNNNNNNNNNNNNNNNNNNNNNNNNNNNNNNNNNNNNNNNNNNNNNNNNNNNNNNNNNNNNNNNNNNNNNNNNNNNNNNNNNNNNNNNNNNNNNNNNNNNNNNNNNNNNNNNNNNNNNNNNNNNNNNNNNNNNNNNNNNNNNNNNNNNNNNNNNNNNNNNNNNNNNNNNNNNNNNNNNNNNNNNNNNNNNNNNNNNNNNNNNNNNNNNNNNNNNNNNNNNNNNNNNNNNNNNNNNNNNNNNNNNNNNNNNNNNNNNNNNNNNNNNNNNNNNNNNNNNNNNNNNNNNNNNNNNNNNNNNNNNNNNNNNNNNNNNNNNNNNNNNNNNNNNNNNNNNNNNNNNNNNNNNNNNNNNNNNNNNNNNNNNNNNNNNNNNNNNNNNNNNNNNNNNNNNNNNNNNNNNNNNNNNNNNNNNNNNNNNNNNNNNNNNNNNNNNNNNNNNNNNNNNNNNNNNNNNNNNNNNNNNNNNNNNNNNNNNNNNNNNNNNNNNNNNNNNNNNNNNNNNNNNNNNNNNNNNNUGGGGGGGGGGUUGUUUUAUUUCUCUUUUUUGUUUCUUUGAUCUGUUUUCUUUUUUUUGUAAUUUCUUUUCUUUUAUUUAUCUUUCUUUUACUGUUUUACUUUUAGUUUUCUUUUAUUUUAGUUUUAUAAAAAUUAUCACUAGCACUUAAAUUAAUACUUUUAAAUAUAGUAUUGCCACAUUAAUCCUCAACCCAAAUUAAAAUAGUUUAAUAUUUUAUAAAAUUCAAAAGGCAUUUAUUUCAACAUUUAAACCUCUAUUUUAAUUAUUUUGAACACUUAAGCAUUUUAUUAAAUGUAGAUUUCUCCACCAUUAUUAUCUAUGCAAUAUUUGGUUCACUCCGAACAUUUUAGUUUUAAUAUUUGAAAACUUUUAUUGUUUGCCUAUAUUUUAAAUUUUAACUUGAAUCGUUUUUGAACUAACUCGAGUUUAUCAACAGUAACCGAGGUGACGUGCCACCAUUAGCAGAGGUUUACUGUAGCUUGAUUAUCCGGGCGUCACAAUUCUCCUCCACUAUAAGAAAUCUCGUCCCGAGAUUUAAGAGGGAAGUAAAGGGGGAAGGUUCGGGUUACGAAAUUCUAGGGAGUGUUCUUGGUCUUGGUUGUUCUCCUCGAAGAGGUUGAUCCAUUACAUUGAUGUCUUCAUUCUGCUGUUUCAAGUCAUCAUGAUAAAGUUGUCGUCCUUUCUUCGGGAACUCCAUCGUACUUACGAAGGAAUGAAGGGUGGGUAUUCCGGGAGAACGGACCUCCGUAAGGUUGACUAUCUGGUCGAUAACAUCGGCGAAGGUGGCGGAAAGUAACUCUCGAAUUGCAACUUAAGAAAUUAUCGAGAGCAAAGUAAGAAGGUACAAAAUAGAAGUUUUCAAGCGCAUAGGCAAUCGUUCGUUGCCUGAAACAAAGUGUUGAAGGGGUUUAGAGCAAUGUGAAUAAGCAUUGCAUCUAAUACGAGUAUAGAUCACUAGGCAGGUGGCCCGUGAAUUACAUACAAAGUCAAGAGAGAGGAAUAACUCUGACAACACGGUGUACAGGAGAGUCAGUUUUCGAUCCUGUGGAACUGUGGGUUAUGGGCCCACCAUGUGGGGUUUUUUUAUAGGAGCAGUGACAUGUUGCACGGUCAUGAUAACAAGGCAUGUCAGAGAGUACCCUGUCAGUUAUGUCGGCAACACGUUGGUACCAAGGGGGAGGGACGAAGAGAACCAUUUUCCUGCUCGUUGAAACGAGGCGGACCAUAAGGCAAAGUUCUCAUCCAUCGGUGGCUACCGGGAUGUCAUCAACAAUAGUAACAGGGUCUUGCUGACAGAAUUGUACACCGAGGUGUUUACAUAAGCAGGAGAAUAUUACUGCUUAGAUCAUAUAGACCACCAGAAAGGUUAAACCAAACAAUGGAAAGGAAAAUAUGAUUAUCAGAUUAAACAGAAGAAUGGAAAGGAAAAUGUGUUUAAACACAUAUUUCAGGGGUGUAUCCUUCCCAAGGACAAGCAGAGCAUGAUAUCCAGGACAGGAUAUAAUGUAGAAAACUCUUUAGGUAAGGUGAGAGAAAUUUCAUGACAUCACCCAUACAACGGUGUUUGGAUAAUGGACAAAGAAAAUUUUGCAUUGUUCUUCAAAUGCUCUUAUUGAAAAUCGGAGUACCACAGACAUGCUUCGAGAUAACAUUGGCAUGGUCUUCAAGCAAAGGUCAGACUUUGGAUACAAAGGAUCCAUCGGAAACAACUUAUAGAAUAAGUCUUACCACUUUCUCAUGGAAGAAUAGCUAACCUUGCUAAAAGGGAAAACUUAUAACAAUAGGUCCUCCCGCCAGGUGUGCUGGGUAUCAUCACCUUACCGGGUCAUAAAUAGGCCAAUGUUAUAACUCUUGGAAAUAUGUUCCAACCAUCAUAUCUGACCGAGAUUCAGAUCUGAUUGGUGUCAGGAUACCUCAGACUCAGGAUGUGUGAGAAUAAAAGUGCAACACAAAUUGAUGGGAUGACAUUGUAAGAUUCUCGGGAAAUGAACUAUGAAAGCAAGUUCCGAAACCAGAGUUCUUCAUUAAACCAAAGAGAGGGAUAGGAGGUGGCUGAUGGACU
rnacentral:lncRNA from 1 species